ACCUAACCUUGUCAAGAAUCGUGAAUUUGAUGUUCUCUUCCAAGUCGUCUGUCAGUCUGGAACAAAAAUCUCCAGCAACAUAUCUAGCUAGAUCGUUAAUAAGGUCAUGCAUCACAAAACGUGAACUAUUGGAACUUGACUGCUGGAAGAAGGACCUCAUUAGUAGCUCCUUAAAAUAAUUGUCCCCUAUGUCCUCCAUAAGAUCACUUGCUUUUGAUUCCUCGAGAAAACCCUCUGCCAUCCAGAGCAAUACAAGCUCAUAUUUGUCAAACUCAUAGUCCUUGGGAAAUAUGGAGCAGUAAGCAAAGCACGGUUUUAGAUGGGCAGGAAGAUGAUAAUAGCUUAAUCUUAGUGCUGGAAGAAUAUCACUUUGAUCCUCUUUUAUUUCCCACAUCUCACUGUUCAGUAUAUCCGUCCAUUCAUCUGGGGUCGAUCUAGCACGCAACAGCCCUCCAAGAGUCUUCACGGCCAAGGGCAAGUUCUUGCACUUCCUUACAAUACUCCUACCAGUGCCUUCUAGAUUGGGGUGCCUGUCAAAAUUUGUCCUUCCUAGUGCAUGUCUUGCCAGUAACCAUAAGCUUUCAUCAUCUGUCAACUCCUUCAGACUAUAUCCAGCAGUGGAAGACAUUACUGAUGCCACUCUAUGAUGCCGAGUGGUGACAAUUAUCUUGCUCCCAGAUGAACCAACUAGAAAUGGGCGGCGCAGGAUGUCCCAGUCCUCGUAUUUUUCAUUCCAAACAUCAUCUAAAACAAUUAGAAACCUCUUCCUGGUCAAGGCCUCACUCAGUUUCACUUGAACCAUAUUCAGAUCCUCAUAAUCACAGCCACCUGCUGUGAUUGCUCUGAGGAUUGUCUUUGUUACCCCAAAAAUGUCAAAAUCAUCUGAAACACAAGCCCAAGCCUUGGAAUCGAAAAAUUCGUUGACUCUGUCAUCAUUGUACACCAUUUGAGCAAGAGUUGUUUUACCAACCCCUCCCAUGCCAACAAUUGGUAUCACAGCCACUUGAUCAUCGCUCGAUUCAUUUGAAAGGAGCAAUUUCAGCAGCUCUUCUUUGUCAUUCUCCCGACCAUAAACAUGAGACUCCACUAGGGAAGUUGAUGGCAAUCUAUCCCUAGUUUUGUUCGGCCUCUUUGCUACAGUCUCUACCAAAUGGAGGAUUUUGAUUUGUUCUUUCGUGCUCUCCAAUCUUCUAGUUAUUUCAUCCACCUUGGGAGCCAUUUUUCCGUUGAACUUAUAAUCUUUAACAGAAAAAUUUGUACAACAGGAAGGGAUUUUAACCUUUCUUACCUUGCUAGUAGAGCCUUGAGCUUCCAUCAACUUUCUUCGACAAGCUUCUGUGGAGAAUUCGUCUAUCACAUCAUCCAUAUCAUAUGCCAAAUCCUGAAGAUCAUCUAGCCACUGCUUCACAGCGAUCCUCAUAUUCUGCUUGUCCUCAGCAUCAUCAAGCACUGCCUGAAUCAGGGAUAGCACUUGGCUCCAUCGUUUCAGCUGAGUAUCUAAGCCUUCUGAGCGUGCAAAUUUCUUCAAAUCGACAGAAGCAAGCUUGUCAAAUAUCACCUUGAUGAUUGCACCAAGAAAGACUUCUAUCAGUGCCAUUUUUCACUCCUCUUUUUUUCCUCUCCGGAUUAUAUUGUGUAGGUAAGCAACGAGCAAAAAGUCUGAAAACUUGAAAGGGGAGAUAAGAUUGAAAGAUGGGAAACUAGUCUGGCUGUGUUUGGACUAAUAAUAUUUCGUUUUUUUAAUUGCGGAACAGUAAAAUCAAAAUGAUCAUUGACUUGUAUUGACCGAAUAAUUCAUCCCAAGUUUUCAAUCCCAAAACAGUAAAAUGCCAAUACAUUAUUCAGACCGUUGUACUGUAUCAAAACAAACCGACAAAUAAGUGUGCCUAGUCUUUCUCUAUCUUCUUCUUUGCUCCCCCUCUUCAUCACCCCCAACCUCACUUACAUAGCAUUAUCUCAGACGUGGGUUUUGUAGUUGUUCUGCCAGGGAGCUAUCAUCUAUCACAUUCUUUACGGGAAAAGUGAUCAGCGCCAAAAUAUUUCAACUGGCAAGAAAAAAGUUUCCAAAGCACGCUUCUUCAUUUCUUAUGUAGUACCAGUAGACUUAUUUUUCUUUUCUGUAGCACUAUAUUAUAUCAUCAAUCAUUAAAGUAACCCACAUAGAGAAGUUGCUUUUGUGUGGAAUUUGACCGAAUUGAGGGAGGUACUUUUGAGCUAGAAUGAUUGGUGCUCUUAGGGUAGUUGUUGUACUUCAUUUACAACGUAGUGUACAUUUACAAAUGCUCAUGUAUUUAUGCAUGAGUUGAUGAACACGAAUAAAAUUUGAAGUACCACAAAAUUGUAUAAGAGUAAACUAUAUUAUGUAAAAAGUAUAAUAUCUAGACAAUUGCAACAAAAUUCAAUUGUACCUGGUCUAAUUUUGACCAUUUUCCUUAGUUGUUUAACGUUAAUUAGUGUAAUUUGGUUGUAUGUCGUGACACAAAUUCAAUUAAAUAACUAAAACAUCAAACCACAUAAGUAGCUGGUAUUUGUUGUUUCCAUAAUUCUAAUUUUUUUAAAAACAAUUGUUCAAAAUAUCGUUCACAUUUUGUAUAAUACAUUUUUUCGUCCUUUACUUUCAAAACAUUAACUUUAUGUACCUCAUAAAUUCAAGUUAGCAAAAUUUAGUCUCAACCAAAGUUUUUGACUACUUUUUAGUCUGAAAUCACUACUUGACCAAUAUACAAUCAUUUUUUAUGUACAAAAAAAAAUUAGAUUUCACUUUUUAUUGAUAAUAUAUAUAUUAUGUCAAAUCUCUUUUUUUUUUUUUGAAAAAGUGAAUACAUUUUAGAUCAAAUCCUACUUUUUAAAGAAAAAAUGAAUAUAAAUCUGGUCAUUUGUUUAACUAUAAACGGGAUUUAACAGUUUUGCCCAUAAAAAAAUAAACCCAAAUCUCUUAAUUAUAUUCUCUCUUCUCAAACCAUCCAACCCAUCCCUCUUCCUUCUUUCUCCCCUCUCUCCAACCAUAUGUGGGUUAUGUGAAAAAUGAAAAAAUUCAUUUGGCGAGAUGUGAGAAACAUUUUGAACAGUUUUCUCCUUGUUAUUUUAUAUGUCAAACGGCAAUAUCCUACCAUUACUCUAAUAUUAUAUGGAAGCGUAUGGUUCCAAUGGGACCAUUUGAGCUGUUGAAAAUUCAGAGGAGACUAUCACCUCUGACGUCUGAACUAGACGGGUGCAAUUGCACCAGUUAGAAGAAGUUUCCUAGAAAUCAUAACUUCAAGAGCAGGUGAGGGUUUCAAAUCUCCCACCUAUACAAAAGGGAUAUAUUUAUCAAGUUUGUGAUAUAUUUAUAAAGAAAGAAAUUUAGAAACAUUGUGAAAGUCCCAUCUGAAUUAGCAAAAUUAAUAUUCUCUCCAUCUCAUUUUAUUAGUUAUAGUUUCUCCUUUUGCUAAUUCCAAAAUAUUUUUUUCAUCAAUUUGGACAAAAAUAUUUCUUAACGUCUUAAAAUUUUUUGAAGCACCUAUAUUGAUUAUUAAACAGGAAAGGUGAUUAAGUACAUCAACGGGUCCUUGAUCAGACUUGCAUUUUCUUUAAUUGAAUGCAUUUGUCUAUUCCUUUUACCAAUGAAUUAUAAAAUAAGAUAGAUGAGAUAAAAAGAUAAAGCUUCUAACCAAAACCCUUCUUCUUGGACCCAAAAAAAAGGAUAAUUAUUCUUCUCAGAGAAAUAUCAAAUUAGAUAAUUAUUCUUCUCAAAAAAAUCAAAGUGUAUAGGAAGUUGACUUGACUUGACUAAGAGCUUAAAUCUUAAUCCUAUAAGGUAAGCAAGGGUCACAGAAUUAUCAAUGGAAAUUAGCGUGUUAAUUUGUUUGAGUACAUCUUGUGUGUGUGUGGGGGGGGGGGGGGGAGGGGGGUUCUUCUGAGACUAGUUGAACAAACGAAGAAACAGCCUUAAGAAAUGGGAAAAUUAGUAGUAACUUCUGUGAUAAUGUAUAUAACUCUUGAAUGAUUAUGUGAAUAAAUAUAAAAUAUUACAAGGAGAUAAGGAAGAUAUCCGUACAACUUAUAGGAGUGUUAAGUGUAUAUUGUGAUUUCAUCACAUGCAUUUUUAGAGUACAUCUAAUUCAAUCGCGUUAAUUAAUGAUUUUUUCGUCUAAUUUUUUUACUUUAUAUGAAACUAUAAGAGAGUUAUGUAAAUAUUUUGAAACCUUAGAAAAAACAUGUCAUAAUAUGCAAAAUCAGAAUGAAGUUAUAAAUAAUUUAUGCAAAGAAAAUUGAAGUUACCUGCAGAGAUAGAGUUGGGGAGGGGGGGUGUGGGGUGGGGGGGUGUGCGGUUUGGCCGGGCAAGGAUUGGCCGAUUGGGACUGCAGAGAUUAUCCAAUGGGUUCUUUGAGGGGCUGCUGUGUUAGAAGACUCAUUUGUAUGCAUAAGGCUCCGAAAAACCCAAAAUUAUGUAUUCCUCGAGUUAAAUCUACGUCCUUUCAUUUUAAAUCCAUAUUUUGUACAUGGCAUAUAUUGUCAAUGUUCAGAGGUGUGGUCAAUUAUUGGAAGUUGACUUGACUUUGCUGAGAGCCAAAGCCUAUAAGUCAAGCAAGGGUCAUACAUUAACGCGUUAAUUUGUUUUGGUACAUCCGAGUGGGCUUCUUCUGUAGAUUUUGCACAUAACCCCCUGUAAAAUUAUGUAGAUAAAUGUCAAAAGUACAAAAGAGUAAAAUAUAUAUUUCAUUAAAUCAUAUGCGAGUUAAACAGAUAUUAUGAUUUUAUCCACACAUAUUUUCAAAGCAAGUCCAAUUCAAUCGCCUUAAUCGUAGCAUUUUCGUUCAUUUUUUACUUUAUCUAAAACUACAUAGGAAUAUUAUGAAUAUGUUAUAAUCUUAGGAGAGUCAUCUGACAAUAUAUUGAAUCAUAAUAGACGUAUUAGUAAUUUACGCUAAGAAAGAUGAAGUUGCGGGGAAGAGACGGACUGAAUGAAACCCCCUUUUUGAACAUUGAUAAAAUAUGUCAUAUAUAAAGUAUGGAUUUAAAAUGAAAGGAUGUAGAUUUAACUUUAGGGAUACAUAAUCUUGGCCUUUUUAAUUUUAAAAACACUAAAUUUUGGUUUUUUGGGAAGCUUCCCUUGCAGAAGAUGCUAGUAAGAGUCUUUUGAACUACUUAAAACAAAUUAUAACCAUCUUUGUGAAAGUAAAACUAUUAGUUUUGAUUGUCUCUUAAAACAGCUUUUAACUUCUCAAAACAUUGAAAACAAGGAUGAUUUUUCAUUGUUUCAAAGAAAGUUUUGAAAGUAUUUCAUAUUUGAAUUCAAAACUACUCAUAUGUUCUUGAGACCAAGCUCCAAGUAAAUGUUAAAGUUCCAAAUAAGGAAAAAUCGCAAUUGUACGUAGUGUAUUUAGAAGUUUGGCUAUGCCAGUCGAAGAGAUAUUGAUCCAAUGAUUUAGAUCGAAACCCAAAAAAUUAGAGGUCAUUAGUUCAAAUCCUCUUACCUCCUCCUGCUUAUUAAGUCCCUCCUCCGUAGAGUUAUCAGCUAUUUUUACUUUUCUCCUUUGAGUCAUGAUUUUUAAUUUUUUGCAUCCUGAAGUUACACAUCUAUUAAACAUUGUAUUACGUACACAGAUAUGGACAGAAAACGACAGAAUUUUCCUUGUGAAAGGUGACAUUCGAUCUUGUAGGUUUUCCGUAAUUGUGUAAGUAUUUGAGGUAAGUAUUUUAGCAAGUUUUGAUAACCAAAUGAUCGAAACAGAGAAUUUAUGAACUAAUUAACCAUACUAAGGAAGAAGACAAGAUUCACUUGUUCUAAACGUUAUAUCUUAAUGCAACAAGUCGGUUAGGCGCUUGACUAAACCUUCAAUCUUUUAAAUAAACGCCCUCCUCAUGUAAUUUCUCAAAUGUUGAGUCAUGACAAGGUGAAGAUAGAAAUUAAAUUAAAGAUUCUAAAAUUUUUUAAGAUUCUUCUAAAUUAGAAUAGUUUACAACAUAUAGAACUUUGAACUCCAAAUUUCAAAUGAUUCUGACUACGUCUAUUCUAAAAAGAGUAACAAACUUUUGUAAAGUGGCAAAUAUUAAAGAUGUUAGUCACAAUUCAAUUAUGUUAAUCAGAUCCGUCCAAACCCAUCCACUAACUUUGAAUGGGUUUAAAUGAGUAUUCAAUUAAAAUCAUUUAAUUGGUAGGUAGUGAGUUGACUCAACUCAUCCAUUUAUACCCAUUUAAAAAUAACUAUACAUUUAAACUCAACUUUUAGUGAAUAUUAAGUAAAUAAAUUUGAAUUUCUUAUCAAUUUAAUAACAAUAAAUAACUAUUAUUUCUUUUCAAACAACAUGCAAAAAAUUUUUAAACAAAAGUAAAAUUGCAAGUGACUCAUAAAUGGGCAAUUGGUUAUACUUGUAUCCAUUUAUACCCAUUUAUUUUAUCUAUUAUUCAAUUAUGAUCCACUUAAACCCAUCCAAAUUAUCUAUUUUGACACCUCUAGCUAAGAUAUUACAAGAGAAGUAAUAGAAAAAAGUGCAACAACCUUUUAAGGCAGCUAAGAUAUUGCAGUUAGUGUGCCAAUAUUUACACAAGGAGGAUACUGCACGACAUUUUGUUAAGUUGUACCACCACUUCUUCCUUCUUAAUUCAUGUGUCUGAUCAAAGAAACGCAAAUGUACCACGUACUUCAGCUAUGUAAAGCUUACAUAUUUUUUCUUAGUGAUUCAGUUGGUCACUGUGUUUGCCUGUCAUCUCACUUUCUACAGCCUUGGCAGCAAAGCCAGACGAUAACAUCCACAUGUAUAUGAUGUAAACUUACUAUAGUGGAGUCAGCUAUUCGAUCUGCAAUGAAUAUCGAUGGGGAUGCAAUUUGAUCUAUUUGUUGACGUAUAAUUGACUAAUCAUUCAACUGUAACUAUUAUUCUAUGCAACUUUAAUAAAGUUGCCAAGAUUGAUAAAGAUGAAGUUAUUGAAGCGGUGGUGGUUUAUUGGUCGUAGAUAUUGGUUACAAGAAAAUGUAUUUGCUUAUCAAGGCACUAUUUAUGAAUCAUCCAUUGGAUGCUUGCCUUCAAUAAUUUCUGGAAAGUUACAACGUGUGAAUGUUUUUUUUUAAAAAAAAUGAUAUGCGAAAACGAUUCACUAAUAGUUUCUCGACAGAGCUUAAUUGGGCUAUACUUGUCAAUUUGCUGUUUGAGGCUUCAACUUCACAUCUAUAAAUGAAUGCAACAACUGCCAAGAUGAAAAUUAUAUGAUUGUGAUGUGUUUGCUGGUUUUAUUAAAAUAAAAAAUACAUAGGACCAAAUAAAAAAGAAUUAGAAUUGUCGUUUACAUUGAUUUCAUGUCGUUGCUGCUUUUACUGCGUUUUUAGAAAACUAGCCUAAGGGCUAUUGAAAUAACUUGGGCGGUUGAUGUGUGCUUGUAAUAUGUGUUAACCUUUAUGAAUCCCACGUGCGAUCAAAUAAUCAAUCAAAUAAUUAAUCAAUCAAAUAAUUACGGAUUUAAUUGACAAAUUUGGCAAGAGAUUAAUAAGUUGCACUGAACAUCGGGCCCUUGACAUCCAAUUAACAAAAUAAUCCCACGAAAAUUCAAAUAGAUAAUGUGCAAAUAUUAACAAAUUAAGGAACGCGUGAAAACUAAUUAGAUCUCACAGAUAUUCGGGACUGCGCCGUCGAGUUGAUCCUUGACUAGAUGAAAGACUUAGCUACGCCGCAUAAAUAAAUCUCUACGCAAAUUGAUUGAUUGCAAAUGCAUCACGUUUUUCACUAGAAAGCAAGAGUAAAAGAUGUUUUUCCCGUUGAAAAAUAUUCUCGACCACCUCGUGCGCGUGAAAAGGAAAAGGAAAGAAAAAACUAAAACUAAAGCUAUGCUAAAACUAUUACCCUCAAGCCUCUGUACGUUUGUCUCUUUAAAAGCAAAAUUGACUACUGCCUUUCUUAUCUCUGUGGUCCCCGCCGAAAUUGAGAAUCAAACCGAAAGUAAGGCUUUGCCGAAGUCCCUUUCUUUUCGUUUUCCAUUGCUAGGAGGACUCCUAGUCAGCAGCUCUUUAUCACCUUUCCUGUGUUUGGAUUGAAUAACUUAUACCCCUUAGUCUCAUGACUAUAUUCAAUAAAAAUACACUUCUCUGCUUCAUCAUCCAGUUUCUGUCUCAAAUGAUCUGGAACAUGCGUAUACGCAAGACAGCCAAAUACCUUGAAGUGAGAAAUAUCCGGUUUCAUAGCAGUCCAAACUUCUUGUGGAGUCUUUCCAAAAUUGCAUCUAGUAGGACACCUAUUCAAAACAUAAAUAGCACAAGAUACUGCUUCUGCCCAAAAGGACUUAGGAAUACCUUCGGAGUGCAUCAUAAACCUCACCAUAUCCAUCACAGUCCUAUUCUUCCUUUCUGCCACACCAUUUUGCUGAGGUAUAUAUCUGGCUGUCAUUUGAUGUUUUAUACCUGACAGGUUGUCGGCCUAUGUAAUAAUAAAACCUGCUCAAACUAAAAGUAAUUUCUGUAGAUAGCGGUGAGUAGGGUCGAAUCCACAGAGACUGGGAAUAAUUAUUUCUUUUCAAAUUCACAGUGACAAGGGGGGUGUUUUUAUAUCAGGGGUGACAAUUUAAACAAUUCAACUAAAAGUAAAAUAAUAAAAAUAAAAUAGCCAACUAGAAAUUAAAUAACAAUUUAUUAAAAUCAAAUGAGGGAUAAUUAAGGAUCUAGCCAAGAAAUAACUUCAGCAAUGGUUUUCCUAAUUGAUCAUCGAUGCAAAGCCAAUUCCAAUUAUUUAUUGAUAAAUAGGUUAUAAGUGCCAAACAAGCGAUGACAGUCAACCCCUCCUUACUGUAUCGGUGAUCAAGAUACGCCCAUUAAUCACUGCUCUAAUUAGGAAAUAAUCCUAGGUACGCCUGUAAGAUUUAAUUCCCCCAUCGCCUUACGUAUUAAAGGAGCCCUAUUCUAACCAAAUAACGCACUACCAGGGUUAUUUCAAAUUAGCCCGCGUAUCCCCUUGGCACGAAUCCAAUCAUGCCAGUUAUCACUAUUUUGAGGCAAUUAAACAAUUACAGAUUUAAUGUCCCAAUUGACAAUAGAUUAUCAAAUUAACUAAUUAUCCGGAUCCAAAACAAUCAAUUAAUUAAACAAUCAUAAGCACUGCAACCAAGGAAUAUGCGAAUACUAAUAAAUAAAUAAAAAGAUAAAAUGAAAUCGAUCUCACAAUUUUUAGGCGAACCAAAGCCUCCGUUGCUCCUUGACUAGAGUGAAGAAAUUUAGUUCAUAUUUGAUGAAUAAAACCCAAACAAAAUUGCAACAAGAGUUGUCUGCCCAUGCGAAGGAAGAAAAACAAUCAAAAGCUACAAAGGAAAAGUCAAAGGCCGAUGCUUCAUUCCUCCUGACAUGCGCAGGGGGCAACCACAAAAGACGAAAGGAAAAAGUCAAAGAAAGCUAAAGGAAGUCUAUUGUUUUUCCUUGUCAUCACCAACGAGAGAACUCCUACUAAAAAGCUAAGAAAGGAAAAAUCAAAGCUACUCUGAUGCUUGGCUCCUGUGCGGCGGCCCCCUUGCGGAGAGGACGAACCCUCCAGCCCUGCUUUCCUUCUCUUCUUUUAUGCUGUCUUCCACAAAUUACUGGAGAGGUUCAUGUCUUGAUAUUCCAAAAAUACUCCUAGAUGCCUGCUACUUGAACUCUUUUCUGAUGACUGUCAAAUACGCAUUGGUUAUGGUAUUUUCGUUCUACUCCCUGAAUUAAAUGCAAAUUACGAAAAGUGAGUAGAAUCUAAUAAUUAAUCCAUAUCAAGUCAGGUAAUAGGGGAAAUUAAUAAUAAAAUAAAUGACAAAAUUGCAGCCUAUCAAUUCCCCCCACAACUAAACCAUGCUUGUUCUCAAGCAUAAGAACAGUAAAAAAACCCCAAUAUUUAACAAUGGCUAUUGCUCUAUUUACCAUAUUUCUAAGAUAUCAAGAAAAAUAUAUAUCAAGCAUCGGUGAUCAAAAUCCAAGAAACAUCACCCCGGUUAGUUUCUAAACUACAAACUUCUCUAAUUUUAGGUUAACUAAUCUAAGAAAAAGGAAUGACGUAUAACAUUUAUCAACAAAUGGUCCAACUAUUAACCAAAAUCUCAACAUUAAAUUCAUAAAUCGGCAAAUUGACUUUUAUUAUACACUAACACAACUUUCACUUUUUUUUUAUCACAUUUUUCUACUUUUCUCUUUUUUUGACUUUUUUCUUCUCUUUUUUUUUCUUUGCUUUUCUCAAUAGUAACAAAAGACUUAGUCGCUAGCCAUUGGAACCUUUUGACGCGAGCUCCGACAUUUUUAGAUGAAGGAGCCCGGUUACUUAGCUCCUAUCGCUACGUGACCACGUACUCAUAGUAAUUACUACUUUUUGACACGAAAAUCGACACUUUUGGUGAAGAUCCCCGGUUAUUUGGUACUAAAGACUAGCGGAGUACAGCUAACUCUUAUUCACAGUUAAAUAACACAAAAACUCAAAAUAACAUAAAAAUCAAAAGAGAAUUUACAUCAGCUAGCCUUAUUUUCAAACAUGGAGAACUGAGCUUAAUAACCGGACCAAUUCACAUGAAAAUGCCAACAAUCAUUCCCUAUGCCUAGAAAAGUUAAUCCAGAAAUUAUAAAAGUAAAACAAUCAUCGAUAUUCACCAAAUAGAUGUUUUUUGACUCAACCACAUUAAUUUGAUACCAUUUUAUUAUUAAAACAUGGCAAUAGCAGAAUUAGAGACAACAAUCCAACAUAAAACUUUGGUAUUCAUUAAAAAAAAAAUAAACGAAAACUAGACAAAUAACAAACUAGAAAUAAAAGAAGGACGUCUGAAAACUAAAAACUGGCAUAGCUGUCCCUCCCCCCACACCUAAAUCCUACAUUGUCCUCAAUAGAGGAGGGAAUAAAGCAAUUAAAUUGAAAAGGACAACGAAACUUCCCUCUCGAGUGGCUAAGGGGUAGGCGGGAACGGCGGAGGGAAAUCGAUGUGGUGAGGCAUCAAUUCAACCAGCAAAUGCACAACUCUGUCCAUCCAAAAUCUCAACAAAGUCUCCAAUAAUGUGCUAAAUCCAGCAAUAUCAGUUCAGGACUUUAGUAAUAGCAGCGCAGUCACAAGCCCUUGGCAGUCAAUCAGAUCUCUAACCAAAUAGAGUUAACAAGUACCCGCACCCUUACCAUUGGUGCAAAUUGCAGUCCAAAAUCAAUGAGAUUUCUAUAGCAGAGCAGAUCAGUAGUAAAGCAAUAGCCCCAAGUAUUAAUCUAGUCACAAGAGAGUGAAUGUGCCACCAACGGAGCAAUAUCAGAGCAGAGCAAUUGCUAAUAAUGUCUCUCAGUUAUCAAUAAUUGCAAAAUUCCAACCCACCCAAAAAACUCAACAAUAGCACCCAAAAGCUCAACAAUUGCCCCCAGCAGUCAACAAGUCAGGCAACAGUAGUGCAGUAAUUCGGCAAUAACGACUCAAUAUAUAACCUCAACUGGCAAUCAGGCGUCCACCCACAAAAGCAAGUGAAAUUAUCUCAACGACCUAAUGGUUCACCACACAGAAUUCACUUCCACCCAACGAAACAGUUGAAGUCACUAAGAUGAACACGUUAGUCAACCGUCACAGAAAAUUCUAACAAGCAAACCAGCUCCUAACAGGACAAAUUAAGCAGCACAGGCUCUCGAUUCAAUAGGCAAUAUCAGAAAUAAUUUAACCAAAACCUCAGUAAUCGAAACACUAGCAGAGAUGCCUUUCAAUGAUCAAUAGACAAUUGCAAAAUUUCAGCCCACCCAAAAUUGCAACAAAUGGCUCCAGUUGGCCAGUCAAUUUCUUAACUCAAGAUUAGUAAUCUCAACGAUAACAAUUUAGAAAUUUGGCAAUAAUAACUCAGACAGCCAAAUAGAGAUACCCAAUUGAGGUCCAAUUACCCCACCAAUACCACUGGUAUAGCAAACUAUGGAAGAGAAAUCACACACUACCAAUACCAGGCCACCGAUAAACCAAAAUACAAACUAACACUGCUAACAAUUGAGAAUCGCAACAAUCAAAACACAAGCAAAGCCGCCUCCCAAUUAUCAAUAGACAAUUUCACAAAUCCAGCCCACUCAAAAACUCAACAAAUGUAACCAAAAGUUCAACAAACAUUCUCAAGAGUAUGGCAAACUAGUAAUGAACAAGAUCUGGGUCAAAUAUCACAACCCGUACCACUGGUUUACCACACAAUUGAAGGAAUAACCCCCAACGGCCAACAAUACCAAGUAUAGAAAGACCAGACAGCACCAGUGAAUAUUAAAAAAUUGGGGGACAAAUUCCAAAUACCUCCACCGAAGAAAGUAGCCAAGCGAUACUCCUGAUAGAGAAUCAGUAGCGCGCGUCAGGCGGUGGACCAAGCAGCGGGCUGAGUUGCGGGACUGGGGCGGAUGGCGACGCGAGGAGGGAGAGACGCGAGCGGCCGGCGGUGGUCUGUGGCGCGCGACUUCGAGCGGCGCACGCUCAAGUAGCGUGCGAGGUUGGACGCUACCGCUAGGGCUGUUGGCAGCGUCCAAGCGCUUCAGUGGUGGUGUUGGCUCGUGAUGGAGCUGCGGCGGAGCUGGUUGUGUGAGCAGAGAGGGAGCAGCGAGCUAGAGUGGUGCGCGAGCUAUGGUGGAAGCUCGCUGAGGUAGAACGAGCAAAAGGGGUGGCGCGCGGUCGGAGGCUCGCACGGUGGACCUGCGACGGGCCAGCGGCUGCUCGAGUGGAGAGAGAGGGAGCUGGUGAGAGCUGCGGCGUGAAUAAAAUGGGCGAGGUUGGAGUGAGAACUGCGAGUGGAGUGAGCGAGAGAGAGCUCUGGGAGCUCGCGGCGGGCGUGAACAAAGUGGGCGGCGGCGGACAAGGCUUUGUGGUUUUCGACUGAGAGAAGAGUAACAGGGGACUCAGAGAUACCUAAAGGGCAACUCGGAAACAGAGGGACUCAGAGAUACCUACCCACUGCCCAACGGUGUCGUUGGUGACAGUGGGUAGCGGAACCGGCAAGGGGCGGCGGUCGCAACUAGGAGAGUAGGGGCUGCGAUGAGCUGGUGGAUGUGUACCAGCGAGGUGGAGAGGCGCGCGAGGCUUGUUACUGCGACGAGCUGGGUUGCCACAGCUGGAGUGCGACGGCGGCGAACGAGGUGGAUGAAUCGCGCGCGAUGGAAAGGAGCAGCGACCGCCGCUGUUGGCGGCCGUGGGCUGACAGAGUUGGCUGUGGACGACGCGCAGCACACGAGCAACGGCGGUGGUGGUCGUGUGACUGUAGGCAGGGGGCAGCGUGCGUCAUCGCUCGGCGUUGGUCACGGGUGAAGGAGAUGGCGGCGUGCAUGAGGUAUGCUCAGCCGAAAGAGAAGAAGAAACAGGGGAGAAGAAAGAAAGAAAGAAGAAGAAAGAAAGAAAAAGAAAAAGAAAAGGAAAGAAAGGAAAAGAAAAAGAAAAUAGUAUUUGUGUUUUUUUUUCUUUUUUCUUUUAUCUUUUUUUUUGCUUUUUCGUUUUUUAUUUUCAUUUUAGAAAUUUUUUUUUGUUUUUACGAAAAGACUCCCUUUUUUUUCUCCUUGUUACUUACUUGAAAAUUUUGUUUUUUGAAAUUUUUUUUUAAUAUAUCUUUUUUUUAUUAUUAUUGAUAAAAUUUAUUUUUGGACUUCAAAAGUAGGGAUUAACAGAAAAUCAAUAACCGUUCUUGAAUUUUUUGGAUACUUACCUUUCCCGCGAAUGUGACGUGGGUACGAAAGCACGGAAUGAGGAGCUCUCCAAGUGACUUGACGCGGGCACGUCAUGAGGGCAAGAACCCCUUCUGACGAUUCUGACCGUGAGCUCUUCAUACGUCAUAACGUGGGCGCGUCAUGUCAGAGAGAUGCCUGUAAAUCAUCAAAAACGAAAAUUGAAGCAAAAAAUCAGUCAAAUAGAAGGAAAAAUAUAUUUAAACUAACGAACAAAAAUGAACAAAUAACUAGAAGAAAUUGGGUUGCCUCCCAAUGAGCGUCUUUCUUUAAUGUCUUUGACUAGACAUUAUCAUAUUUUGUUUAUGGAGGAUAAAAUCUCGUGGCUCGUCUUAAUGUUUCAUUCUCUAUAUAGUCCUGAUAGCUCUCGUAAAUAGAGUAAUUCUUGAGCACACGAGUUACGGGCUUCCAUGGACUAGUAAAUGGCGCCAAACAAGUCAUCGAUAAUUUGCAUUCUCCACUCACUCCUCCCUCACAUGCAUUUAUUGGUCCAAGAUAUCUUGCCAUCGCCAUUCUUAAAUUUAUUCCUGUCAUGAAAUUCAAGAUUUUCUGGUAUAAUAAAAUCAAUUUCAUUAACAGGAAUUGAAGAAUAAGAGUCAAGAGAAUAUUGAUUAAGGAAUGGAGGAAAUGUCACCGCAUUUGGAGGUUGUUCACUGGAUUCAUUCACUUGGACGGGUUGAUAUUGGGGGCUCAUUUUUUGCACAUCAACUUCCUUUUCAACUGCAUCUUUAGAUUCGUCUUCUUGAAACUCUUGCAGUUCCAUGUCAUUUGACCGGAUAAUUGCACUCUCAUCUUCUUCAAGGUUGAUAUUGGUUUGUGAGGGCAAUUCUUCAAGAUGAGAAGCUAAUCGCGUUAUCCUGGAUGUCAAUAGAUGUACUUGAUCUGCCAUCCCGGAUGUCAAUAGUUGCACUUGAUCCGCCAUCUCUUGUAUCUCUUGUUGAAAUCAAUAUGAAUUAGCAGUUAGCAAUUUCAUCAUUUCUUCAAGAGACAUACUUGACACGGAGGAUGAUUGUUGAGACUCUUGCUGUUGAAAAUCCAUUGGCCCGAUCGCAUAAUUAAAAUUGAAAUUAUCUCACCAUCCUUGAUCAUACCUGUUUGGGUAAAGGUCAUACCACGUUUUAAAUCGAGGUGAAAAAUCUCCAAAAGUAUCAAUUGGAGCACUUAGAUUAUCUUGAAACGCGGGGCAUGUGUCGGUUGAAUAACUUGAGGCAAAAUAAGUCCCACAAUUUGCAACAGCCCAUUGAUCAUUAGGAAAAACAUGAGUCUCAUAACCCCAUUCAGGAAUAAAAUUUAGUCUAUCAUCAAAAUACGGAAUGUUAGCAGCCAUAAGCUAUAUAAAAAAAUAAGAGAAAAAUAAAUUAAAAAUGAAAACAAGGUGAACUAAAAAAGAAACAAAUUAAUCUGGCACCAGUCCUCGGCAAUGGCGCCAAAAAUUAACAGGUUGUCUGCCUGUGCAAUAAUAAAACCUGCUCAAACUAAAAGUAAUUUCUGUAGAUAGCGGUGAGUAGGGUCGAAUCCACAGGGAUUGGGAGUAAUUGUUUCUUUUCAAAUUCACAGUGACAAGAUGGGUGUUUUUAUAUCAGGGGUGACAAUUUAAACAAUUCAACUAAAAGUAAAAUAAUAAAAAUAAAAUAGUCAACUAGAAAUUAAAUAACAAUUUAUUAAAAUCAAAUGAGGGAUAAUUAAGGAUCUAACCAAGAAAUAACUUCAGCAAUAGUUCACCUAAUUGAUCAUCGAUGCAAAGCCAAUUCCAAUUAUUUAUUAAUAAAUAGGUUAUAACUGCCAAACAAGCGAUGACAGUCAACCCCUCCUUACUGUGUCGGUGAUCAAGGUACGCCCGUUAAUCACUGCUCUAAUUAGGAAAUAAUCCUAGGUACGCCCGUAAGAUUUAAUUCCCCAAUCGCCUUACGUAUUAAAAGAGCCCUAUUUUAACCAAAUAACGCACUACCAGGGUUAUUUCAGAUUAGCCCGCGUAUCCCCCUGACACGAACCCAAUCAUGCCAGUUAUCACUAUUUUGAGACAAUUAAACAAUUACGAAUUUAAUGUCUCAAUUGACAAUAGAUUAUCAAAUUAACUAAUUAUCCGGAUCCAAGACAAUCAAUUAAUUAAACAAUCAUAAGCACUGCAACCAAGGAAUAUGCGAAUACCAAUAAAUAAAGGAAAAGAUAAAAUUAAAUCGAUCUCACAAUUUUUAGGCGAACCAAAACCUCCGUUGCUCCUUGACUAGAGUGAAGAAAUUUAGUUCAUAUUUGAUGAAUAAAACCCAAACAAAAUUGCAACAAGAGUUGUCUGCCCAUGCGAAGGAAGAAAAGCAAUCGAAAGCUACAAAGGAAAAGUCAAAGGCCGAUGCUUCAUUCCUCCUGACAUGCACAGGGGGCAACCACAAAAGACGAAAGGAAAAAGUCAAAGAAAGCUAAAGGAAGUCUAUUGUUUUUCCUUGUCAUCACCAACGAGAGAACUCCUACUAAAAAGCUAAGAAAGGAAAAAUCAAAGCUACUCUGAUGCUUGGCUCCUGUGCGGCGGCCCCCUUGCAGAGAGGACGAAGCCCCCAGCCCUGCGUUCCUUCUCUUCUUUUAUGCUGUCUUCUGCAAACUACUAGAGAGGGUCAUGUCUUGAUAUUCCAAAAAUACCCCUAGAUGCCUGCUACUUGAACUCUUUUCUGAUGAUUGUCAAAUUGGCAUUGGUUAUGGUAUUUUCGUUCUAUUCCCUGAAAUAAAUGCAAAUUACGAAAAGUGAGUAGAAUCUAAUAAUUAAUCCAUAUCAAGUCAGGUAAUAGGGGAAAUUACUAAUAAAAUAAAUGACAAAAUUACAGCCUAUCAAUACCACUUUCCGCCAAAUAGUCAUCACAAACAAGAUAUUCAGUGCCUCUGUCAGUUCUCAAAAUUUUAAUAAAGUAGCCACUCUGCUUCUCUACAUAAUAUUUGAACUUUUUAAACACAUCACAUGCAUCAGAUUUAUUUCUUAAAAAAAACACCCAUGUCUUCCUAUUGAAAUCAUCAAUGAAGAUAAUAAAAUACUUACUAUCACCAUUGGAAGGAACUUCAACUGAGCAUAAAUCUGAAUGAAUCAGUUCAAGCGGUUGAUUGGCCCUCCAAGCCUUGCCUUUUGGAAAAGGAUCCCUGUGCUUCUUUCCCAAAAUACAAGACUCACACUUCUUAUCAGGAAACUCAACAGACGGCAACCCAAUAACAAAUUUCUUUUUUGCAAGAAAUUUCAAACUCCCAAAAUUCAAAUGCCCAAAACACAUAUGCCAUAACCAAGAAUCAUCACAAGUCAUGGAAUUAAAGCAAGGUAAAUCGCCACAGUUAAGAGAAAGAGCCCACAAACGACUACGGUUCAUCUUUACCUUGGCAAUUAAUCCCAAUUUUUCAUCACUUAUGGUGCCAUUACCAUAUUUAAAAUGCAGGUCAUAACCUUUCUCAGACAGUUGUCCUAAACUCAACAAAUUAUGAUAUAAACUUGGCAUAUAGAAAAUAUCAGAAAUAUAAUUCGAAAACCCAUCUUGCAAGAUAAUUCUGAUUUUUCCUUUUCCUAGAACAGGUACCUUUUCAUUAUUUCCAAAUCUCACAGAUACAUGAAAAGAUUCAUCCACGUUAGAAAACAUCUCCUUUUUACCACACAUAUGAUUACUACAACCAAAAUCAAUAAACCAAUCAUUCUUCAUAGACUCUUCAGCUGUAGAACUAGAAAACAAUAAGGUCUCCUCUCUAUCACUACUAUUUUCUGCCACUUUAACAUGUACCUCUUUAUUAGACCAACAUUCAUUUUGAUAAUGAUCAAUUUUACCACAAUUAUAACAUUGGACAUUAGAUCUAUCACGCCUUUGAAAAUUAUUUCUUUGACUUUGCUGUUAACUGUUUUUCUGAUCCCUAUUAGAAUUAUUUCUGGGCUGGUAAGAAUAAUUACCUCUUCCAUGACUAUGAAAGUUACCUUUGCCUCCACGUCCUCUACCUCUGAAGUUCUGGCCCCUUUGAUUUGUGUCCAUACGAUUCACCCCCUCUUUUCCUUUUGGGUGAUUCACCUUGGCUUGUAACACCUCCUCUACUGUAUCUGAUGGCUGCUGAUUUAGGGACAUCUCAUACGUUAGCAAUUCACCUUCCAAUUCAGCAAGUGACAAAUUGUCAAGGUCCUUUGUGGCUUCAAGGGCCGUCUUCUUGGUGUGAAAUUUGGCAGUUAGAGAUCUUAGAACUUUUUCAACCACUCUAACCUCUUCCAAAUUCUCACCAUUGGACUCCAUAUCAUUGACAAUUUCUUUAAUUGUGCCAAUAAAAUCUUUAACUGACUCUGUGGAUUUCAUUUGGGCCAACUCAAAUUGUCUCCUAAGUUCCUGCAAUCUGAUUUUUCUCACGUUAGCAGCUCCUUGAUUUGAGUUCACCAAAACUAUCCAAGUCUCUUUUGCCGACUUUGCAUGUAUAAUUUUUUUGGCAACAUGCAACUGGACUUGAGUGUUGAGAUAGUACAUUGCCUUGCAAUCCAACUGUCUAUUUCUCUCUAAUUCUUUAAUUACAUCGCUUGAUAAUUCCAUACCUGCGACCGAUUCCGUAUGUCCUAUUUCAACUAUAUUCCAAACUGCAAUAUUUUGGAAAAAAUUCUUCAUCAUCGACCUCCAAACCUCAAAAUCGUUUUUACCGUCGAAGAUAAAAACACGACAAUUGUGCAAAUAAUGCGGAUCCAUACUUUAAUUUCAUGAACAAACUCCAAACCCCAAUUUUGCAAACAAGCCCCAAGAUCAAAGCCUGGAGCUCUGAUACCACUUUGUAGAAAUCUAACCCACAGGAUAACAACAAAUAAACCUCACUCAAUGAAUUAAUUAGGCAGCGAAAGAGGAAUAAAAAGGGAUAAGCAAUAGACUAUUUAUGACAAAGCGAGGCAACGAAACAAAAGCAGAACUAUGAAAAGCUUCGGGAGGCAAAACCAAUAUUUCUUUACAAGUCUCUCGGCUCCUUUCUAUGUUACACACCGGCAGACUAGUACUACACACACACAUACAUAUAUAUAUAGGCACCAAGUCUCCAUAGUGCUCAGGGAUUUUGUCCUCACCAUCUAAUAAAUCAAAGACCACAUUGGAAUUGGACAUCAAGCAUCCUAGUUAGACUAGAACUCAACUAGCUAAACGUAAACCUGAACUAUACUAAUUCCAACCAACUCCAAUUAAGAAACUAACAAAUAAUAAUCUUGAUUUAAUUCCUACAUGUUCUUUCGUAAUUCUGAUAGACUAGUUAAACUUUGUGAAUUAUUUAUAAAGCAAUGAAUUACGAGCGACUCUUGAAAUUUUCACAGUACUAGAUACAGUUUCUCCUUUUGCUACCUCUAUUUUUUUUUUUUUUUGGAUUCUGAAAAUUGAUCUCUUGUAAUAUCUGACAGAUUUUGAAGUAAGAUUCUGAUGUAACUAUUUGCCAUUCAACAGGAUAGGUGAUUAAGUACAUCAGAUUUACCUGUUAGCCAUGUAAAACAGAAUGUAUGAAAUAAAUUUUAAGAGAGAGAGAGCUUGUAACGAUGAUAACUAUAAUUAUUCGUCUCACAGAAAUAUCAAAUAAUAUUGGAAGUUGACUUGACUAUGCUAAUAGGUGACUCAGAAUAAGGUAAGCAAGGGUAAUGUACCUAUCUAAUUUGUUUUGCUACAAGUUUUUUUUUAAAUUUUAUUUUGGGUGGGUGGGAGGGGAGGGGAGUUCUUCUUGGGUUUAAUCAACAAGUACAGAAAAGCUGGCGGUGUUGCUUAAGACAAUUGAAGUUGCGGGGGAGGUUGUUAAGACAAUUUGAUUUUUAAACCAAUCUUCAACACAAACUAAAACCAGAAACUCCAUACGUAGUUAAAUUAAAGAUCUUCUUGCCUGCGAUAUAAGGGCUGGGAAUGGAACUUGUGGUAUACAGAACAUAUUAGUUGCCGCACAUCAUGCCAUCUACUAUGAUAUUCCACAUCGGAACUCGAAAGAGGAGAGUAAAGAUAUAUGACGUUCAGCCCGUCGAAUAAUCAAUAACAUUGGGUUAAUUUAGCUUUUAUUGGGCCAGUCCAGCAGGCACGGACCAUUACAAAUAGUAUCAGAGCGAAUUGUGUGUGGUUUCUAUGUGAAGUGAGCCUUUCCAACUAACAAUUAAAGAUUUUAGUCUGAAAUCUAAAGUUUGAAUCCAUUAAACUAUUGAAUUGUUAAGUAUUAAAUAUAAUACAUUUGAGUGCAUGUCAGAUUCAGUGAUAAGUGAAUAGUUUAUCACUUAAUUUUGGAAACAAGUUUUACCUAAAAAAUUCAGUGCUACUUAAUUUAUUCAGAUGUUUAAUUUUUUGUUAUCAGACGGUUUGAAUAUGUUAACAGCUGCUUCCAUUAAGUUUAAGUGCUGAAUUGAAUUAUCAAACAUGAUCUAAGUAAAAAAUAUAAGGAACUAAGUGCUAUACGGGACAAAACCCCAUAUUAGAUGGGGUCACCUUUAGAAUUCGUAUGAGUUAUCUCUAGAAUCCGCAUAUGACUAAAUAAUCAGUUGGAUUGCAAUGGAGUCCUCUUAACAAUCUAGAAUCCGCACACGAUUAAAUGAUCAGUUGGAUUGCAACGGGGUUUUCUUAACAAUAAGUCAAGUCAGUUGUGGAAAACAAAUGGGACGCCAUAAACUGCACUAUCCACAAAUUAGAAAUAUGAAAGAGAUGGAGUCAGCCAAAGUGAGGCUCAUGAAGCUUAGAAUUCUGAUGCUUGCCUAUUGGGCUGUCACACUCUUUGCAAGAUUUUGUAGCUGGUCAACAUUGUGACCUCCUAGAACAGUUAGAUGGUAGGCCUAUAACCGCAAGGAUAGAGCAGGAAAACAUUAGUGUAUGUGAAGUGUCAGCUUUGGAAACUAGGGUCUACUUGCGUGGCUGGUUUUGGCAAAACUCUAGUGUAACCCUUCCCAAAACACUAAGACACAGCUAAAAUAAUGUCAGCACAAAAAAACACAUGGAAGUAAUAUUAAAAUAUUACACAAGAUCAACGAAAGCACGUGAGGUUAUUCAAUCAAUCUAUUAAUUUUCUUCUGUCACAACUCAACUCAACUCAACAAAUUCUUCAACUCAAUAUAACAAGAGUCAACUCAAUUCUCUAAUUGGAUAUGAAACAAGCAUCACAUAUAUGUAGGCAAUAGGUUACCAUAUAACUAAAGACUCGAGUGACUUCCACCGACUUGGACUAAGAAACCAAUUACACUUAGAAAACCAACUAAUCAAGGAUUCGGACUUGACUAUUCACCGACCAAAAUUCAAGGAAACUAACAAGCGGACAGCUGACUAAAACUUUACCAUGUAAGUGGAUAUAGUAACAACUUUAAUCUAAUAAUCUAAACAAAAAAAUGAAGUAAACUUGGUUUAAUUUCCUUCAUUACCUUUCUUAAACUAAACUCAUCAUUAUGGUCAAUUCCAAUACCAUCUCGAACUUGAAUCUAUAUGAAAAGCUUUGUUGUUAUAUAGAUCAUAUGGAAUCUCAACUUACAAUUGAUCUUCAGUUUCAUCUUCUCCGGUGGAAGUAGACGAAACUUAUACUUUUUGAAUAAUUUCUUCGUUUGAUCGGUCUUGCCAAAAAAUUCAAACAUGUUCACCUAUGCUUCAUUAGAUACUCCAUAAUUUAAUUCGUCCACGCCACCAAGAAAAUUUCAUGAAAUCACAAAAUCAUGCUUUCCACCACCAAAAAUUUCAACAUCAUCAUGAACUUAUUUUGAUUCAUCCAUACCAAUGCCCACAUUAGUUUCAGCAAUGCCACAAUCUUUAACUAAUUUGUCCACGUCACAAUUGUUCUUAACCAAUUCUAUCGCUUGAUUUUUCUCGUCAAAAUAUUCAUCAAUCCCGAAAAAAUUAACAAUUUCUAUGUUGCGAUAAGCUUCAAUCACAUCUUUAAUCUGAUGAAUGAUUUCACUUUCUUUCUCAACCACUUGUGAAAUUCCUUUUGAACAAAAUUUUCAUCUUCAUGGGCACCCACAACUUCUGUAAUUUCUUCUUUCUUUAUCUCAUCCAAAAAAAAAAUAUUUUUCUUCUUUCUCAUCACAAAUUUUUUGUCAAUCAUAACUACAAUAAGAAUUUGUCAAAAAUUUUCAAACCUCCUUUGCCGUCUUUGCAUGUAUGAAUCUUUUCGCUACAUGCAAUUGAACUUGGGUGUUGAGGUAGUAGAAUAUCUUGCAAUCCAACUGUCUAUUUCUCUCUAACUCUUUAACUAAACUACCAAUAAUUCUGCACCUUGUGUAGGUUCCUUGAACCCCUUUUGAAUAAUAUCCCAAAAUCCAAUAGUUUGAAAAUAUCUCUUCAUCCAACUCCAAACAUCAGAGUCCUUUUUACCAUCAAUGUUAAAAAUGUCAUAACAUCAAAAUGUUAUAAAUAACACGGAUUCAUAUUUUAAUUUUACAAAUAAGCCCUAAGUUCAUAGUCUAGAUGUCUGAUACUACUUGUUAGCACAAAAGUCACGCAUUAGAAGUAACAUUAAAUCUUAUACAAGAACGACGAAGGCACGGGAGGUUAUUCAAUCAAUCCAUUAAUUUCUCUCUAUCUCGUAACUCAAUUCAAUAAAUUUUUCAACUCCAUUUAAUAAGACUUGAGUAAACUUAACUCUCCAAUUAGAUAUCAAACAGGCACCACAUAUACAUAGGCAAUAGGUUGCCAUAAAACUAAAGACUAAAGGAACUUCCUAAACCGAUACCAACUUGGACUAAGAAACCAAUUACACACAUGAAACUAACUAAUCAAGGAUUCGGACUUGACUAUUCACCGACCAAAAUUUAAGGAAACUAACAAGUGGAUAGCUGACUAAAAUGUUACCAUGUAAUUGGUUAUAGUAAUAACUUUAAUCAAUAAUCUAAACAAAUAAAUGAAAUAAGCUUGAUUUCAUUUCCUUCAAAUAACACACGGAAAACACCUAGAACACCCAAAACAACCCAUCAACCACUCACCCUCCAUCCCCUCCUUCCUCUCCCACCCAAGUCCCCUUCAUCAACCCUUCACCUCUCCUGCCUGCCACCAGCUCCCUAGUCACUUCUCCCACUCACGUGCUCGCCAAAAAUUGGGAUGUUUUUAUGUGGCUGCGAGUAAUAUGUAAUGGUAUGAUCAUUGAAGUAGUACACCAUCACUCAACUAAAGCAAACCAUUACAACUAAUAAUUCAUUGGCACCAAUUAAAGGGCAGUUCGACCGAUGACAGGUGCCGAACCUGUACAAUAAUAAAUACCUACUCGAGAAAAAUACAAAUUUUGUAUAUAGUGGUGAGUAGGGUCGAAUCCACAGGGAUUGGGGAUAAUUCGUUUCUUCUAGAGUUCAAAGUAUGGGAGUUUUCAGGAUUAAAUGCUAACUAAAUAAAUGAAAUGCAGAAAAUAAUUAAUUAAAAGAAAUAAUUGGGAGAACUCUAGCCAAGGGUGCACUUCAGAAAUGGUUCAUCCACUGAUCAUUGAUUCCCGCAUAAUUCCUACAAUUACUAAUAGAUUGGUUAUAGUUGUCAUGCACACGAUAAACAACCAACCCUUCCUUAAUUUCUCGGUAGUUAAGGUACGACCGUUAACUAUUUCUCUAACCCAAAAAUAACCCUAGGUACGACCGUAGGAUUUAAUUUCUAAAUUGCAUUAAUAAUUAGAAAGACCCAAUCCUAACUAACAAAUACGCUACGAGGGUUUGUUUAAGUUAGAUCAUACGUUUCCCUGACAUAAACCCAAUUACGCCAGUUGCUACUGAGAUAGGGAUAUUCGAACAAUUACGGAUUCAAUUACUCCUAAUUAGCGAAAUAGCCUAUAUGAAUAAUUAAUUAUUGCGCACUAAUCAAUCAUACACACGAGCUAUAGCAAUUAAAAGCAGGAAACAUAUAAAUACCAAUAAAUGAAAGAAAUAAUUAAAUAAAUUCGAUCUCACAGUAAUUGUCGAACCAAAUCCUCAGUUGCCCCUUUAACUAGAAUUGGAGAGUUAGUUCUCCAUUAAUGGAGAACCAUCCAUGCGAAUGGUUAGAGAAAGAGGCCCCCAAGACUUGACUUCCACCAUUGAUUGAAAGAAAGAAAAGAUCGAAAGCCUAACAAGUAAAAGCCUCCCCAGCCGAGAGCUUGCGGAGCAGACCAUGAUGAAUUAAUCUCCCCUCCGUCAAUGUUGCCAACCAACUCUUAAUCACGCGGGAUCCGGCUUUUUUUCCCUCUCAUUUGUUUUGUUUCCUAUUCAGCUUCUACUACUCAUUGUUCCUUUCCAAACGUGAAAGAAGGAAUAAAAAUAGACUAGCCUCCUUUUUUUCUUUUCUAAGAAGUAGCAAUCAAAAUGGGAGUCGGCCUUUUCUUUCCGUAUUUUCUAGUUUCCCAAAUACAUUGAACUUCCUAAUUUUCCUAAGAAGAAGAUAUUUCCUCCUAAUCUAAGACGUUUCCCAACUGUAUUUGAAAACAUGCUUCGUAAGUCUUCGGCUUGAACUAGGAAACUGCCAUCCGUGAACCCCGUCAUCUCUAGACUUGACAGUAAUUCUUGGAAAAUUACCCCUUUUAUCACAUGUUGCUCAUUUUCCUACAAUUGGCACCAUUAUACCAAACAUAAGUAGAAUCCGACAAUUAAAAUAAUGUUUGGCUAAAAUCAAGGGAAGAAUAAUAAAAAUUUGGCAACAAAUUAUGACUUAUCAACCGAUACAACUAUUAUUGGUUCAACUGAUUUGCCUCUAACAUAAAUGUAACAACUUAUAUUUCAUUAGUUCCUUUAAUUAAUGUCCUUAAGACACUAAUCAAGACACAUCCAAGUGCAAUUUAACAAACUAGUAAUAAAGCAUGUGUUUUUGAUAAAGCAAUUAUUGGGCACAUUUUGCACUGUUAUUUUGUCAUAAUUUUGGCAACUUACUGUGCUAAAUAUUGAGAUUUUGCUAAUAUUUCAUAUUUGUAUGAAUUAUAGGUGGUUGGUGUAAAAAGUGUUUUCACGAGGCAAAUUUUCAGAAGACUCUCUAUUUCAUGGCGUGCCCACGCCAGAAACUGAAGAGUUACACCUAAAAGCUGGAUCCGCGAGAUUGGUUGCAGCGCAAAGUGGGCAAUUAGGAGGUUGGGUCCACGUGGACCGGACGCAUGGGAUUAAAACCCCAAAAAAGCAAAGCUUUGCAGAGGACCCUUUGUGGAUUGCUCCUGGCGGCUGCAAAAGGCCAAAAACCAAAAGAAAGCCAGACUCACUUUUUAAUUGAUAGAUUAGCUUUUAGCUUUUGCUUUUUAGGGUCAGACGUCUUCUUUUUCUUGGGACUUUUUGCACUAGCUUUAGACAAUUAGGGAGUAACUUUCGUUUGCGAACCCUGGAAGACGAAUUGAAGUCUGCCGUCUUUGUUUCGUUUAUCUCAGACGCCUGUCGUGAGACAGGGGCUUUUACCUUUUGCUUUGGUACAAACACGAAACAAAGUGAAGCUAGAAUUUUUCUUCGGGUCCGUUGUUAUUCCGUCUCUCCCAGAUUAUUGGUAAAUAAUUGGAUGUUAUCAAUUAAAUCACGGGAGAGUGAUAUGAUGAGGAGCGGCUAGUUUUCUCCUCUACCCAAAGGUCGACGCGAGGGCGCGGUCCAUAACAUCUGUGAGAUCUAAUCGAAUUUUCAUUAUUUCUUUCAAUUCAUUACUAUUCAUGCGUUUCCUAGAUUAAUUGUUCAUGGGUAUUUUAUUAAUUGAGUAUCAACGGCCGAAUAUUUAAUUUAAUAUAAUAGCCUACUGCCACGUUAAUUAAAUUGAAUCCGUAAUUGUUCGUUUAGUUGACAACUAGUGGCAACCACCAUAAUUGAUUUUAUGUUGGGAAAAUGUAAGAUCUGACUUAAAUAAACCCUCUUAGCGUGUUUAUUGGUUAGGGUUGGGUUCUUCUAGUUUUAAUGCAACUGGAUAAUUAAAUUCCUACGGUUGUAUCUAGCGUUGUUUUCUGGUUAGAGAAGCAGUCAAUGGUCAUACCUUGACUGUCGAAAAAGUAAGGAAGAACUGGUUGUCAGAACUUGUUGAUAACUAUAAUCAAUCUAGUGACUGAUGAAUGAAAUAUCUUUGCAUCGAUGAUCAUUUAAUUGGACCGUGCCUGAAAAGUUGAUCCUUUGGAUAGAAUUUUAUUAAUUGCUAUUUUUACUAAAUUGAACUUGUUGAGUUAGCUCUUGAAUUUUAUUUAUUUCAUUUUUAUUUUCAUCCCAUUAAUUAUCCCCCUAUUUUAUUUUAUUAACUUGGAAAGAAACAAGUUCCUACCUGUUCUCUGUGGAAUCAACCCUACUUGCCAUUGUAUGCAAAUUUAAUAUUUUUAUAGACAAUUCUGGUAUAUCGAAUCAAGCAAACUCUUCGGGAACAGGGUGAAUCAAGUAACCCAUUGCACACCUAGGGUCCCUGCUCCAAUAUUCGGAUUUGUUCUAUAAUUAAUUGUGGUGGUAAUUAGGACUUUUUAGUAAUUAUUAUUGCAUAGACUCGACACCUGUCAAUUUUUGGCGCCGUUGCCGGGGAACGGUGUUUUGGUUAAUUUUGUUUCUUUCUAAGUUAUUUUCUUUGGAUUUGUCUGACAUUUUCUAGUUUAUGCCUCGUUCUUCUCGUACAGGCGAAUUGAUUUUCGAUCCAGAAGUAGAGAAGACUACGCGCCGAACUAAAAAAGAGACUAGACAGCUCAGGGAGGAGCAAUCUAGCAUUGCAUCUCAGGGACUUGAUCCUGAGGUCGAAUCAACAGAUUCAAGUGGUGAUAAUUCAAGUGAUUCAGGCCAAGAGGAUAUCCGUAUGGCAAACGCAAGAACACUAAGGGAGUUGGCUGCUCCGGAAUUGCCCCAGCAGCCUUUGUGCAUCACGUUUCCAAGUCUAGCGGAAAAUACCUCAUUCGAGUUGAAGUCAGGAUUGAUUCACCUCUUACCCUCAUUCUAUGGCAUUUCGGGGGAGGAACCCCAUAAACACAUCCUGAAGUUCGAUUUGGUAUGCUCCAGUAUGAAACCUCCAGGAAUUACUAAGGAGCAGAUUAAACUUAGAGCUUUCCCUUUCUUCCUCGAGGACGCAGCUAAGGAUUGGUUAUACUACCUACCUGCAGGUAGUAUCACAACAUGGGCUCAACUGAAGAAGAAAUUUUUGGAAAAAUUCUUCCCUGCAUCCCGGGCUGCAAGUUUGAGAAAAAAAAUUUGCAGCAUUAAGCAGUACCCUGGAGAAUCCCUAUAUGACUAUUGGGAGAGGUUCAAUAAAUUGUGUAUUAGAUGCCCACAGCAUCAAAUUAGUGAACAACUAUUGAUCCAAUACUUUUAUGAGGGACCUCAGUCGUCCGAUAGGAGUAUCAUUGAUGCUGCAAGCGGGGGAGCACUGGCAAAUAAGACCCCGAGGGAAGCAUGGCUGCUCAUUGAAGUUAUGGCAGAGAAUUCUCAACAGUUUGGCUUCCGUGAGAGUAACCCUACCCGCAGGGUUAAUGAGGUGGAGACGACAUCUAUUCAGCAGCAGUUGUCGGAGUUAACAUCUUUUGUUCGACAAUUAGCUGUGGGGAAUGUGCACCAAGUAAAAGCCUGUGGAAUUUGCACAAAUGUGGGCCACGCCACUGACUCAUGCCCUAUGUUGUAAGAGGAUGGGUUGAACAAGUGAACAUGACUGGAGGCGUGUCCACGCCUCGUAGGCAGUACGAUCCAUACUUCAAUACGUACAAUCCGAGUUGGAGAGACCACCCCAAUUUCAGCUAUGGUAAUAGGCCGCAGAAUUCAUUCUCCAAUUGUCUACCAGGAUUUCAGCAACCUUGGCAACAAAAGUCUCAACUCUCGUCCUCCAACUCAGGAAGUUCCUUGGAGGAAAUUGUCAAGAGUUUGGCUACGACUACCACUCAACUCCAGCAAGAGACUAGGGCCCUGGUUGCAAACACUACUCAGUUCCAGCAGGACACCAGAGCAGGCAUGAAAGACAUGGAGAUUUGAAUGAAUCAAAUGAUAACUACCAUUAAUCGCCUGGAGUCCCACAUUUAUGAGAAAUUGCCAUCACAACCCGAGGCAAAUCCCAAAAAUGUAAUUGCCAUGACAUUAAGGAGUGACAAAGAGGUGGAGGGAUCUAAGUUAACGAUUUCGAAAAGCAAAAGUGAGGAGGAGAUAGAAAACGGAAUUGAAGAGAAAGGGCGCAUUCGCGAAGAGCCUAAGGUAACAUCUAUUCCUUCUAUCCCUAUUAAAUCUAAUCUAGCUCCUUUUCCUUGCAGGUUAGAAAAGACAAAGAGGGCAGAAAAGGAAAAAGAAAUCCUGGAUGUAUUCAGCAAAAUUCAAGUAAACAUCCCCCUAUUGGAUGCGAUCAAACAGGUACCCAAGUACGUAAAAUUCUUGAAAAACUUGUGCGUUAACAAAAGAAAGCUAAGGGGUGAUGAAAGAGUGAUGAUAGGAGAGAAUGUAUCAGCUGUACUUCAAAGAAAACUCCCACCCAAAUGCGGGGAUCCAAGUAUGUUUACUAUUCCCUGUAAGAUUGGCCAUUCUAGUAUCAAAAAUGUCAUGAUAGAUUUAGGGAUUUUUAUUAAUGUGAUGCCUAAGUCAAUCUAUGAUUCCCUAAAUUUAAAAUCUUUAAAAGAAACGGGAAUAAUAAUUCAAUUGGCUGAUCGUACAUGUGCUUAUCCGGAUGGGAUAGUUGAAGAUGUUUUAGUCCAAGUAGAUGGAUUAAUUUUUUCCUGCUGAUUUUUAUGUGCUUUACAUGGAUGAUAGAAGUGCUCCAAAUCCAUUACCGAUUAUAUUAGGAAGACCAUUCUUGAGUACUGUCCAGACUAAAAUUGAUGUUAGUAAGGCUACUCUCACGAUGAAAUUUGAUGGAGAAAUAGUCCACUUUAAUAUUUUUGAUACAAUGAAACAUCCUAUUAACUCUCACUCUGUGUUUGCUAUUCAUGCUACUGAUCCCUCUGUGUAAGAAUUUUCUGAGUUUACUUGUAGGAGUAAAUUCAAAAUUGCUGCGAACAAGUAUCAUGGAAUGAAAGCAAUUUAUGAGGUGAAAAUGGGUAGAAAAUUAAGAAAAAAAUGUUGCAUUCAAUGGCUAUUUGGAUCCCGGAGGAGGGCCACAGAUUAGAAGAAAAAUUGAAUUACAUCCAAACUGAAGAGCGGUGUACAGUGUCUAGUCAAAAACAUUAAAGAAAGGCGCUACUUGGAAGGCAAUCCAAGGAUUUCAAUUGUGUUUUAUUUCAUAUUUGUGUGUUCAAGAUCAGUGAGUUUAGAUUCCUAUUGACAAACAAUCUUUAUUGUAGGUCAUGAGUGUUUCUGUGUAGUUUUAUUCUAGGUUGGGGGCAAAAAUUUGUGGGCAGAAGACUUCGACCUCCAAGGCGUGCCCACGCCUGCCAACCUUUGCAACAAUGAAAGUCAAAAAAAAAAAAUUGAUUGACCAGGACCUUCUCUAACCCCACUUUUCUACUUUUCUCUUUUCUUGUCUUGUCUGGUCUUUUUAAUUUCCUCUGUCUUAGUUUCUACUUUUCAAUUUCCUUUGUUUUGUCUUAGUUUCAGUUUCUUCGUUUCCUCUUUUCUUGUUAGUCCGCCGCGCAUAGCGCGUCGCCGUGGCGUGCUCCUUUUACCAUGCUCCUCCUGCUGGGGAUUCUCAAUACCGUGCCCUCCAAGAUUCUAUCAGUGAAAUAGGUGAGCGAGUUGAGGGACUAGAGGACCGUCUUAGAGCGUUACGGGUUUUUUUCCGUAUUCAGAUGGAGAAUCAGGCAACUUUCUUUGCUCAUAUUGGAUUUCUACCGCCUCAUCCUCCUCCUCCUUAGUGUCUCGUUGCACCAUCUCGGUAGUCAGGGAAGUUUCGCCCCCUUUAUCCUUACACUUUAUUUAUUUUUGCUACAUUGAGCACAAUAUAGGUUUUAGGUGUGGGGGGAUGGUUUCUAUUAUUUCUUUUUGUUUCUAUUAUUUCUUUUUGCUUGAAAAAGAGAAAAAAAAUGAAAAACAAAAAAAUAUUUCAAAAAAAAAAAGUGCAGUUAGUUGCCUUUCUUUUUAUUUCUACAGUUGUUAACUGUUAGAGCAUGUUGCUAUGAUGGAUUGCACAAUCAGGGUGCACGGGUAUGUGGUCAUAUAUGCUAGCCAUGCAUUUUGGUUUUCUUUGGCAAUAUCGGUGAAUGUUGAACAUGCUGGACUUGACCCAUUCUUGAAACUUUUGGGAGCUUUUGAGCCAUGUACGAGCACGUUAUUCUUGUUUGCUUCGUUUGUGUUAUUGAGUGGGUAUCACACAUGGCAUUGGCAUUCUAGAACUUGCUAUUUUAUACAUGUCGAGGCCACAUUUUGUUGAACUAGAUGCAUCUGAAAUGAUAAGGGCAUUUAGGAUCUAACAUUCUUUAACUUUCUACAAACCAUGCCUUCAUCUUGUCUCCUCGUAAUGAACCUAUUUGAGCUUUUAUCCUUCGCUAUUGUUUGAUUAACCGUAUUUGAUAACCCAUGACCUUUUUAGACUUUUUUGUUUAACCUUGUGCCGUCAAGAGAUGUCUGAAUUCCGUUGUUUGUGCAAGGCAAAUGAAUCUAAGGUGGCAAGUGUUGUCGGAAUAGAAGUUGUAUGGUGCUCUGUGCAUCUGAGAUAAAAAAAAAAGGGGAAGGGGGAGAAGUCGGCAAUGAGCUGGUGGGCAGAAGACUCCAGCCUGCAAGGCGUGCCCACGCCUUGCAAGACAUUUGCUCCAUUAAAAAAAAAAGAAAAAAAAAGAUUGUCAGCAGAAGACUCCGGCCUACAAGGCGUGCCCACGUCUUGCGAGCCGCUUGUUCAAAAAAAAAUUAAAAGAAAAAAGAAAAAAAAAAGAUAAAAGGGGAAGAGUUUCGGCACUUGCACAGUGGAAAUGGCAAAUGAAAAUGCCUUGCUCGUGAAAUUUCUCUGAUGAAGCGUUGUGGUGAUGUGGUGGAUAUUAGGCAUUCUCUUGAUACACUACACCUUAUUUUUACCUUUUUAUCCCGCCUUUUACCUAAACCCCAUUACAACCUUAUUAAAGUCCCUUUGAUUUGUGUAUUUAGUUCACUUGCGAGUGGUGGAGAUGUGAUAAAUGUGCAAGCCUAUGGUAAUGCCAUUCCGUGAUGUUGAUUUGAGCAUUCCUAGUAUUCAUAUAUUUUCUUUGAAUUACCACUUGUCCGGUGUGCUCUAAUUUUGGAAACAUUGUCAGGGAUCUGAGAUGUUUGUGUUAGUACAAAUUACUACAUGACCUUUGCUCUCUUGGUUGUACUUUUGAGCUCCGAAAUGCUUGAGGGCAAGCAUUGUUUAGGUGUGGGGGGAUUUGAUAGAGCAAUUAUUGGGCACAUUUUGCACUGUUAUUUUGUCAUAAUUUUGGCUAUUUACUGUGCUAAGUAUUGAGAUUUUGCUAAUAUUUCAUAUUUGUAUGAAUUUAUAGGUGGUUGGCGUAAAAAGUGUUUUCGCGAGGCAAAUUUCCAGAAGACUCUCUAUUUCAUGACUUGCCCACGCCAGAAACUAAAGAGUUACACCUAAAAGCCGGACCCGCGAGAUUGGUUGCAGCGCAAAGUGGGCAAUUAGGAGGUUGGGUCCACGUGGACCGGACGCAUGGGAUUAAAAUCCCAAAAAAGCAAAGCUUUGCAGAGGACCCUUUGUGGAUUGCUCCUGGCGGCUGCAAAAGGCCAAAAACCAAAAGAAAGCCAGAUUCACGUUUUAAUUGAUAGAUUAGCCUUUAGCUUUUGCUUUUUAGGGUCAGACGUCUUCUUUUUCUUGGGACUUUUCGCACUAGCUUUAGACAAUUAGGGAGUAGCUUUCGUUUGUGAACCCUGGAAGACGAAUUGAAGUCUGCCGUCUUUGUUUCGUUUAUCUCAGACGCCUGUCGUGAGACCGGGGCUUUUACCUUUUGCUUUGGUACAAACACGAAACAAAGUGAAGCUAGAGUUUUUCUUCGGGUCCGUUGUUAUUCCGUCUCUCCCAGAUUAUUGGUAAAUAAUUGGAUGUUAUCAAUUAAAUCACGGGAGAGUGAUAUGAUGAGGAGCGGCUAGUUUUCUCCUCUACCCAAAGGUCGACGCGAGGGCGCGGUCCAUAACAUCUGUGAGAUCUAAUCGAAUUUUCAUUAUUUCUUUCAAUUCAUUACUAUUCAUGUGUUUCCUAGAUUAAUUGCUCAUGGGUAUUUUAUUAAUUGAGUAUCAACGGCCGGAUAUUUAAUUUAAUAUAAUAGCCUACUGCCACGUUAAUUAAAUUGAAUCCGUAAUUGUUCGUUUAGUUGACAACUAGUGGGAACCAUCAUAAUUGAUUUUAUGUUGGGGAAACGUAAGAUCUGGCUUAAAUAAACCCUCUUAGCGUGUUUAUUGGUUAGGGUUGGGUUCUUCUAGUUUUAAUGAAACUGGAUAAUUAAAUUCCUACGGUUGUAACUAGGAUUAUUUUCUGGUUAGAGAAGCAGUCAAUGGUCGUACCUUGACUGUCGAAAAAGUAAGGAAGAACUGGUUGUUAGAGCUUGUUGAUAACUAUAACCAAUCUAGUGACUGAUGAAUGAAAUAUCUUUGCAUCGAUGAUCAUUUAAUUGGACCGUGCCUGAAAAGUUGAUCAUUUGGAUAGAAUUUUAUUAAUUGCUAUUUUUACUAAAUUGAACUUGUUGAGUUAGCUCUUGAAUUUUAUUUAUUUCAUUUUUAUUUUUAUCCCAUUAAUUAUCCCCCUAUUUUAUUUUAUUAACUUGGAAAGAAACAAGUUCCUACCCGUUCUCUGUGGAAUCGACCCUACUUGCCAUUGUAUGCAAAUUUAAUAUUUUUAUAGACAAUUAUGAUAUAUCGGAUCAAGCAAACUCUUCGGGAACAGGGUGAAUCAAGUAACCCAUUGCACACCUAGGGUCCCUUCUCCAGUACUCGGAUUUAUUAUAUAAUUAAUUGUGGUGGUAAUUAGGGCUUUUUAGUAAUUAUUAUUGCACAGGCUUGACACCUGUCAAUUUUUGUGUUUUGCACGUGAACAUGAUGCUUUUAUAUUUUUUUCCCUUAAAAAUUUUUAGAAAAUCAAUUAUUUUGAAGGAAUAAAUGUAAUUGAGACAAAAAAAAUAUGACAUUUUAUAUUUAUAUUGCUUUAUAUUUUUCUGAACUUAGUUUUCCCUAACUAAACAUAAAUGCACAAGUAAUAAAUCACUCUUUGUUUUAAGAGCACUUUUAUUUUGUAACAGUAUGAAUAUUUUUGUCUUUUGGUUAAAUUUAGAUGACCUAAAUGUUCUUUUUUAUGCCAUCUAAGUUUACAUUUUUAAUUUUUUGAAUAAUUUAUUGCUCCCUUUAAGUUAUUCUAUGAAUUGUUUAUUAGUUUUGGUGAGAUUUUCUAAUAAUUAUUAUUUUUUGCUAAUGGUGGAUUGUAAAAUGAUCUAUAGUGCUACUAUAAUUAUAGUAGUAUUUAAAUAUAUUGAAAUUCCAUUGUUUGAAUUUAAAUAGCUUAACUUUAGAGAGAAAUAUUUUGAUUUGGUGAAACCUAUUUGUAUUUCUCACUGAUGACAUGCUUUAUGAAUAUAGAGUUUCUAUGAUUAAAAAUUGUAAGACAUUAAGACUAUUUAUUAUAUAAUAGUUAAAUUGAACUCGGAUAUAUUUUUAUUCACCUUUGAAAUACUCCUUGAAAUUGAUAUUUUAUAUAAAAAAAAAAUUUGGAUUAAUUCACCAUAACUCAAAGGGAUGUUUUAGCUGUGUAAUUAUUAUUAUGAUUAGCAUUGAUGAAUAUAAUAUUCAUUAAUUGUGGUUUAAUAUAUUAGUUGUUACAAGAAUAUGAUUGCUAAAGUCCAUUAAAUCUAAUCUUUAUUGCAAUUUAAAUAAAUAAAUUCCUAACACAAAACUCUUUGCCUACCUUGGCACUCCAUUUCCUAUUUUAUUUUGUAUUAAAAUUUUUUACUCAAUAGUAAUAUAUGCAUAUUAAAAAGAUACUCUUAAGACUUAAUUAACUUGUAUCCAAAAAAUUAAAAAAAAACAUGGUACUUUUUAAGAGACUCAUAGUACCAAUUUAUUAUGUUUUGUUUCAUGUUUGAAGCACUCUAACUUAGAUUUUGUAAAUAAAAUUUGUUGUUCUUUCUUUUGUAAAUAAAAAGUAAGGAAUCUUUCAUAUUCGUAACUGCUAGCCUAUUUGAUAUUAUUUAUUAAUGAUGAAAUACAAUGCAAUUUAUCCAUUUAUUAGAGAGGAGUGUAAUUUUGGUAUCAAAAAAAUUAAUAUCAUUUUUGUUACAUUAUUGACCACUAAAAUUCACCAUAUUUUUUUAAAAUUUAUAAAUAAAAUUUAUUCUUCUUUUUUUCUUUAAUUCACUAUAACUCAAAUUCUAAUUGUUCAAAUUAUUUUCUAAUGCUUCAAUUUUUAUUCUAAUUACUCAUAUUAUUGAAGCAAUUGGUAACAUUUUGUUCAUUUCAUUAAUAUCAUAACCGAAAUAAAAUGACUGUAAUUAUUAGACAAAAGGGUACUUUGGUCACAGCAAAAACUAAGACCAACAAAAAAAUGCUUACACUUUAGAUUGUUUACACUCUAUUUGCCUAAACUAUCCAUUGUUUUAUUGGGAUUAUAGAUACAGAUAGAUAGAUAGAUUAGUUUGCUAGUUUGCCAAGGUAUUAAAAGGCAUCAAUAGCACCUAUCGCAACAGAUUUAUGUCAUCAAUUGGACAAGGUAUUGAGCUUUGUAGGGGUGGCAAUUCCCGAUGCAACCUGAAAACACGACACGAAUCUAAUACGAAAUUAAUGAAUUUGGGUUUAGAUUUUGAGGAUUCGGGUCAAACCCGAUAAACCCAGAAAAAAAGGUCAAAAUCGAGUCCAAAUCAGAUUGACCGCUAACCCGUUUCUGAAAUAAAAAUAAAUAAAUAAAUAUUAAAGACUUAUCUAAAGACUAAAUAGUAAAUACCACUACACAUCAAAACAACAAUUCACACACUUGACUUGGUCGGCCAUAUUAAUUUGUCUAGCUUGUAGGUGGACUGUUUAAGCAGCAUCCAAGGAACAAAUUUUGAAAAGUUGCCUCAAAUAGUCAAAUGUUGUCACCUGAUCCUCACUCGAAGCCAAAAUCUUUCUUCCUCCUAAUAGUUCACUACUUCACCUAACCUAAAUCUUUCUUCCCCUUUUCUUCUAAACGGUAAAAUCGGAAAGGGCAGCCUUGCCCUUCACCAGUUCACCUCACGGUCCUCACCUCAUCACCUAUCAGUAGCAGACGAUGGUUAGAAGCAAGCAACGGCUUUUCUUCCCUAAGGUCUGAGCAGCAAGCAAUUCCUAAUCUAGAUCGAUUAUUGAAGAAGCGAAAAAGUUAUGCAGAAUUGGAUGCAACCUGUCUUGGUUCAUGGUAUUCAUUUUGAAAUUUAUAUAAUCACAAUUAAAACACAAGUAGAAUUUGGACAUCCGUUAGGACUUAGGAGGCACUCUAUGAGUUACUUAUAAACUCUUUCUUAUCAAGUUUAAUAAUCAUUGCAUUCUGCAUUCGUGUGGCUUCUGGAAUAUAGGUUAUUAGACAGCAUCAUUAUGAAUGCUGUUGUUGCUGGUGAUGAGGGCCGAAGCAUUGGUUGGCCUUGGAGCACCACUUUUGUUGUGAUUUAAUAUCAUGUGAAUUGUAAUAUAUUGACUCUAAACUUGUAUUUGAUUGGCAACCUUUUGUUUAGAUUGUUCUAACUGAAUUUGUUUGACUUGUAUAAAGUUGGAGUUAUUAGAUUUGGAUUGAUGAUGUAUUACAUUAUUUCUACUCUUAUGGUGUCUUUUUUUAGUUUGGAAUUGAUUCUGUUAAAAAACACAGCCGAUUAAUCAAUAAAAUUAAAUUAAAUUUCGGAUCAUUUCGGAUCAGCCCGGUUGAUCCGUCAAUCCAGAUAUUUCGGGUUCAAGUCAGAUAUUCUGACCCGUUUCGAGUUGACGGGUCAAAUUUGAGUCAACGAGUUUUUGGUUUUAUUCGGGUCUCAAUCCGACCCGUCACCCAAGAGCUUUGCACGCUAUUAAUGGUUUGACCAAGUGUGUCUCCAUGUUUCAAAUACUAUUUGGUUAGUUAUUAGAAUGAUGCAUCCCAAACUUCUUUUGCAACUAAUGUUGAUAGCCAAAAAGCCAAAAUCGGGCCUUAUCGGGGGCUGCAGUGAUUAAAGAAAAUAAUUUGUCGACGAGUACUUUUUCCAUCCUAAUGUCGCCGCAGACAAUGUGAAUGCAAUAGUACUGUCCUCUAAACCUUUACCAACAGUUAAAAUCCACACAAUUUGUCUGAUCAAAAUUGUAUAUUUGUAAAAAUUAUAGCACUCCAAGAAACGAUACUGACAGGUUGUCAGCCUGUGCAAUAAUAAAACCUGCUCAAACUAAAAGUAAUUUCUGUAGAUAGCGGUAAGCAGGGUCGAAUCCACAGGGACUGGGAGUAAUUGUUUCAUUUCAAAUUCACAGUGACAAAUGGGGGUGUUUUUGUGUAGAAGGUGACACUCAAAGAAAUUCAAAUAAAAUCUAAGAAACUACUAAAAAUUAAAUAACAAAAUAUUAAAAUCAAAUGAGUAAUAAUUAAAGAUCUAGCCAAGAAAUAACUUCAGCAAUGGUUCACCUAAUUGAUCAUCGAUGCAAAGCCAAUUCCAAUUAUUUAUCAAUAAAUAGGUUAUAACUACCAAACAAGCGAUGACAGUCAACCCCUCCUUACUGUGUCGGUGAUCAAGGUACGCCCGUUAAUCACUGCUCUAAUUGAGAAAUAAUCCUAGGUACGCCCAUAGGAUUUAAUUCCCCAAUUGCCUUACGUAUUAGAGGAGCCCUAUUCUAACCAAUAACGCACUACCAGGGUUAUUUUAGAUUAACCCGCGUAUUCCCCUGACACAAACCUAAUCAUGCCAGUUGUCACUAUUUUAGAGCAAUUAAACAAUUACGGAUUUAAUGCCCUAAUUGACAAUAGAUUACUAAAUCAAUUAAUUAUCCGGAUCUAAGACAACCAAUUAAUUGAACAAUCAUAAGCACUGCAAUCAAGGAAUAUGCGAAUACCAAUAAUUCAAAGGGAAAGAUUAAAUUAAAUCGAUCUCACAAUUUUUAGGUAACCCAAAGCAUCCGUCGUUUCUUGACUAGAGUGAGGGGAUUAGCUCAUAUUGGAUGAACUACGCCCGCGGGAAAUUUCAGCAGAAGUCACGACCAUUGUCUGCGUUUCAGGAAGUUGCAAUUCGUCGAACAGAAAGAACGCAAAUGAAAGUCUCAAGCAGCAAUUGAAUCUAUUUAUUAUUCCCAGCAUCCGUAUAGCAAAACCACUCCAGCAGUACAAGGAGGAAAAGUCAAAGCUAAAAGAAAAAGUUGCUUCCUCCUCACAUGCGUGGAGAAAAGCCAAAGGAAAACUUAACAAGAAAAGUCCAAGUCAAGAAGAGUCAAAACAUUUCUGCUAAGCUACAGCCGAGAAAGCUAAGAAAAAACUCGCCGCCCAACUUCCUUCUUUUUACUCCUUUUAAUUGCGGCGCCCCUCAGCAGAACCAAGCCCUCCCAGGUGUCCUUCCCUCGCGGAAUUUACCAAAAUGGGCGUGAUAUCUUCAUUUCCAAAAAUACCCGUUGGACAAGCUCUAUCAUCUGCAUCCCUUUUCUGUCAAAUUGGUACCUGUUAUCAUAUUUUCGUUCUACUCCCUGAAAUAAAUGCAAUUUACGAAAAGUGAGUAGAAUCUACUAAUUAAUCCACAUCCGGUCAGAUAAUAGGGGAAAUUAAUAAUAAAAUAAGUAAUAGAAUUGCUACCUAUCAAUUCCCCCCACACCUAAAUCAUGCUUGCCCUCAAGCAUAAGAAAAGGGUACAGACACCAAAAUUUGAUGACGGUCAUUGCUCUAUCUACCAAAUUGCCAAGAUAUCCAGAAAAAUCAUAUAUCGAGCACUAGUGAUUAAAAUCCAAGAAGCAUCCCUCCCGGUUAGCCCCUAGACUGCAAAUUCCUUCAAUUUCCAGGUUAACUACUCUAAGAAAAGGGAAUGGCACACAACAUUUAUCAGCUAAUGGUCCAAAUAUUCACACAAGUCUCCAUAUUAAGUCCAUAAAUCGGCAAGCCUUCCCAUUAUUUAUUCUCUCUUUUUUUUCAUUUUUUUUCUUUCGUUCCCUGUGUUUUUCUCUUUUUUUGUUUUGUUUUUUUUAAAGCAAUAAUAAUUAACACAAAAAGACUUAGUCUUUAGCCGUCGGGGCCUUUUGACGCGAACUCCAACAUUUUUAGAUGAAGGAGCCCGGUUACUCAGCUCCUACCGCUAUACGACCACGUACUCAUAGAAAGCACCACCUUUUGACGCGAGAAUCGACACUUUUAGGUGCAGAUUCCCGGUUACUCAGUAGUAACUUAAUAGCGGAGUACAGUCAAGCUUAUUCACAGCCAAACAAUGCACAAACGCAAAAUAACAACACUAACAACUAAGCAUAGGAGCAGCUCGCCUCAUUAUUGCCAAACAUGGAGAACUGGAGUCAAUAUUGGACCAGUUCACAUUAAAAACACCAACAAUCAUUCCCUAUGCCUAGAAAAGUUAACAAAGAAAUCAAAAGAGUCAAGCAGUCCGAUAUUCACCAAGGAGAUGUCUUGGACCCAACCACAUUAACCCGAUACAUACUUAUUUUAAAAACUUGGCAAAAGUAGAAUUAGAGUCAAUAAGCCAACAUCCAAAAAUUUUGUCCUCUUUUCGUUUUCUGUUUUUUUUUUCUCUUUUUUUUUUGUUUUUGUUUCUCUUUUUUUCAUUCGCAGGAGAGAUAAGCACCAAGAAGAAAGAAAGAAAAUGAGCAACUAGAAAUAAAACUAAAAACUAAAGAAAACUAAAAACACUAGCACCCUUUUAGAUCCCCCCACACCUAUAGGACACAUUGUCCUCAAUGUGACAAAUAACCAACAAAAGUGGGUGAGAGGACAGCAACACUUCCCUGAAAUCCGGUCAAAGAGGUGGGCGAGGCGGAGCUGGAGGAGGAAAGCCCGUAUGAUGCAGAAAUUGCGCCAAAUUCUGUGCUAUGCCAGCUACAUUGAGGUCGACGUUGAGCAUUCGAGCCUCCAAAUUCUGAACCUGCUCUCGGAGUUGCUGCCAUUCAUUGGUCCCAGGUGGUGGAGGUGGCGCAGAAGCAGAGGUAGAUGGCCCAGCAGUGUCCUCGGCCGACCCAGGGAAUGAAGAGUGCCCCGCCUGUGUUGAAGGCCGCGUACCCGGAGCUCGAACUAGGCCCGGAGGGGUAAACUGGUGGAAACCAUUGGGCAGGCGCUCGACGACUCCCAUUUUCUCUAAGCAGUCCACGUCCAGGAGCUCCAUCUCGAAAGCCAAAUGUAAGUCGUGGUCCUCCAGAAUAAGAACUCCCAACUGCGUCGCCAAGUGGGUAAUGUAGGACCCAAGAAUCAGAGGUUUGUUCUUCUUGGUCAAAACAGUCUUGAACUGUGCAGCCAACCAACACCCCAAGUUGACCUUGAUAUUGUUCUUCAUACUCCAGAGGAAGAAAAACUCAGGUCGAGAGAGUAUACCAGAGCUGUCCUUGCGCCCUGAGUAGCUGUAGGCUAAGAAUCGCUGAACGUAUCGGGCACCAGGAUCUUUAAGAAAGGAGCUCCUAGACCUAGAAGGGUCGUAGCGGUGCCGAUCGACUGACAUUUCCUCCCACACAUCAUGGUAGUGGGAGAGUAAUGGCUCUAUGUAAUCACAGGCACUCCCCGCAUACUCCCUAGUUUCAGCAUACUCUCUCGUGAUAAAUCCAAAUGCCAGAUUGAACUGGGUAAUGGAGAAGUUGAACUCCCUACCCAUUAGACGGGAAUGAAUGACAUUUGGUGUAUCAACGGUGUAUCUCGUAGGCAACUCGAACUCAAAGGUGGAGUAAAACUCCCGAAUCAGCUCAACAAAAGCAGGGCAGGAGAUAUCAAGAUACGGGCACCACCCAAUGGAGGUAAACAUCUGAUUGACCUCCUCCCGUAUACCCAGGGCAGUCAUAGUGAUUUUGUGACAAGAUUUGCAGGGUAUAAUACGCCUCUCACAGACCUUAGCGUAUCUCUGCCGAUCGGCGGGUCUGGUAAACGUUAAGUGCCCCCCAAAGUGAGCAGGGGUAUCUACCUGAGCACCCCUACCCCUACCCAAACGGGUUCGAACACUAGAAGAGGAGGGUCGGUUGGUAGGUGAGUUGACAGGAAUAGAGGUUGGUAGGUGAGUUGACAGGAAUAGAGGCUUGUGGAGGGGGUUGAGACUGAGAGGUCCUAGACCUAGAGGAGGAUUUUGGUCUCACCAUUUCACCCACAGUCAACUGGAACAACAAGAUACAGAAUUUCCCACGCCCAGUGCAACCAGCAAUUACCGAUGGAAUCAACCAGCAAAUGGACAACAGAGCUACCCACAAAUUUAUACCAAUUUACCAACAAAGCAACAAUGGUACUCAAUAACCACAGGAUGCCCAACUAUUAACCACAACUAGCAACUGGCAAAGGUUAUUUAAUAAGCAAGGAGAUUAUCCAAGUCACUCAGUAAUCAAGCAAACGUUGUCCAUCCAAAAAUUCCAACAAGCAGCCCAAUUAGUGAAACAGCUAUAAAAGAUCAGAACAGAUGCUACCUAUGGCCCCCAAUCCAGCAGUCACAGCAGAGUAUACAAUUCCAAACUUACAAAGUAAGUCAAGCGACACAGGAUUUCAGCUCAAUAUGCAAUAUUCGAAGUAACUGAAGCAAAAACCCCACAAAACCUCAACAAUUCCUCCAGCAAAGCAAGCAAAAUAGACCUUAACAGGGUAACAUACGGCUGCAGUAUUUAAGCUCACCCCAAAAUUUCAACAAGUGGCUCCAGAUGGCCAGUUAAUUGCACAAUUACAGCCAACCCACAGGAAUGAGCAAUUCUAAGCAAAAACAAUCUAACAAGUACCACUGGUGAAAAUCGCACACGGCCAAAAUACCAACUCUUGACGAACCCAGAUAGCAUUAAUCAAUUUAGGAGAAAUUGGGGAGCAAGCUUCAAAUACCUCCGCCAAUAUCUUGGCAGUCGGCGGACAGGGCAGACGGGUCAAAGCUCCACGCAAGUGAAGUGCUCGCCGCUGGUUGGGUCGCCUUGCGCAGGAGAGCUGUCUGGCAGCGAUUGCGGCGGCAGUCCAAGGGCUGGCUGUCGCGUGCGGCUGUGGUGGCGUCUGAAGUGGGUGUGCGCGGCUGGGCAAGGGAAAACCAGACAGCGGCGGCGUGGGAAGCUGUCUGUCGCGGGCAUGCGCGCGAGCUAGUGGCGCUCGGCUGUGGGCAAGAGGCCGCGACGCUGGAGAGAGGGCUGGUGGGUCGGCGGCGCAGGCUGGUGACGACUGGUGGAGCUCGAUGCGAGGGGGACAGUAGCGGCGGAGCGCGCGAUUGGGGCGCGCGAUGGGAGAGGGAAUUUUAGCCGUAGAGCAGAUCUGGUGGUGGAGGAGGUGCGCCAGUGAGCGGCGGACAGGGGGUCUUCGGUCGACAGAGAAGAAAAAGAAACAGGGGAGAAGAAAGAAAGAAAAGAGAAAGAAGAAGAAAGAAAGAAAGAAAAAGAAAGAAAAGAAAAGAAGGAAAAAAAAACAGAAAUUGUUUUGUUUCUUUUUUCUCUUCUCCAGGCUCCAUUUAAGCCAUGGUGAUGAUGAUUUUUUUUUUUUUUUUGAAAAUUAUUUCAUUAUCAGUAUAUAACUAGUAUAUAUAUAUAUAUAUUAUUUUUCUUUUUUUUUUUCUUUUGUUCAACUUUUUUUUUUUUAAAUCCUUACCUUUCCCGCGAACGUGACGCGGGCACGUCAAGAGAGCAAGAGAGCUCCCAGAAGUUUCUGAUCGUGAGCUUCCUGCACGUCACCACGCGGGCGCGUCAUGACUGAAGGGCACCUAUAAAUCAGCAAAAACGAAAACUGAAACCCAAGAUCAGUCGAAUUCAAGGAGAAAACAUCUAAACUACCACACGAAAAUGAACAAACAAUUAAAAGGAACAAUUGGGUUGCCUCCCAAGGAGCGCCUUUCUUUAAUGUCUUUUGGCUAGACAUGGUAAAGUGUCACUGAUUAAGACACGGUGGUGCGUCUAGAUGUACUGUCUCCACUUCUCCACCUGAAAAACUUUCGUAAUAGUGUUUGAGACGGUGUCCAUUCACCACAAACUUGUUGUCUGUCUUAGCACUUCGGAUUUCGACUGCACCAUAUGGAAAAACGUGAGUAACAAUAAAAGGUCCAAUCCAACGGGAACGUAGCUUACCUGGGAAUAGCUUGAGCCUUGAUUGGUAUAGGAGGACCUUCUGACCAACUUCAAAUGUUUUUCUUGAAAUUUGUUGGUCAUGAAAUGUCCGGCUUCUCUCCUUAUAAAUUAAUGCAUUUUCGUAGGUUUCGUUCCGGAUCUCCUCUAAUUCCUGCAAAUCUAACUUCCGUUGGGCACCGGCCUCCUCUAAAUUCAUGUUGCAUUGCUUAAUCGCCCAAAAAGCCUUGUGCUCAAACUCCACUGGAAGGUGACACGGCUUCCCAAAUACUAACCUGUACGGCGACAUCCCUAUAGGAGUCUUAUAUGCCGUUCGAUAGGCCCAGAGUGCGUCCUCCAACCUUUGACUCCAGUCUUUCCUAUCGGGGCGCACCAUUUUCUCCAAAAUGGAUUUAAUCUCCCGAUUCGAUACUUCCGCUUGACCAUUAGUCUGCAGGUGGUACGACGUCGAGACCCUGUGGAGUACACCAUACUUGCGAAACAACGCAGCAAUGGUUUUGUUGCAGAAGUGCGUUCCCCUAUCACUGACAAUAGCUCUUGGCAUUCCAAAUCGCACAAAAAUAUUAGCCCUGAUAAAAUCUGCAACUACUUUCGAGUCAUUAGUCCUAGUGGCCUUAGCCUCCACCCAUUUAGAUACAUAAUCAACUGCCAGCAAAAUAUAUAUAAAAUCAAAAGAAGUAGGAAAAGGCCCCAUGAAAUCUAUACCCCAAACAUCAAAAAUUUCAACAAAAAUCAACGGGACUUGGGGCAUUUGAUCUCUACGGGCUAUAUUACCUACCCUUUAACAGCGAUCACAUGACUUACAGAACACAUAGGCAUCCCUAAACAAUGAAGGCCAAUAAAAUUCACUUUCUAAAAUCUUGUGAGCAGUUCUCUUGGAUCCAAAAUGACCUCCACAGGCAAAAGUAUGAUAGAAAGCUAAAAUCGAUUGAAAUUCCACUUCACUUACACAUCUCCGCAUCACUUGAUCUGCACAUCUCUUCCAUAGGUACGGGUCAUCCCAGAUAAAAUACUUGGCGUCGCUCUUCAAUUUAUCCCUCUUCGAUUUUGGCCAACCUGCAGGAAAAUUACCAGUUACCAAAUAAUUGACCAGAUCAGCAUACCAAGGCAAUUGAGAAUUUAAAGAAAAUAAAUGCUCUUCAGGGAAUGCAUCUUUCAACGGCUCGCUCUCCUCCCCAACUGGUAAGCGACUCAAAUGGUCUGCUACUAGAUUCUCUGAGCCUUUUUUAUCCCUUAUCUCUAAGUCAAAUUCCUGCAGUAGCAAUAUCCACCUGAUGAGCCUCGGUUUGGCAUCUUUCUUGGUCAUCAGGUACCUUAAUGCUGCAUGAUCAGAAAAUACAAUUACUUUAGCACCUAGCAAAUAUGACCUGAAUUUCUCUAAAGCAAAAAUUACUGCAAGAAGCUCCUUCUCAGUAGUGGAGUAAUUCAGUUGAGCUCCAUUCAGUGCUCGGGACGCAUAGUAGAUGACGUGAGCCGCCUUUCCUACUCUUUGCCCCAGUACAGCCCCAACAGCAUGAUCACUGGCAUCGCACAUGAUCUCAAAUGGCAAACUCCAAUCGGGGGGCUGGAUGAUUGGGGGUGAAGUCAACAGUUCCUUCAACUUGUCGAAGGCUCUCUCACACUUGUCAUCAAACUCGAAGGCUACAUCCUUUUGCAAGAGUUGGAACAACGGGGCCCCAAUUUUUGAAAAUUCCUUGAUGAACCUUCGAUAAAAACCUGCAUGUCCAAGAAAAGAACGCACCUCCCGCACAUUCACGGGGUAAGGCAAUGCAGAAAUAACGUCUAUUUUAGCCUUGUCAACCUCAAUGCCCUUAGACGAUACAAUAUGACCCAGGACUAUCCCGUGCUCAACCAUAAAAUGACAUUUUUCCCAAUUAAGCAUAAGAUUAAUCUCUAUACACCUUAUCAGGAUCAAUUUCAGGUUAUCUAGACAUGUAUCAAAACUAUCACCAUACACACUGAAAUCAUCCAUGAAAACUUCAAUUAUUUUCUCCACAUACUCAGAAAAAAUACUUACCAUACACCUCUGGAAUAUUGCAGGUGCAUUGUACAACCCGAAUGGCAUUCGUCUGUAGGCAAAGGUCCCGAACGGGCACGUGAAGGUUGUCUUCUCUUGAUCCUCUGGUGCAAUUGCUAUCUGAAAAUAUCCUGAAAAUCCAUCCAAAAAGCAAUAGUAAGCCCUACAAGCUAGACGUUCAACCAUCUGGUCAAUGAAAGGGAGAGGGAAGUGGUCCUUUUUAGUGACGACGUUUAGCCUACGGUAGUCUAUACAUUGCCUCUAUCCAGUGGGUUUGCGCACUGGCACGAGCUCACCCGUUUGGUUGGCCCCACCGUCACCCCUGCCUUCUUUGGGACUACCUGGACCGGGCUCACCCAAGGGCUAUCUGAUAUUGCAAAAAUAAUCCCCACAUCUAGCAAUUUCAGAAUUUCUUUCUUUACAACUUCCAUCAUGAGGGGAUUGAGUCUCCUUUGAGCCUGCCGUACAGGUUUGGCAUCCUCUUCUAGUCUAAUCCGGUGCAUACAGAUGGCCGGGCUGAUCCCCUUAAUGUCUGCGAUUGUCCAACCUAUCGCCUCUUUAUGCUCUCUAAGGACCCGGAUCAGUUUCUCCUCAUGGGUUUUUGACAGUGCCGAUGAGAUAAUCACCGGGAGUGUCUCAUUAUCACCCAGAUAUGCAUAUUUCAGGUGCUCUGGUAGAGUUUUCAACUCCAGUACAGGUGCCUGCAUCACAGAUGGCAAUACCCUCUGGUGAGGUUCGGGAGUAAAAAUAGGUAAGACUUCAUACCUUUUCGUGGUGGUCUGCAAUGAGUGUAAUGCACCUAUUGUGCAUUUUAGAUCCUCGCUCCACUCCACCUCAGGAGUUGUCUCCAACUCGAGGUUCUUUGUUAGAGCCACCUCUAACUCAUCCCUGCCAACAGUUUCAAACACUUCCUGCACUACAGGGUCAAUAGCACUCACAGAGAAAACUGAACUAAAGUUGGAGUUUGAGGGAUAUUUCAUAGUAUCAAAGAUAUUGAAAUGGACAAUUUCCCCAUCAAAUUCCAUGGACAAUGUACCCUUGUUAACAUCAAUUUUUGUCUGUACUGUACUCAUAAAGGGUCUACCUAAUAACAACGGUGAGAAAUCAGGGGAGUGAUCAUCAUCCAUAUCAAGUACAUAAAAAUCAGCUGGAAAUACCAAAUCAUUAACUUUUACCAACACAUCUUCAACCAACCCAUCAGGGUAUGCGUUAGUUCGGUCAGCUAAUUGAAUGAUUAUUCCAGUUUCUUUUAAUGGACCUAAUUUCAGAGAAGCAUAGAUAGAUUUAGGCAUGACAUUAAUUGAUGCUCCCAGAUCCAACAUGGCCCUUCUAAUCACAGUAUUACCUAUCCUACAGGGGAUAGUAAACAUACAUGGGUCCCCGCACUUGGGUGGAAGCUUUCUCUGCAGGACCGCUGACACAUUCUCCCCAACAAUGACCCUCUCAUCUCCCCUCAACCGCCUUCGGUUGACACACAAGUCCCUUAGGAAUUUGGCAUAUUUUGGUACUUGUUUGAUCGCGUCUAACAGGGGGAUAUUUAUCUCGACCUUGCGAAAAACCUCCAAAAUCUCCUUCUCCUUAUCCUGUUUCUUUGAUUUUUCCAACCUGCUAGGAAAAGGAGGCGGGUUAGUUUUAACUGUAAUUACUGGGUCUGGAAGUACCUUUGGGUCUGCACCACUGCUGUCCUCCCUCUCGAGCUCAUUUUCGAUCUUUUCCUCAUCUUUAUCCUUAGGCAUCACAGGUUCAAACCCCUGAAUUUCCUUGCCGCUCCUCAGGGUCAUGGCGCUCACAUUCUUCGGGUUCAACUCAGGUUGAGAUGGCAGCUUCCCUUGGUUCUGGGAAUCCAAACGGUUGAUUGUUGUGGCCAUUUGACUUAUCUGAUUCCCUAUGUCCUGCAUUUCGGAGUCAGUCCUUUGCUGAUUUUGCAUAAUGGUUGCCUCCGUCCUCUGCUGAUUUUGCGCCAUGGUUGUCAUCAUUUGUUUCAUCAUCUCCUCCAAAGAUGGACCAGAGCUUGGGGACAGAGGUGGUCGGGGUUGGUAUUGCUGCUGGUACCCUGGUGGCUUAUUUGGCACAAAGUUAGACUGCCUGUUCGGUGCGAAGUUGGGCUGCAUAUUUCCCCCAUAACUGAGAUUCGGGUGGUCCUUCCAGCCGGGAUUGUACGUGUUCGAGUACUGGUCAUAGGGCCUUCUUGGCGCGGGCGCGUGACCAGUCAUGUUCACCUGUUCUGCAGUUUCUUCCUGAAGCAUUGGGCACAUGUCUGCAGAGUGACCCAUACCAGUGCAAAUCCGGCACACCCUGGCCUGAGAUGCAUUCCCUACAGCCAGUUGCCUAACAAACGAGGUCAACUCAGUUAGCUGCUGCUGCAUAGAGGACGUCUCUACCUCAUUCACCUUACGUAUUGGGACGUCCUCUCUCGAACUGAAUUGUUGUGAAUUCUCUGCCAUCCCCUCUAUUAACUCUCGUUCUUCCUGAGGGGUUUUGUUCACCAGUGCCCCUCCACUUGCAGCAUCAAUUAUGCUCCUGUCUCUGAAAAGGAGCCCCUCAUAAAAAUACUGUAUGAGCAACUGCUCACUUAUUUGGUGCUGGGGGCACAUUCUGCACAACUUCUUGAACCGUUCCCAAUACUCAUAGAGUGACUCCCCUGAGUGCUGCUUGAUCCCGCAAAUUUCUUUCCUCAGACUUGCAGCCCUGGACGCAGGAAAAUAUUUAUCUAAGAACUUUUUCUUCAAUUGGUCCCACGUGGUGAUGCUACCUGGCGGUAGGUAAUAUAACCAGUCCUUUGCAGAGUCCUUCAAGGAAAAGGGAAAUGCCCUCAUUUUUAUCUGCUCUUCUGUAAUGCCCGGGGGCUUCAUACUGUUGCACACGACAUCAAACUCCUGCAGAUGCUUAUAUGGCUCCUCACCUGGUAAACCAUGAAAAGAGGGUAAAAGAGAAAUCAGACCAGAUUUUAACUCAAAUGAAGUGUUUUCACUCAAACUCGGGAAAGUAAUGCACAAAGGCUGCUGAUUUAAAUUAGGGGCAGCCAACUCCUUUAAUGUUCGUGCAUUAGCCAUGGGGAUUUCUUCUUGCUCCGGGUCACUCGAAGUGUCACCAAAUGAAUCUGUUGGUUCAACUCCUGACUCAGGUCUCUGAGAUGUAGCACUGGAGUGCUCCUCUCUGAGGUGUCUUGUUUCCUUUCUCGUUCUACGCGCGAUUUUCUCUACUUCAGGGUCAAAAAUCAAAUCACCUGUACGAGAAGACCGAGGCAUACACUAGAGAAAUACCAGAAAAUUAGAACAAAAAUGAAUUUUAAAAAAAACAAAUAAUAACGCCAGUCCCCGGCAACGGCGCCAAAAAUUGACAGGUUGUUAGCCUGUGCAAUAAUAAAACCUGCUCAAACUAAAAGUAAUUUCUGUAGAUAGCGGUAAGCAGGGUCGAAUCCACAGGUACUGGGAGUAAUUGUUUCAUUUCAAAUUCACAGUGACAAAGGGGGGUGUUUUUGUGUAGAAGGUGACACUCAAAGAAAUUCAAAUAAAAUCUAAAAAAUUACUAAAAAUUAAAUAACAAAAUAUUAAAAUCAAAUGAGUAAUAAUUAAAAAUCUAGCCAAGAAAUAACUUCAGCAAUGGUUCACCUAAUUGAUCAUCGAUGCAAAGCCAAUUCCAAUUAUUUAUCAAUAAAUAGGUUAUAACUACCAAACAAGCGAUGACAGUCAACCCCUCCUUACUGUGUCGGUGAUCAAGGUACGCCCGUUAAUCACUGCUCUAAUUGAGAAAUAAUCCUAGGUACGCCCAUAGGAUUUAAUUCCCCAAUUGCCUUACGUAUUAGAGGAGCCCUAUUCUAACCAAAUAACGCACUACCAGGGUUAUUUUAGAUUAACCCGCGUAUUCCCCUGACACAAACCUAAUCAUGCCAGUUGUCACUAUUUUAGAGCAAUUAAACAAUUACGGAUUUAAUGCCCUAAUUGACAAUAGAUUACCAAAUCAAUUAAUUAUCUGGAUCCAAGACAACCAAUUAAUUGAACAAUCAUAAGCACUGCAAUCAAGGAAUAUGUGAAUACCAAUAAUUAAAAGGGAAAGAUUAAAUUAAAUCGAUCUCACAAUUGUUAGGUAACCCAAAGCAUCCGUCGUUUCUUGACUAGAGUGAGGGGAUUAGCUCAUAUUGGAUGAACUACGCCCGCGGGAAAUUUCAGCAGAAGUCACGACCAUUGUCUGCGUUUCAGGAAGUUGCAAUUCGUCGAACAGAAAGAACGCAAAUGAAAGUCUCAAGCAGCAAUUGAAUCUAUUUAUUAUUCCCAGCAUCCGUAUAGCAAAACCACUCCAGCGGUACAAGGAGGAAAAGUCAAAGCUAAAAGAAAAAGUUGCUUCCUCCUCACAUGCGUGGAGAAAAGCCAAAGGAAAACUUAACAAGAAAAGUCCAAGUCAAGAAGAGUCAAAACAUUUCUGCUAAGCUACUGCCGAGAAAGCUAAGAAAAAACUCGCCGCCCAACUUCCUUCUUUUUACUCCUUUUAAUUGCGGCGCCCCUCAGCAGAACCAAGCCCUCCCAGGUGUCCUUCCCUCGCGGAAUUUACCAAAAUGGGCGUGAUAUCUUCAUUUCCAAAAAUACCCGUUGGACAAGCUCUAUCAUCUGCAUCCCUUUUCUGUCAAAUUGGUACCUGUUAUCAUAUUUUCGUUCUACUCCCUGAAAUAAAUGCAAUUUACGAAAAGUGAGUAGAAUCUACUAAUUAAUCCACAUCCGGUCAGAUAAUAGGGGAAAUUAAUAAUAAAAUAAGUAAUAGAAUUGCUACCUAUCAGAUACUCUUCUUGGACAUAUCCCCGGACAAUCAGAUUGCUUAAAGAGUCAAUAUGAGAAACAAUCAGAAUUGACCUAAAUUCUACAAUAAUUAUAAAUUGAAAUACCUUAACGUCAACAAUAAUUUUUAAGUAAUCUCGUGGUACAAGUAUUUUUUUUUUAAUGAUGAUGAAACGGGGUCUAAUUGAUAAAAGGGAUAAUUUCAGAAACCUCCUUUGAAGUUUUUGACAAUUUCACUUAGCUCCCCCCAAUUUUAGAAAAUCACACUAUCCUCCCUCGGUUCAAUAAAGUGACUACAAUGCCCUUUACUUAAUAGAUAAUUUACCACAUAUGUGGGUUACAAAAACCAAACCAAAAGUAAAAGAAAAUAUAAAAACCUGCAACAAUUCGUCAUCAUCCCUAAUCCUACUUUAACUAACAACAGUUUCUUUUCUCUUUCACUCACUUUUUUUCUAUUUCUUAUGAUUCUCUCCUUCCUACUUAUAACCCAACAAUCUCUUCCAUCCAUCAACUACACCACCAUGCAAACCUACUCGAAGUGUUUAUUUCUUGUCUAUUUCUCUCUUUCAUGGUACUUAACUAUUAGCCCCUUGUUUAUAACUUGCAUAUAUUAAAUAAUCAAAAUUUCCAAAAUAACAAAUUGAGGGAGCAAAUAAAAAUUUCAUGGUCAAAUUAGAUGGAGAUGAUGAAGAUGGUUGUGACAGAGAGGGAAAAAAUGAAAUUAAUGGGCUAUGGUUGGAAGAGAAAAAGGGAUGACUCUAGAUUAUGUUAUUAUGUCUAUUACGCACUAGAAUCUAAUAUCUGUAUUUAGUUUCAUUUUUGUUUGAUUUACAAGUAUUGGUGGUGGUUUGUUAUAAAGAUUAGUUUCUCUGUUUCUAAUGCCAUUGGAGUAUGGGUUUGCGCUUGGCAUAGACAUCACUAAAUUGGGAUUUUAGUGAUAUCAAAAUUGAUAGAAUUUGGGAAUUAAAUAGGAGUUUGCUUGAACGGUUGAUGAGAUUUUGGGCUUACAAUUAUCAUGGAAGCAUAGAAAAUUUGGAUAAAAGUAUUUGUUACUUUUUUUUGGUUAAAUUGAUCACUAAACCUUUUUUUCACUUUCUUUUGAUGUUAUGAUAUUGCAUAAGGGUAUUUUAGGAUACUUAAGUAUAAUUCUAGUCUAAUGGAUCUAUAAUGUUACCUAAAUAGUAAAAUCAAGGGAGGUUAGUGUAAUUUUCUAAAAUUGGGGGAGCUGAGUGAAAUUGUCAGAAACCUCAAGGAAGGUUUCUGAAAUUAUCCCUUGAUAAAAUGCUUUACUGUAUCCAACAGGUCCUGACUACAAUGUAUUUCUUUUUUCUAUUUGUUUUAAGUUGAUUGGAUUGUCAAUGGCGAAAUCAAAUGAGCAGUUAUUGGUCUGCGAAGAUUGAAAAACUUAGCCCAUCUUGACCUUUGCUUUCUAAUUUCCAAGCCGCAUAUAUGCAAGGACUUGCAAGUCUUCAGCAAAGAGCAAGAAAAGGGUUAUAACACAGGACCAAACUGGCUAUGAUUAUAUUCAUAUUUUUUUCUAAACAAUUUGUUGAUACUUCUAGCGCCAUAGCAAUUCGUGAAAUCUCUCCAUCACAGUGUCCAUUUCAUGUUUGUCUUUUUAGAAAAAGGGAUAAUUUCACAAACCUCCCCUGAGAUUUAUGACAGUUUCACUUGGUUCCCCUUAAGUUUUACAAAUUACACUAACCUCCCCUGUCACCAUAAAAUCACUAUAAUGACCUUCACUUAAUAAAUAAUUCAUAGUAUAAUGAAAUUAAAUUAAAAAAGAAAAAAAACAUGACCUCUUUAACUAUCCUAUUUACAAGUUACAGCUAACGAUGAUUGUCUCUCACUUACUAUCAUUCAAUUUUCAUCCAUCAACCUUUCCUCCUAUAAUUCGCUUUCAAAUUACUACCCUAUAAUUGUAGCCAAUCACACCACAAGUGAUCCCUCAAACUCUAUUAUAUAUUCUUAUUCCUCCUUUCUUCUCUUUGAAAUUGCCAAAUCACAAGUUUAAUCGAGGGAUUAGAUUUGAUGAUUAAAGUAAAAUCCAAUUUCAUGGACAAAUUAAAAGGAGAUGAAGAGGCACACAAUAAUAAUGGAACAAAUAAUGCAAUCAUUGGCCAAAAGAGGAAGAGGGAUUGAAAUUGGUAAAUUUGCUGAUUUGUCUAUUAUCUAUCCAAAAAAAUUUUUAAGAUGUUAAUAAGUACAUUCAUAUUUCUUUUUAUGCUUGACAAUUAUUGUUAUGGUUUGGCUAUCGAGAUAGAGUUUCUUAUCUGUAUUUAAGACGUUAACAUGCUUGAAGAUUUAGUGGUAGGCUAGAUUAUUUUGUUUUGAGAAGGUGUGGGCAUUGGGUUUGAUGUUUGGGGUGUGACUAGUUGUAAAUAGAUUUUGGUUUUUUUGGGAAAAUGAAUUUCUUAAAAAACUCUAUAGUUAUAAUGAUGUCUUUCCCUUUUUUUUAAACUUGAUUAAUUCCAUCCAUGUCUAAAUCUCCCUUAAAGAUUUUCUUCAAGGCCAUAAUUUGGUUCACAUAGUAGGCAUUAAGCCACUUAUAUGGAACCAAAUCAUGGCAUCCUAUGUUGAAAAUUAUGCAAAUAUAAGGGCAGUUGAUUGUGAGUUUGACCACUCCAUGGAAUCAUAUGGUGAGAAUAUUUCUGAAAAAUGGAACAAAUCUUCAGAAUUGAAUGCAUGCUUUAGGAGAAGCAAUUUUAUGACUAUGCUGAUGGAAUUGCUUGGGUUUAGAAUUUGAAAUUAGACUAUUUGUUAGAUUGGUUUGUUAGUACAGUGGGUUUAGUUGAAUUAUGAAACAAAGCAAUUGUCAAAAUAAAUUUUUUAAUUUUUGUACAAAAAGGGUAGUUUAGGAUUUUUGAGAAAAAAUUUAGGCUUUUGGGCCUAUAUUAUUAUAUAAAUAGUAAAAGUAAGGGAGGUAUGUGUAAUUUAAUAUACCUGAGGGGAGGUCUCUGUAAUUGCUAGAAACCUCAAGGGAGGUUUCUGAAAUUAUCCCCCAGAAAAAUAGUUUAUGGAACAUCCAGUAGCUCGUGUAAAAAAAAUUGAAAGAAAAAAAAAAACAAAUGCUGUGCAUGUCCCAAUGUCUUUGGCACCUUCUGAAAGUUUUCAAUAGCGGAUUUAAACUUAAGUCAAUUGUUAAAGUGUUAACGAACCAAUUAGAGGCUAGUCAGUUUGACCGAUACAAUUGUUAAAGUUUGGCCUUAUUUAGAAUUGUAGUGGCUUUAGAAAUUAAUUUGUUAUUGGAGCUUUUUUUUGGGGGGUCAUUGGAGCUUGCUGUAUAGGAACUUAAUUAUUGAAAUAAAGUGUUCAAACAUGUAGUAAAGACAUAAUUUAGUGAACUGGAGAGUGAAUUGAUAGUUGGAUUAGAUAUUGUUCAUAUGUGCAACUAGAUGUUAGUGUUCAGCUUACUAUUUGUGAUUAUGAGUUGCAAUUUUAGCGAAUUAUAAUGCCUUAAUUACAUAUUGCCCACUUGUAGUAAGCGGUCAAUAGUAGUUUACUCUCUAUUUACAUGAAAUACACAAAAUGCUUACUGUGACGGCCCCACCUCCCCCUAGGGCGUACCCCAGGGUUCGGCGGACCGCCUGCCCAACUCUCGUCAGGACUCACUCACUCGUAUCUUGAGAAAUUAACUGGCAUCCAUAGAAAAGUAAAUAACACGGAAAUUCAAGCUUAUAAUAUACAUUGAUGCCCAAACCAAGAUACAAAGCUUCUAUACACAAAAAUAUUUCAUAGCAGCUACACUUCAAGUACAAAUCACCCUAGUUGAGAUAUAGCGCGAGUACAAAUUCAAAAUUCAAAAUAACUAGACUACGCUAGCCUGUACACGUCUCACGCCUCGUUCGUACCCCCUGUAAUGAAAACAAAUGGCGUGGAAUGAGCUAAAAACCCAGUGAGAUUCCAAAUAACAAAUUGACCAUUUUUAAAAGUACGAAUAUCAACGUAGCAAAUUAAUGAGCAUCAAGAGUUCAUAAAAGUGAACAAUAAUACUUCAUGUAGCAAAUCUCAAAGUGAGCGAGUGUAAAAGUUUUUCAGAAGAAACAAUAAUCUAAUAAGCAAUAAUCAUUCCAAAGUAUAAGGAUACGGAUGGCUCUCAGAAGCCAAAUUCCCAUUGCAUCACCAGAGUUUGAUCGAGUAAUAGUUGACACUCCGUCAACCUUCAAGUAAGUAACCAAUCCAGUAGAGCACCACUUACACUACUCUCCGUCCACCAUUCACACCCCCUAUUGGGCCCAAAAUUCUCAAUAAACACUGGUGAUAAUAUUCGAAUAUACCGAUUAGUCGAGGAGAUAACACUCCACUCGACAUCACUAACUACCCAUGGUUCGUUAUCUAAUCGACCAAACCCUUGUCGGCUCGAUUCGAUUAACUAGCCAGUGGGGUUUGGGUUCCCAAGAUUGUUGAUGAGAUAAAAUCUCCAACCGAUUGAAUCAAAAUAAAAGUACGGAGACGGGAAUGAGAGGCACCUCCCACUCCAAUUGAGUGUGGUACAUACUGCUGCUCCGCACUUACAACUCAAGUACAAGUAUAUCAAGUUAAUUGCAGCAAUGAACAAGUAUAUAUCAUAUUAGGGCAAGUGCGAUAAAGUACACUCUUGUCCGAUCAAACAAAUGACAUAUCAUUAAAUCACAUUGGUCAAGUAUUGAAAACAAGUGUCUAGUUCAAUCAGGCAUUUGAAAGCACUCACCAAAAGUCUAGUGCCUUUUCAAAAAUCACGUUCCAGUCCAACUCUUUGGUUGGAGUCCGAAUUUGCGAUAAAAUAUCAUUUACGAAUGUAAACCUUUCUAGAGUUCAAAACAUAGGAGUUUCGCUUCAAGAAAAUUAAGUAAAUGCAACUCGGGAUGUAGUAUUCAAGAUACUUAUCAAAUCUCGAAAAAAAUUCAUGCUCGCUCGUUUAAUUUUGAUAAGGAAGCGGUUAAAACUUUAGAACUCCCAUUGGAAUCGAAAGAACAAGAAAAACAUAUUUCAAUUAGUCGUUAUUUCCAUUUUCCAAAGGGUACAAGGUUCGGCCGAAUUCCAACUUAUGUAUCUUGAUAAAAGAGGAUGCAAAUAUAUUAGAUGGUUCAAGUGGUAUUCGCCCUCAAGCCUUACUCAAGUCGCAAGUAUAUCUACCUAGUCCUCGAGCGUAAAUUUGGGCAGCACGCCCUUUGUAUUUACCUAUUUUCCAUCCAUUUAUGGUUUCAUUGUUUUCCUCAAUCAAUCCCAACAUUACACACAACAUAAAUGUAUUACAAUAGUCAUUCAAUAGGCUCAAUGUCAUAUGAUUACCAAACCAAGCUAGAAAAAUUGACCGGAAAUGAAGUUUAAGGCCUAAAAUCAAAGGCAGAUUUGACGUUGUUUUGCGUAACGGACACAACCGAAGCUACGCUUAUCGGAUUGAGGUGAAAUUUAUACCUUUUCGAAGCUAAGACAAAGGCCUACAACUUUGGUGAAGAUAGCUCAGUCCAGUUUGUAGGAUAUCUAGGUCAAAAGUCCGGAUUGCAAAACCAAAAUCUCACAUUUGGGCUAGUUAACCACACUAUGCGUAAAUGACAAUAACUUAGGCUACCAAAGUCUAAUUGAGUUGUUUUCAGUUGCGUUGGAAAGCUAAAACAUAGGUCUAAAAGUUUUAUGUUUUGGCCAAAGACUGGUUUGGAACAGAUCAAGAUGAAAAAAGCAGCCAACAUGAGAAAAUGUUAAAACUGUCUGCUGGACACUACCUAGGGCAGUCUCAGGGGUAUUUUUGUGUUUUCAUGAGCUACAGUGUUCAGAUUUGGCUGAAAUUUUGUAGGAAAUUAUAAAACAUCAUUUUCUACAACUUUUAUGUUUUAUACUAAGCCUGAUUCGGCCUCUAAGAUGGUGAACUAGAACCAGGCAGAACAGGGUGCAUACUAACUUCAAUUCUGGAAAUUUGCUACAAUCAAGAUAUAAAUCUCAUUUUUAGCUUGAACCCAUCACUACCACCUCUUAUACCAACUUAUAUACAUCAUAUACCACCCAUACAACAAGUAUGAUAAGUGAAUCAUUCAAACCCUAACUCAAAUUCAUCACCCCAACCAUCCAAAAUCACUUGAUAUAAGCAUUACAACCACAAAUACAAGCUACUAAGCAACUCCAACAUGAUUAAGGGAAAAGAAAAGAGUGGUCAGCCAUAUUACCUCAAAAACAAAGUUUUCUAGAGUUAUCCUCCACUUCUUCUCGAAAUUUUGGGUUCCUUAAGCUUCCCAAACUCUCAAACUAGUAAUUAAUCGGUUUAGUUUUUCUUGUUUUCACUCAAAUGAAUCAAACUCAAGAUGAAAUGGAGUUUCUUCCCCUUGCUUUUCUCUCUCUCUCUCUCUCGGCCAAGACAACCAGAAAAUGAUGAAGAAAUGGAGCCAAAUGAAGAUAAGAAGGCAAGACAAUUAGUUUGGUCAAAGGCCGUUAGAUGGCCAACAAGUGUCUCCACCAACUUCCACUCAUUUUUUUUCUCUCUCUUGGUCAAGAAUUUUGGCUGCCUUGACGGGCAUUUUGGGGUGAUUUUUGUUGAUAUCAAAAUAAGGAGAUGAAGGUAAUAAAGUAGUGUUCAAGUGGUAUGUUCAAUCGGUAGUGCGCGACACCCGUCGGUCCGAGCCGAUUUUCCUUAAAUCGCGUAUACUAGAGGUUUAACUUAUAAUUCACUAGUUUAUUAGUAUCACUUCUAAUCACACACUUAACAACACCUAAAACUCACUCUUAAUCACCAAAUUUUUAUCGCACUAGCGGGUCCCACGUCUAUAAUGCGUUUCAAAUUUAAUGUACACUAACUUAUACUAGGAAAAUGAUUUAAAACUAUACUCGCUUAUCAAAAUGCAUAGAAACUUUAAUAUUUUAAAGGCAAGUAUAAAAAUGUAGGCAAAAAUAAAAAUGCCUAGAAAAUGUGAAAAUUUUCGGGUUCUCACACUUACUAAUGACUAAUGCCAAACAUUUUAACUACUAGGAAAAUGCACCUGUAUUGCACGUGUUUGAUCAUACCAAAACUUGUCUUACUUUCAUCUAUAUUGUGAAAGACUCAACUCAGAUUUUGCUAAAAAAGCCUCUGAUUCAUUGCAUGCCAAACAUGGUAGUUUGAAGCAGCAACCAAGGCUCAUUAACCAACAAGCAAUGCAAAACCUGUAAUUAUGCUGUAUAAGUGGCUGUAAUUCAGUAGAACAAGGAGAAGUCACUUGAUAUGUCUUAGAUAGGAGCUAAAUGCUUCUCCAUUAAUCUUAGAGUUUCAGCCUUUAUUGUUAUUGCUAUUGUAGAAUCUUGAGAGCCCAAAGGGGUGAAUUCCAAUAUUCCUAACCAUUUUUUCAUUGGGUUAAUUAAGAUGCAUUCGAAAGAAUGAUGACAAGUCAACCUUUCGACUGCCCUUGGGAACGGUAAAUAUAUGACAUGCUCCUUGUAAUAUUAUAAAUCAGCAAUACCUGUCCCUUUUCUUUUGGUAUCAUCCCUUGCUUAGAGGCCCUUGAUUUGGUUUUUGAGCAUCACUGCUUGUAGGAUAAAAUGUCACAGUGGAAGUGAGAAGCAGAGUUAGUUAGAAAGGCUAUUUUCAUCUAGGCAUUCUAGCUGUAGAAAUGGCAAGCAAUACAAAUAACCUUAUUACCUAAUAAAUCUCAAUUGGAAGAAAUAUAUUUUGGCCUUAGAUAAGCAUGGAUGGCUUACUAACCAUUUUCUUGCGUGAUUUUACACCUUUAUGUCUCUACUGUGAAAUAAGAAACAUGGCUUAAAGUACUGAACUGUGUCCAGUUGUAAUUCUUUCAUUUGGUAGAACUGACUCCAAAACUAUCAAAGGCAUUCUUGGCUUUCUUUGUAUUUCAUCAGUACGAUGUUGGUUGUAGGGGGAUUGUGAAGAUUUGCGCCGAAGAUUUAAUGAUGUUUUACUUAAGAGGCCUAUGACCAGAAGAUUUUUUCUGCACUUUCUUUGUAAUGGUAGUGCUAUCCUUCCAUACUACUGCUGUUUAUAUUCACUGGAGAAAAAAAAACACGUACAUGUUAUAGGACAGAUGUCAUUUGAGUUGGAUAGCUUUUGAUACGUCUUUCUAUUUCUUAUCUUUUAGAUAAAAUAGCACAAAACAUUCUAUACAUUUCGCCAAAAAAUUUUUACAUCCUCAAAUUUAAAAUGCUAAUGUUAAAUUCCUUAAAAAAAUAAACCAGUCCAAUUUGGACCAAACCUCCAAUUCCAACCAUCUUUUGUCAUGAAACCACACUUCUGUUAGCAAUAAGUUAUCCAGAAGUCCUUUGAAGCCAUUUUGAAAACACCCAAUUUUUUUUUAUUCUCCCUCUGGCUUUAGAAUGAGUAUCUAUUCACUCUCAAACACAAAGGUUCAAAGUUCUUCACCAAAACAUGCUUCAUUUAUGCCGGAUUUUGCCAAAAUAAUCAAAUAACCAAUGUCUUUAGAUUACCUUAUUCUUUAUAGGCAAACCGAAAGAGCUUUAAUUAUAGAGGAAUAAGUUUUGGAUUAUUUGGUUGUCUGUUGAUUUUGUCAAAGCCCAAAACUUUGACUAUUGUGGCAAAAAUUUUAGUUCCACAUCGGUGGGAUUAGUUGUAGGUGCAAGGCUUGAGAGUUAUAAAUUAACUCUCAAGCCUUCCAAAUAAGAUGUACCAAAGAAAAAGAAAAAGAAUUCAUUUGUAAUUCUUUCUUCUUCCAAAAAUUAUUAAGAGCGGGUCGUUUAGGCGGUACUCGGAGAUUAGGCAAAAUUGGCCGAACUCCGUUAUCAAUUUUUCGAGUGCGUUCUUUCCUUAUCUCUUUUAUUUAUUUCGCAUUUAUUUAGAAGUUUCUUUUCUAUUGUAGUAUAGUAUUCAAUAUAUUUGUCGGGUUUAUUUGUAGUAUUUUAUACGGUUCAUUUGGGUGUAUUUUCUUAUUCGUGUGUACGUAUUAUUUAUGUAUACACGGGUUUAGUUAUGAUAAUACACCGUGCACGUAAAUUCUGUCUCGGAGACUGGGUUUUAAGUGGGAUCGCUUGUGACCCCUCCAGCCUUUUCUGAAAAUUUACUUGGAAUGGUAAUUCUGUCUAAGGAGAUUGUUUGACGAUCUUUCCUGAGAAUUACUGAAUCAGUUUAAUCAGUAGUUGAAUUUUUGAGUGGAAAAUUACCCGAUUUUCCCAACAAGUGGUAUCAGAGCCGAAGGUUCGUCCUUUGGCUUGUCUGUAAUUUGUUAUAUAUUGAAUACUAUCAUUUUGAGUCUGUAAUGGCAUCAAACGAUUCCAUGUCAAGAAUUACAUCUGGGGCAUCGGCUUCCUUGUCCACAUGGUCGAGGACUCCAAUGUCAAGUUCGAAGCUGGCGGUCGAGAUAUUUGACUGUACUGGUCAUUUUGGCAUGUGGCAAUGCGAGGUCAUAGACUCCCUUUUUCAACAGGGACUUGACAUUGCCAUCGAAGAAAAGAAACCAGAUGAUAUAGAAGAGAAAGAGUGGAGUAUCAUAAAUCAAUUGACAUGCGGAACUAUUCGAUCAUGUUUGUCCAGAGAGCAAAAGUAUGCUUUCAAGAACGAGACUUCUGCAUGGAAGUUGCGGAGGGCAUUAAAGGAGAAAUUUCUGAAGAAGAGUGGUCAGAAUAAACUCCUAAUGAAGAAAAGAUUGUUCCGAUUCAAUUACCAAUCAGGUACUACUAUGAAUGAACACAUCACUAUGUUUAAUCAGUUAGUAACAGAUCUGUUAAAUUUAGAUGUAAAAUUUGAAAAUGAAGAUUUGACUUUGAUAUUGUUGCCAUCCUUUCCUGAUGAAUUUGAACAUUUGGAAACUACGUUACUUCAUGGGAAGGAGAAUGUGUUUUUAGAUGUUGUAUGUUCUGCUUUGUAUAGUCAUGAAUUGAGAAAGAGAAUAAAAUGAAAAAUAAAGUAAUUACAGCAGAUGAAGCGUUAGUGGCAAGAGGUCGUCAACAAAUCCAAUCAAAGGGAAGAAGAGGAAAGUCCAAAUCGAAAAAUAGAGUUGCCAAAGAUGAGUGUGCUUUCUGUCGUGAGAAAAGGCACUAGAAGAAAGACAGUCCAAAGUUGAAGAAGAAAGGGAAAACUUCGCAAGAUGUAAAUGUUGCAGAGUGCAAAAGUGAUGCCGAAUCAGAUUUCUCUUUGGUUGUAUCACCUUCAAUAUCCUAUCCAGAUGAGUGAAUUUUGGAUUCAAAUUGUACCUACCAUAUGUCUCCCAUGCGGGAGUGCUUCUUUGAAUUUGAAGAACUUGAUGGUGGAGUUGUUUACAUGGGAAAUGACAAUCCUUGUAAAACAGUUGGGAUAGGUUCAAUCAAGUUGCGUAAUCACGAUGGAUCCACCAGAAUCUUGAAAGAUAUUCGGUACGUGCCGAAUUUGAAGAGGAAUCUCAUCUCCUUGGGGCUCUUGGAGUCAAAAGGCCUAGAAGCGAAGAUGCGAGAUGGAAUUCUUAAAGCAACUUCGGGAGCACUUGUGAUGUUGAAAGGUGUGAGAAAAAAUAAUGUGUAUUACUACCAAGGUAGUACAAUUGUUGGGACAACAGUAGCAGCAACAUCUUCCAGUAGCAAGAAGGACGCGGAGACAGCAAAGUUAUGGCACAUGCGAUUGGGACAUGCUGGUGAAAAAUUCUUGUAAAAUCUUGCCAAGUAAGGAUUGUUGAAAGGUACGAAAACUUGCAAAUUAGUAUUUUGUGAGUAUUGUAUUCUGGAAAAACAAAGAAGAGUGAAAUUUGGCACUGGCAUCCAUAAUAGCAAGGGUAUUUUGGAUUAUGUGCACUCAGAUGUGUGGGGACCUACCAAAACUCCAUUCCUUGGAGGCAGGUAUUAUUUUGUCACUUUUAUUGAUGAUUUUUCCAGAAGAGUUUGGGUGUUUACUAUGAAGAACAAGAAUGAAGUGCUAGGAAUUUUCCUUAAAUGGAAAGCUCAGGUUGAAAAUCAGACGGGAAGAAAGAUCAAGGUUCUCCGAACAGACAAUGGUGGAGAAUAUAAGAGUGAUUCCUUCCAGAAGAUAUGCCAAGAGUGUGGCAUAGUUCGACACUUCACAGUUAGAAGAACACCGCAGCAGAAUGGGGUAUCAGAGCGUAUGAACAAGACACUAGAGGAGAAAGUACGUUGCAUGCUGUCUAAUGCUGGGUUAGACAGAAAAUUUUGGGUUGAGGCUGUGACAUACGCUCAACAUCUCGUCAAUCACUUGUCAUCAUCUGCAAUCGGUAGCAAGACUCCAUUAGAGGUAUGGUUUGAAAAACCUGCAUCAGAUUAUGAUUCUUUGCAUAUUUUUUGUUCUACUGCAUAUUAUCAUGUAAAUGAAUCAAAAUUGGAUCCACGUGCAAAGAAGGCUCUCUUUAUGGGCUUUAAUACUGGAGUUAAGGGAUACCGUUUGUAGCGUCUAGAAGCAAAGAAAAUCAUUAUCAGCAGGGAUGUUACCUUUGAUAAAUCUGCCAUGUUGAAUAAGGUAACACAAGAUGAGACCAGUGGUACUCCGUAAUAGGUGGAGUGUACGCCGAAACAGGUAGAAUUUGAGCAAAUAGUGAGCCCAACAAAUAGCACCAUCAGUGACUCUCCCAUGGCAGAAGAGGAGUCAGAUGAGAAAGAGGUCUCAAUCCACGAACCUCAAUAGCAACAAGAGUCAAUUGUCGUUAAUAGGUCAAGACGAGAAAUUCAAAAACCUGCUCGUUUUGCUGACAUGGUGGCCUAUGCACUUCUAGUUGUUGAUGAUGUUCCAACCACCUUUUCUGAAGCAGUUCGAAGUACAGAAAAUGGUAGAUGGAAAGAUGCUAUGGAAGAAGAGAUGCAAUCUCUUCAGAAGAACAAGAUGUGAAAUUUGACGCAACUACCGAAGGGCAAGAAGGCAAUUGGAUGCAAAUGAAUAUUUGCAAAGAAAGAAAGAUUUCCUGACAAGAAUGAUGUUCAUUAUAAGGUAAGAUUGGUGGCUAAAGGCUACACUCAAAAGGAGGGAGUUGAUUAUAAUGAGGUAUUUUCUCCAAUUGUUAAACAUUCCUCUAUUAGAAUUUUGUUGGCCUUGGUAGCAUACUUGAAUUUGGAGCUAGCUCAACUUGAUGUGAAGACCGCGUUCCUUCAUGGUGACUUGAAGGAGGAAAUCUAUAUGUCUCAGUCAGAUGGAUUCAAAGUUGCUGGUAAAGAGAAUUGGGUUUGUAAGCUGAGCAAAUCGUUGUAUGGAUUGAAACAAUCACCGAGGCAAUGGUACAAGUGAUUUGACCAGUUCAUAAUGGGUCAGAAGUACACAAGAAGCAAAUACGAUCACUGUGUGUAUUUGCGAAAAUUACGAGAUGAUUCCUACAUCUACUUACUUUUGUACGUUGAUAAUAUGCUGAUAGCAUCAAAGAGCCAAGUUGAAAUUGACAAAAUGAAGGGUCAGUUGAGUAAAGAGUUCGAGAUGAAGGAUUUGGAAGAAGCCAAGAAGAUUCUCGGCAUGGAGAUAAGCAAGGAUAGAAUGAGAAGCAAGUUUUGUCUGACACAGAAGCAGUAUUUGAAAAAGGUACUACAACGAUUUGGUAUGAAUGGAGAUUCAAAACCUAUAAGUACUCCACUUGCUCCUCAUUUGAAACUUAGUAACAUAUUAUCUCCAAAGACGGAUGAAGAGCGAGCAUACAUGGCGAAAGUCCCGUAUGCUAAUGCAGUUGGUAGCUUGAUGUAUGCAAUGGUGUGUACUAGACUCGACAUUUCACAAGCAUUUGGUGUGGUAAGCAGAUUCAUGCAUGAUCCGGGCAAGGGUUAUUGGUAAGCUGUGAAAUAGAUUCUAUGGUAUAUCAAAAAUACUGUAGAUGUUGGAUUUGUUUUUGAACAGGAUAAAUCACUUGGUCAAUGUGUAGUUGGAUAUUGUGGUUCUGACUAUGCAGGUGAUUUGGAUAAGCGACGUUCUACAACUGGCUACUUGUUCAUGUUUGCUAAGGCGCCAGUUAGUUGGAAGUCUACUUUGCAGUCAACGGUGGCUUUGUCUACAACGGAGGCAGAGUAUAUGCCGAUUACAGAAGCUGUGAAGGAGACAAUUUGGCUUCAAGGAUUGCUUGAAGACUUGGGAGUUGGUCAAAAAUAUAUUGACGUGUUUUGUGACAGUCAGAGUGCUAUUCACUUAGCGAAGAACCAAGUCUUGCACGUAAGAACGAAGCACAUUGAUGUUCGCUAUCAUUUCGUGUAGGAAAUUCUCAAAGAAAAGGAGAUUUUUCUCCAGAAAAUUCAGACUACGGAGAAUCCUGCAGAUAUGGUGAUCAAGGUGGUUACAAGGUCCAAAUUUGAACAUUGUUUAGACUUGGUCAAUAUCCUGCAUAUUUGAGUUGGCGCCUGAGGGUGCAAAUUUGAAAGCACCGAAGGACCAUUUGUUAAUUUUUUUUGAAGGAGAAGAUUUGUAUUUUUGGUAGGACUAGAAAUUAUGUCAAGGUGGAGAUUUGUUGAUUUUGUCAAAACCCAAAACUUUGACUAUUGUGGCAAAAAUUUUAGUCCCACAUCGGUAGGAUUAGUUGUAGGUGCAAGGCUUGAGAGUUAUAAAUUAACCCUCAAGCCUUCCAAAUAAGAUGUACCAAAGAAAAGAAAAAGAAUUCAUUUGUAAUUCUUUCUUCUCCCAAAAAUUAUUAAGAGCGGGUCGCUUAGGCGGUGCUCGGAGAUUAGGCAAAAUUGACCGAACUCCGUUAUCAAUUUUUCGGGUGCAUUCUUUCCUUAUCUCUUUUAUUUAUUCCGCUUUUAUUUAGUAGUUUCUUUUGUAUUGUAGUAUAGUAUUCAAUAUAUUUGUCGGAUUUAUUUGUAAUUUUUUAUACGGUUCAUUUGGAUGUAUUUUCUUAUUCGUGUGUACAUUAUUUAUGUAUAUACGGGUCUAGUUGUAAUAAUACACCGUGCACGUAAAUUCUGUCUGGGAGACUGGAUUUUAACUGGGAUCACUUGUGAUCCCUUCAGCCUUUCUUGGGAAUUUACUUAGAAUGGUAAUUCUGUUUAAGGAGAUUGUUUAACGAUCUUUCUUGGAAAUUACUGAAUCGGUUUAAUCACUAGUUAAAUUUUUGAGUGGGAAAUUAACCGAUUUUCCCAACAGUCAACUCAUGUUCACAUGACAAAUCCUAUAACUUGCAUAAGAAACAAAAAAUCAAGAGGAGUAUUUUGACUCUUGGAAUAUAAUGAUUUUAAGUUAAUAUAAUUAUUUAUGUGAAUCGACAACUAUCUUAUUACAAUUUUAGUUGAUACCCAGUAGAGGUUCUGGAUUUGAAUUUCUCUUUCUCCUUCCUAUUUCUUAAAUCUCAACUCUCAGCUAAUAAAAAAUUUUUAAAAAAAUGUCUCAUAGUUAAUUCUAUAAACAAAUCAAAGUCACUGCCUUUAAUAUCAAUCCAAAAUAUUCCAAAUUCAUAAUAUGGGAUUUAAUUUUUAAUGACCUUCAAUUGAUUGGUUAUGGUUUGGAUAGGUUAAGUUAACUUGCUCAGAUAUAGAGUUAAGGCUAAAUUGUAAAACAAACACAGUUCUUCAAUUUUUUUUUCUUUUCUUUUCUAAGCAUGGGGCUAAAUUAUUGAAAGAAAUUAAAAGAUAGUAUGAAUUAAAAAAAAGUAAAAAAAUUGUACCAAUAUAAUUAAAAUCCAAGAUUUGUCUAGCAAUAGCUCAAAGUGUGAUAAAAUGUGUAUAUGAUUCGAAAACUACUUUUUUUGUGGAAGAUGAAUCCUAAAAUAAUAAUAGAAAUUUUUAUUAGAAAAUGAAAGAUAUAUUGAUAGAAAUGAAUGUAAUCGUGAUCUUUAGUUUUUGUGAAUGAUUAUGAGAGUAAGAUACGUUAUAAGAGUUAGAUACGUAGAAUUGUGGAAAUUAUAAUGCAAAUGGGCUUCUAAAUUUUGGAUAUGUAUUUUUCAUAGCAGUGAGUUCCUGAGUCAUGUGGUAAGUGUCAGACGUGGUUUACAAUUUGCAAUUGCGAUUUUGCAAAGGUCGUAAAUAUCUAUUAGUUAAAAUUAUGGAGUUAUGAUUUUGUAAGUUAGUGAGUCACUUAAAUUGGAAAAGUGAAAAGGGAUGCUGAGAAGGAAUAAGGAUUACUGAAUUAAAACAAAUCUAAAAUUGUGGAGGGUCAUUGUUAAAAAUUUUCCCUCCAAUACAUAUAGAUAUAGAUAUAGAUUUUCGGCUAAAAAUUCUCUGGAUUGAACUAAUUCUAAUAUGGGCUGGUUUAUGAAUAUCAUAUGGUUAACUUAGCAUUGUAGAGAUAAAAAUCAUCAACCUUAAACAAUCCCCGUAGAAAUCCUAAAUUUUCAAAAUCAAAAUAAAUUCUUUUUCACGGUAUACAUUUUAAGUGUCAAGCUUUGUAUAAUCUGAUUAUUAUGUCAAAGCAAGCACAUGAAGAAGGAAGAAAAAAGAGUCAAAUUCUCAAACCAAAAGGUCCAAAAUUCAUAAACAAGUAAUAUGCAUUUAACCAAGGUGCCAAUCAAACUAUUCAGUCAUGAAUAUAAUCGAUAGAUUAAAAUACAACAUUAAAUUAUUCAAGCAACAACAUAAGAGAGGUUUUGAAUCAUACAAGUUUUCACUUUAGAUAUGAUUGUGGUAUUCUGACCAAUCAGUCAGUGAUGGGUCUUCAUCUAGCAUUGCAGCCAGAAUUUUUAUUUUCCCCUAAGUUCUCUUUUUCAAUGACUUUUGCUCGAAUCUUAAUAAACUCCAAACUCUCUGUGUAAAUUGACUUCUAGUUUAAAUCAUCUAAGUCAUAAAAUGAGACUUUGUCUGAUUUAAUACAGUCCAAGUUUAGUUCACUAUUUGAUACAUUGACAUUUUUUAAGUUCUCUUUUCAAUGACUUUUACUAGGCUAAUUUCUCAAAAUAUACGUUAAAAGAAAAAUCCGUCAAAUGUAGCUCUGACGGGGAACUUUUCUCAAACUAUACCUGCCGUGCUGAGCAAAAAUAAAAUUUUUAAAUCGUUCCGGCACAAUUUUUAUUUUGGAAAAGUCAGCCGCUGCUGUGCUGACUCUAAUUUUUUUUUUUAAAUCUGUCUGUCCCCUACCGUGCCCAGUUAGCACAGCAAGGAGACAAGCGGUCAAAAAAAAAGAAGCCAGACGCCUUUGUCAGCCUUUGCAAAAAAAAGAAGCCAGGCACCUUUGUCAGCCAUUGUCAGGUGCCUGCAAAGGCUGACAAAGGCCGACAAAGGCCAUGUGACGAGCAUAGGUAUCGUACGCAAAUUAUUGCCUAAUUUCCACCGCUACCGUGUCCAAUCAGCACGGUAACGGUGAGAUUUUUGCAAAAAAAAUUCUAGCCGUUCAUCCUAUUCAUAUGAACGGCUAGAUUUGAUUAAAUUCGCUAUAUAAUGGUUUGUUAUGGCCAGUUUUGCUCGCUCACUCUCAUUUCUCAUUCUCCUCCGAAGCUACUCUCUCGCUUUCUCUCAGUCUCAAAUUUGAACUCCUUCUGGUUGGAUUCGAAAUCUAUGAAAUCGGCACCGAGGUUAGGCAGUUUUGCUGGAGGCUCAAAUGCGCAAGGCUUGAAAAUUUGUUGGCCGAAACUGUCUUUAAUAGAUUGGUAGUAGUAGAAAAUCUGUCGGCCAAUUUUGAUAGCUUGCAGAAAUUAUACUCAGACAGGCAGCUACAUUACCAGGUUAAUUGGUGCAGAAUAGUGAAAAUUGAUUGUCUGAUUAUAGUUAAAAUUUUAAUAAUUGGUUUUAAAAAAUUGAGGUUGAUUGGUGGAUAAUAAUAUUAAUUUGUACAGAAAAGUUGAUUUGCUACUAAAGUGAAAAUCGAGGGUUAACAUCAGGGACAAACUGUUGGUAUCGCCGUGUUACAUAAGACCGUCAUGCUAAUCCAUUGCGGUGCUGAUAAAGGCAGAAUUUUUUUAUAGUACAAUCGUAUUCGUACAGGUUAGUAAUUUAAAUUAUUAUUAUAUUAGUUAUUAAUUACAUUAUUUAUAUUAUGUUAAUUAAACAUGUAGCUUAUUUAUGUAUUUACAUGUUAUAUUAUACUGUCAUCAAAUGAUAUUAAUUAAACAUGUUUUCUACAUAGUGUGUUGUUGUUAUACUAUAUUAAUUAAUAGUUAAUGUAAAGUGUGAUAAAUUUAUUUAUAAUUUUAUAAUAUUGAAGUGCUAAAAAAGAGUUAACUAGUGUAUAUAGUGCUAUAGUGUUGUCGACUACGACUUAUAUAAAAUUAUAUAAUUUAUAUAGAAUUACUAUAUAAUAUAAUUCAUGUAGAAUUACUAGAACAAUUAAUUAAAAUUAUUGGUUUUUACAUGCAUAAAAUACAUUAAUUAACUAAACAUAAGAAACCUGCCCGUCAAUCGAAGUACGACCUUGUCGUGCUACGGGACAAAAAUUUUGCCUUUCACCAUACAUUAUUUAAUCAAUAAUUUAAUUCUUACCAAAAAUAGAAGUUGGACUACAUGUGGCUUUUUACAGCCCAAAUUCCAACAGGUUUAUCCGAUUGUAAAUAUUUUAACUCACGAUCAAUUGUCAUGACAAGUGACGAGAACAAUAAAAAAGAAAAAAGUUAUAAUCGGCAAAUAUCAAUAAAAAAAGUUUGGGGAAGAGAUUGAUAUAGAUGAAGAAUUCCUAUAUGUAGGACUUUUGUAAGAUAUCAUAUAUGUUGCGUGCGAGGUAAAAAUGUAGUUAAAAAACAUAUAGAAUGGAAGAUUCUUGGAAGAUGCAAAAAUGUUGUCUCGAAAAAAAUAAUGAUCCGAAUUGGUUGUGUUAUUACGUACGCCAAGCCAAAGUAAUUACAAUAAUUAAUUCCUGCUUAUUGGAAUACAUGAAUCCUUCUUUAAUUAACAACUAUUAUGCAUUUAAUAAUAGUUUAAUAAUAAUACAAAAUUUAAGUAAAAAACAAAUGGGAUAUUUACAAUACAAAAGGCAUCUGGGGACAUGAAUAAUGAGGUUAGGUUAAUGUAUUUAUUUUAAAAAUUAAUGAAAUGAAGUAUAUUUAGGAUUAUGGUUAAAAUUUAGUUUAAUUAGGUUAUUUUGAAAAUUAAAGUGAUGAAAUUUAUUUAGGAUGGCUGUAAAAUUCUAGUUUACUAAGAUUAUUAUAAAAAUUAUAUAAUCAACUAUUUUUUUAAGAUUAUAGAUAAAUGAAUAAAGAUAUAAUCAAUUUACUCGUUACUUGUGAUAAUGAUUACCAGUUAUAUUUGAUAAUUAUGUUCAAUAUUUUACGGUAACCAAGCAUGUAAAUAUAUAUGUUCAUUAAAAAGUUUAUAACACCUUGCUACUUAUAUGUAAAUUAGGCUUAAUAUGUCGAACUGUACAGGAGCGCAAAUAGUUGGUGAUUCGGAAGAUGCAAUGCUAAAUGGUGGCCGCCUAAAGAUGUCGUCUAUGUACAGACGGUUGACUACGCCAGUACCGCCGGAUGCACCCGAUUCGGCAGUAUGCUCACAUCUACAUAUUGAUUUUAUUGGGUGGUCUACUAUUCGGGGAUUCAUGCGGGAAUCUUGUUAGUCUGAAUUGGUUAGAUUAUGUUCGAGAAUUGGAAGCGAUAAGGGAGUACAGUUGGGGGUCAGCGACUCUAGUCUGUUUAUACUCACGUGUGUGUCACGCUUCGCGUGCUUCUACUACUACCACAGGUGGCCCUUAUCUAUUACUCCAAAUAUGGGCAUGGGAACGGAUUCCCAGCAUUCGACCGGGUAUGCAUCCAGCGCCUGAGACUGGUGAAUUUCCGAUAGUGGUAGAUGGGCAGCCGAAUGUACAGGGGUUGAUCCGCCGGGUAGGCGCAGCAAAUACUAUCAGGAGUAUAUUGCAUUGCUACGCAUGGAUGAGGUAAUAUACAUGUUAUAGCUUCGGUUAUUAUUUGCUAAUAUACACCAUUCUUUGCGAAAAUAAAUAAUUACUUUUUGUUAUGACAAUUCAUAUGGAUGCUGUACAGUGAUGAAAGAUUGGCCGCACUACCACGAUACUGCAGACACGGCGAGCGCAUUUCACGGGUCAGAGUUCCCCUCGUAUUUUGGUACAUUAUUGAGUUUCACUGUCCAGAUCGGGUCAUGCGUCAGUUUGGACUACUUCAAAAUAUUCCCGAAGUUGUUAACACAAAUCUGAACGGGGUUUAUCAGCUCAAUCUGUCUGGCUAUCCUGGAAGGAAUUGAGCCCAAUUUCAUAGGGGGUGGAAACAAUAUUAGAAUGCUCGCGCAAAUGCGGAGGUCACAGGUCAGUUUGCUAAUACAUUCAUGCCAUCAAAUGAUUACCUCAAAUGGUAUCACGAGCACACUGUUCUAUAUAUUUCGAACCCUAGUGACCAAAAUCCGUAGAUGGGCCAAAUGCUUCAGGGAGUCUCUGGACAAUUUGAGUAUAUGGUAUGCAUUUACUUGAGACUUCUGUCAUUGGGAACGUUUUUUAGCAUAGGUGCGUUAAACAAUUAUUCCUAACAACUGGCCUAAAAUUUUUUGUUACAUAUGGGUGCUAUGCAGCGUAUUGGUCAGCAGACACAGGAUGCUAUCAAUGUUGAUGAUAUCGGUGACAUUGCAUAUCCACGUCUGUUGACCAUCAUGGAUGGUGCAUAUGGUUCGAUGCAAUACCUCUGACGUUUUGAUCGUAUGGUUGUAGGACAAUCCGAUCUAUUCGAUUUUGGGCACCCUUCGGCAUCAAAUGUCCCAUUUCAGACUCCAGGUCGACGAGUUCCAUCUCAAACAGGACCUUCGUCUAGUCGUGGUAGACAUAGGAGACAUGGUCAGCACGAUGGAUCAACCGUUGCUGAACCUAGCGUUCAAGUCACUGGAAUGGAUACUCAUCAUCUGCACACGUCUCCGGUUCAGCAAUUCACCACAUUCGAAUUUUCACCAAUGCCGGGUGUAGAUGCAGGGAUGGCUGCACACUUUCAUGUAUCUGGGGACAUGUUUAUUCCACCGCCGGCGUCGAUGACCAUUGGUGCACAAGCAACACCGUUGCAACAAUUUCAUCCAUUUGCUGCACCACCAACGCCAGUUGUAGACAUGCAUGGAUUUGAUCCACAAUUUCCUUCUUCAUCACAGUUACCUCCAUAUGAGCAUGUCCCCAUGACAGGAGACUUUUCUUCCCCUGCGGCAUUACACCUUAUAUUUACUUUUCUUAGUGGAACGGGAGGUAUUUCUUCAUCGUUGGAGCUUCCUGAUUAUUACAGUUUCGGACUGCCAUCGCUUUUUCCAUCUACCGGCCAACCAAGUUAUGCAUCCAAUCAUGUAUCGACAGGAGAUUUUGUCACCUAUCGUUCCACGAACGAUUCUGAGAGCAGCGAUACUUCCAAUGCGUUUCCAGGGAGGAUCCGCCGUUCCGUGAUUAUCCGAAUCAUCCUAGUGUCGUUCUUGACAAGCGUCAAAUACGACGACCGAAGAGAUUUUGCUGCCCUUCCACAAUGCUGCAAAAUGUUGGUAAGGGUAAGGGCAAGAGUUAAGGCAACAUGCGCGCUAAGCAUUGACUUUGUAAAUAAUGACUGUGCUAGGUAGUUAUCUAAUGAAUGCUACUUUCCUUAACUUUAAACUUCAUCUACGUUUAAUUUCAUUUCCAUCUCAAACCCUAAUUACUUAAAUCCUAAACCCUAAAUACAAAAGUGCAACCCUAAAUACUUUAUUCGAUGUCAUUAAAAAGAAACCCACUAACGUUGCAAAGCAAAUAAUAAACUAAUGUUACAAACAUAAAUGGCGGAUUAAAGAGUUUAGGACAAUCUUAAUGACAAAGGCAACAAAGAUUCAUGGGGGCUAAAGUUAAAAAAUAAAAAAUUAUGGGUAAAAAUAUAAAUUUUAAAAUCUAAGGGCCCAAAUGCAAAUUCUGUAAAAAUCACUUUUUUUUACUAACCUUUUAUUCAUUUGCUACUCAAAUUUAGGCUAAUUGGACUACCAAAGUGAUUUACAAAUCUACAAACAAAAGAUUAUUCAUACUAGUUUCUAAAGUUGUUAAAUUAAAAUCCUAAACUUAAUAAAUUUACUUAAACCCCAAUUUAUACCUGAAAAGUCAGAAUUAAUUCACCAAAAUACACAUUAACAUCAUAAAGAUAGGCUAGGACUCCACAAAUGAGAAAUUAUAUCCAUUUUUUGCAAAUCUUGAGGCCCUAGCAUAAUUAUGCAAAAGUUAGGGGACAAAUUAUAAAUAUAUUUUAUGGACUUAGAUGAAAAUCAUUGAACAUAAGAACACAAUCAAAUUUUCAGAAAAUUAAAGAAUGCCUAAAACACAUAAAAUAUCUAAAACUACAUAUUAAAAGAAAAACAAAGGAAAGAUAAAAACAAAAGCUUGGUCCAUAUUCCUUAACCCAACCGAGUUCCAUAACAAAUUUGGACAUUUGGCUGAGGCGUCUGAUCCAAACAGAAAUUACCUACAUGAGUCUAAUACAAUGAAUGUAAGCCCAAAUGAAAUAUACGAGUAAGUCCAACUCAAAACUAAAGUAAUUAAAUUUAAAACCUAAACAAGGCUAUGCUCUACCCACUGAUGAAGGCCAAAUAUUAGUCCAUGAAUAACUCCCAAAUUUAAGCCCAAUAGAAUUUUUUUUGUUAUUUUCUAAGAAACUAGCCCCUAAGUCAGAGUAUUUUUAAAAAUAUAUACAUUGAUUACUUUAAGUAUACACAAAACAAAAGAAAGGAAAACCCCUUGUCGUAAUUUGAUAAUGGUUUAUUGAUUUACAGAUAAAAUUAGACAACAAUUAGCGUUAGCCUUGUUAUUAAUUUGAAAUACUAAACCCUAAAACCCUAAACCCUAAACUCUAAAACCCUAAACCCUAAAACCCUAACUUUAAAACCUUAACGCAAAAACCCUAACCCAAAAAUCCUAAACCCUAACUUUAAAAACCAAUUUCCGUAAAAACUUUUUUUUUGCCACAGUCAGCACGGCAGCGGCCUGCAAAACUGCUGCUACGUCUGGAAGUGUCAGCCGCUACCGUGCUGACUGUGCACGGCAGCGGCUGACACCUUCUGACCAGCACUGAAAUUUUUGCUGAGCUUCUGACCGGCUGACAGCUUCUGAUUGGGAAGGAAAAAUUCAUUUUGGCAGGUAUAGUUUGAGAAAUACCCCCUGUCAGAGCUUCAUUUGGCGGAUGUUUUUUUUUUAUACGUAUAUUCUAAGCAAUUAACCUUUUUAUUGGGAUCUUAAUGGAUUCCAAACUGCCUAUGUAAUUUGACUUCUAGUUUCAAUCAUCUUGUUAUAAAACAAUAGCUUGUCUCCGAUUUAGGGCUCGUUUGGAAUUGCGGUAAUUUAUUGAAAAGUAUUUCCCUAGCAGAUCUUUAAUAAAAGUACUUGUCAACUGUUUAAAAUAUUUUAAAUAUAUUGUUUGGAGACAUAGUUCAAUAAGUACCGAUUAUAUUGGAUAAUAUAUAAUUUGAAAAUUUUUAAAAGUGUUUAUCUCUUUAUUUGGUUUAUAACAUAGAAUAAGAUGAUUAAAUUUGAUAUUUUAUUUUUUAAAUCACAAAAGCUACUCUAAAAGUACCAAAUUUGAGUUUUUGGUAAAAAAAUUUUAACACAAAAAUCUUUACUCCUAAUUUUAUGGGAUGAUAUUCACCAAACAAUUUAAAAAUACUUUUAACAUCUAAAAGUACUUUUUUACCAAAAGUAUCGCAACCCCAAACGGGCCCUUAAUAGAGUCCAAAUUUAGUUCAACUUCUUAUCAUGAUGCAAUUAGUGAGUGGAAAAAUUCGGCCAUUAUUUGAUACGUUAACAUUUCUAAUUAAGAAUUUUUAGUUUGAUAGGAGACGGGGAGUAAAAUUGUAGGAGUCCUUUAUAAGUAAAAUUGUAAGAGUCCUUUAUAGAGUAAUGAGUAGGGACUAAACGAUAAAUCAUCCAAGAGACUUUCUAGAGUGUGUGUGUGUAUAUAAUAUAUAUAGAGAGAGAGAGAGAUUGGUCGAUGGUCACAAAUAUGCCCCUGCAAUCAUAUAAGUUUUAUCUUUUAAGUUUAUUCUCAUUUUUCUUUUUUUUUUCUUUUCUUUCUUUCUGUUUUGACCCUUUUCUUUCUUCAUCCUUUAAUGUCGUAAUGCUUUUUAUUUUCUCUUAAUAUGUGUAUAUUCAAAAUAAAACUUUUGAUUGGCUAUAGCUCAUUCAAUUUGUUGUCUGCUCCGGUUUUUAUUUCUUUCUACAAAACGCCAAAACCAAAGAUAGAGAGUUUGUAUGGAGAAGAGAUCAACAGAGGAGGCAUAAAAGGGGACAAAAUUUUAACAUUUUUUCGGCUAUAAUCACAUAAGACUGUGAACUUUUGUUAAGAAUAUUUCUACGAUAUUUUCAAGGUCUAAAUUUUUCCUUGGAAGCCCUAUGUCUAGACAUGGGAUGGGUGUAGACUUUGUAUCUCUAAAUAUUGGUUUCAACUUAAUUGAUAAUAUCUUUUAGGACUUUAUAAUUUCUAGAAUUAUUUGUCUGGAGAAAUAGAAUUUCAUGGCACACAAUUUCACUUGAAGACAGGCCGUUUGUACAAAAUUAAAAGACAAAUAAUUAAUGGUUGUGUUUAGUCAUCCAACUUGUGACUUGGGAAAUAAGUUAGUGUCUAAAUUGUGCCGUACAACUUGAUGAGAUGGUGUGAAACAAUUUUAACCAUUGAAUUUUAAAAAACCAGUGAUGAUGAUAAUGACCUGAUGAAGAUCAAAUUCAGUUGUUGAUGCUGUUGUGGUCCUUGUGGGUUUCAAUUAAUUGGAUCAUUUGUUUAGUUCAUUGGGCUGAGGUAUUAUAACAAACUCUUGGGUUGUUUUUGUUGGACUGGUCCAAGUUUUAAUGGCCUUUCACAAUUAUUUUUUGCUUUUGGGAUACAAAUUCAAUGUAUGCCAAAAUUUAAAAGGGCCAUCUGAAAUUAUUUUUGGGAUUAUUUGGGGCUAAUAUAAUUAGUGGGCCGAAUGGUGCAGUUAACGGUUAAAAAAAAGAAAGGGAAACUGACUUUCUGGGCCUGUGCAUGUAGGGCUUUUGUUCUUAUAGUGGACAUUUUGUUUGUUCUGUAAUUGAACUUUUGGAUCAUAAAGCCCAACUUGAAAAUUCCCAGCUAAUCAAAUAUGUUUAGAAACCGAAAUAUGUUUAAAAAUACCCAAUUUAGAGCUGUAUACAUCCAAGAACUUAUUUAAAGGCUCGAUUUUAUUAUAACAACCAAAAUUUUAACAAAUGAACUCAACAACACUAUUAAAAGUCCAAGUUUGCUUAUAUCCAAAUUAAAUAAAAAGAAGCCUUUUUUAAAGAGUAGGCUUAACUCUAAGGUUAAACCCAAAUUCAAAUCCAACUCGAACCAAUAUGUUCCAAUUUAUAUCCAAAUAGAAACUUUUUUUUAUAGAUAAUUGGAUUAAAAUACUUUCUAAAAAGAGAGGUCUUUUCAAAAGGGGAAACUUUUCAAAAUGGAAAACUUUCGGAAUAGGGAAAUCUUCAUUUCUUUUCUUUUCUUAGAACCCUUUUCAGUUACUUGUUAUAAAAGGUUGACAUGUUUUAUAGGAUUAUUUAAGAUAAAAAUAAGUAAAUGAAAUAGCAUAUAUGAACUAAUUAAGUCAUAUAUAUUAUUGGCUAUAAGUUGGAAGCAAGAUUGCAUAUCUUUAGAAGAUAAAUGAAGAGGUAAAUAGAUUGGCGAUCGCGUUCUAAGAAUUAUACAGUAAGGUGUUUAAUAGGUGUGUUAAAUGAAGAGUUUGAAAUUCUUAAGUUAGGGUUGUAUAAAUUAGUAAUGAUAAUUUGAAAUAUUUGUAGAUUUUAAUUUUAGUGACAUUAUCAUUUUAAAGUAAUUGUAAAUUUUAGUGAAUUUUUGUAAGUUAUAAUCAAGAUGUCUAGUUUUCACGAGAAUACAGUCUCACGGGUACGCCAUGUGAUGUUGCAAAUUUAGUCCAUGGACCCAAAUUUGGAGUGAAGCGUCUUCACAGACUAGUAAGUGAGCAUUGGUUUCUCCAUAAACAUUCCAAUUGACUUCAGAAAAGGAAAAAAUAAAAAAGAGGAAAAGAAAGAAAGAAACAUGUGCUUAUAUAUAUACAUACAUAUAUACAUAUAUAAUUCUACAGUCUCUACAAUUCUGAAUAAGGCCCAACAAAGAGACUUACAAUAUCAUCAAGGCAGGAAAUGUAGGGACUUAGUAAAAAACAAGAACAAGAUGGGCAGAAUGAGAUCCCGUGAUUAGUUUCCUCUACAAAUCUGCAGUUGAGCCUACGUGCCAACAAAUAUUUUACCUGAAAAAGAAAAAUAAAAUAAGUAGAUAGAGUAAGAUUUUGAACUUAAAAAACACGAAACUUCAUUUGUACAGGAAAAAAAGUGAAAAUCAGUAAGAAAACUGAACAAUAAAUAAAAGUGAAAAUCAGGAACUCUAAAUCUCUGAAUACCUGAUGCCAUCACUGCCUAUUCUCACAAGGGGAAUCUCUUCAAUCACGGGCCAGUAGUCUCCUCUAUCCAUCAAACACCUUUUCUCAAGAAGUGGGCAUUGAUAAAUUAGUAGAGUUUGAAGCGGAUUACGCAGCGAUUCCUUUGGUAGGGAUCCAAGCUUGGGGCAGUUAAAGAUAUGCAGAUAUUGAAGAGCUGUAAGACCUCGCAAGAACGUGGAGAGCGAUUUCAGAUUUGGUAAGUCACCAAUGGCGACGGACCUAAGAGUUGGAGGAAGCAAAGCCAAUCCAUCAUCGCCACUACCAGAAAAUGAUUCCAGCUCUGGAUAUCCACUGCAGAUGCUGAAACUUUCAAGAUACGUGAGUCUGUUGAGUCCCCAUUCUGACAGGGGCUUCAGCUGUAAGUUUUCUCCUGCCCCUAUGUGAAGAAACUUCAGACUGGGAGGAAAAUCUCCUUGUGGAAAUAGAGAUCUUAGUCUUCCCAACCCACUGGGCAAGUAACUAACAUUUUUGCAUCUGUCCAAGGAAAGAUAUUCCGAACUUGGACUGGGCAAUUGAUCCAGAUGAUGAUCACAAUCGCUGAUAUACAAAGACCGGAGACUUGCAAAACAAUAGACUGAACCAAGCAUUGUCCUCAAAUUCAGAUAUGGGCAACCAACGAUUUCCAGUCUCUCAAUCGAUGUGCUGGUGUCCUCAAUGACAAUCUCUGGAGUAAGGUUCAGUUUCUGGCACUGCCAGAUCUCAAGAUUCCUAAGCUGAGGGAGGAGCAACUUCUCCAUUGGCAAGCAACUGAGGGCUGAGCAUCUGCUUAUUUGCAAUGUGUUAAGACCAGAUAAUGUAGGCAAAGACUGGAGAGCACUGCAACCUUUUAUCUCAAGAUAUUUGAGCGUUGGUAAGACACCAAGCUCCUCCAAGGAUGAAAGCUGUGAACAUUCUGAAACAACUAAAGAUUUUAGCUGCACAACGUUUAUAGUGUUACUUGAGCCCCACAGAUUUUUCAGUUGACGGCAUUCAUGUAAUGUGAUAUCUUCAAGGCCUGAUGGAAACUGCUUGAACACAUCCUCGAGGGAUGCGAGCCCUAUAAUCUGCCGAAACUCCAAUUUGUAUAAUGAGGUCAAAUUGUGAAAACAUUUCGCAAUUCCCAGCGAGCACUGUUUUAACUUUAGUUCAGAGAGUGAAGGAAGAUGCAAAACAGGAAUGCUUUUCAACUCUGGGCAGCAACUUAUACAGAGCUUUCGGAGCAGAGGGAAGUGGCAUUCGUUCUCUCCUGCUGAACUUAAGCAAGUCCAUUCCUCCCAUUGUGGCAUGUCAUUAAAUGUUAGACUUUCAAGCGAUGGAAAGGAAAAUUCCCAAGAGCAAUCUUUGCCACAAAACUCCGUACCUACUGCCUUCACCCCAAGCAUGCUUUGAAUGCUCAAAUCCUUGAGCGCAGGCAAUUGCCCGAGUGAUGGUAAACACUUGCAGUAUGUACAACCUCUAAGGCUUACUUUUACUAAUUUAGUAAAUGAAGAAUCCCCCACCCAGGAAGAGAAUUUGUCUCCCCUAUAGAACUCAAUUUCAAGACUCGUUAGGUUUGUGUAUGGUCGUAGCGCCUCAAGCAAAUCUUGUUGAAGAACUUUACUCAGAGAAUCAUCAUAUUCACUAUUCCAUGCCAAUACUAUGUUAUCAAGGUCCCUCUUGUUCUUCAAGUUGGCAUCCCGUGCUUCUUGAACAUUCGUAACAUUUUGCAACUCCAGAAUGGCGAGUGACCCUGCCAGUAAGGACAAGUUCCCCAAGUCAUUCAGCCUGAACCCACCAUGUUUGCUCACAACCACUUUGGAUAGUGUCUGCAAGCUCGUCAACUGAUCAAUCCCUGAAGGCAUCUUACACAAUUGACUAGUAUUGGAAUUUUCAAGAUGGCGCAGGUUAAUUAAUUUUCUAAUACCUACCGGUAAGUUAAUCAGCUCCCUGCAGUUGCUCAAACGUAGUGUUUGUAAAUUGCAAAGAUUACUCAAUGAUUCAGGCAACAAUUUCAGCCAAGUACCAGACAAAUUCAGGUACCUUAGAUGUAUUAAUUCACCGAUGGAAUUUGGUAGAUCAGAGAUAGCAUAGCCACUGAAUGAUAGCACCCUUGAGUAUCGCAAUUCCAGCAAAAGUUCUGCUACGACCUUUUUAGCGAUGUAAAACGGCAAGCCUUCAUACUUGACAAAAAUGGGCAAUGGUAGGAAACUUCGCAAAUGUUUUGCUUUCUGAAGAGUUUUAAACUUUUGUGUAGCUCCAUACCCUGAACUUGUGAAUGAUGCGUACCUAACCUUGUCAAGGAUCGUGCAUUUGAUGUUCUCUUCCAAGUCGUCUGUCAGUCUGGAACAAAAAUCUCCAGCAACAUAUCUGGCUAGAUCGUUAAUAAGGUCAUGCAUCACAAAACGUGAACUAGUGGAACUAGACUGCUGGAAGAAGGACCUCAUUAGUAGCUCCUUAAAAUAAUUGUCCCCUAUGUCCUCCAUAAGUUCGCUUGCUUUUGACUCCUCGAUAAAACCCUCUGCCAUCCAGAGCAAUACAAGCUCAUAUUUGUCAAACUCAUAGUCCUUGGGAAAUAUGGAGCAGUAAGCAAAGCACGGUUUUAGGUGGGCAGGAAGAUGAUAAUAGCUUAAUCUUAGUGCUGGAAGAAUGUCACUUUGAUCCUCUUUUAUUUCCCAUAUCUCACUGUUCAGUAUAUCCGUCCAUUCAUCUGGGGUCGAUCUAGCACGCAACAACCCUCCAAGAGUCUUCACGGCCAAGGGCAAGUUCUUACAUUUCCUUACAAUACUCCUACCAAUGCCUUCUAGAUUGGGGUACCUGUCAAAAUUUGUCCUUCCCAGUGCAUGUCUUGCCAGUAAGCAUAAGCUGUCAUCAUCUGUCAACUCCUUCAGACUAUAUCCAGCAGUGGAAGACACUACUGAUGCCACCCUAUGAUUCCGAGUGGUGACAAUUAUCUUGCUCCCAGAUGAACCAACUAGAAAUGGGCGGCACAGGAUGUCCCAGUCCUCAUAUUUUUCAUUCCAAACAUCAUCUAAAACAAUUAGAAACCUCUUCCUGGUCAAGGCCUCACUCAGUUUCACUUGAACCAUAUUCAGAUCCUCAUAAUCACAGCCACCCGCUGUGAUUGCUUUAAGGAUUGUCUUUGUUACCCCAAAAAUGUCAAAAUCAUCUGAAACACAAGCCCAAGCCUUGGAAUCGAAAAAUUUGUUGACUCUGUCAUCAUUGUACACCAUUUGAGCAAGAGUUGUUUUACCAAUCCCUCCCAUGCCAACAAUUGGUAUCACAACCACUUUAUCAUCACUCGAUUCAUUUGAAAGGAGCAAUUUGAGCAGCUCUUCUUUGUCAUUCUCUCGACCAUAAACAUAAGACUCCACUAAGGAAGUUGAUGGCAAUCUAUCCCUAGUUUUGUUCGGCCUCUUUGCUACAGUCUCUACCAAAUGGAGGAUAUUGAUUUGUUCUUUCAGGCUCUCCAAUCUUCUAGUUAUUUCAUCCACCUUGGGAGCCAUAUUUCUGUUGAACUUAUAAUCUUUAACAGAAAAUUUUGUACAACAGGAAGGGAUUUUAACCUUUCUUACCUUGCUAGUAGAGCCUUGAGCUUCCAGCAACCUUCUUCGACAAGCUUCUGUGGAGAAUUCGUCAAUCACAUCAUCCAUAUCAUAUGCCAAAUCCUGAAGAUCAUCUAGCCACUGCUUCACAGCAAUCCUCAUAUUCUGCUUGUCCUCUGCAUCAUCAAGCACUACCUGAAUCAGGGAUAGCACUUGGCUCCAUCGUUUCAGCUGAGUAUCUAAGCCUUCUGAGCGCGCAAGUUUCUUCAAAUCAACAGAAGCAAGCUUGUCAAAUAUCACCUUGAUGAUUGCACCAAGAAAGACUUCUAUCAGUGCCAUUUUGUUAUCUAAUCUUUGUUUCCUUUUUUUUUCGGGAUUAUCUUUUGUAAGUAAGCAACAAGAAAAAUAAAACUUAUGAAAACUCAAAAGGGGAGAUAAGAUUGAAAGGUAGAAAAAAAGCAGUUUCUUCACCAGAAAUGGAUCAGUGCCAAAUACUUGCCCCAGUGAUUUUUGAACUGGUGAGGAAAAAGUUUCUAAAAGCACGUCAUCAAUUUUUAAAUUAGCUCAAAUAAGAUAAGCUUUUAUAUGUUGAAGUUGACCAACAUGCUUAAUUAUUUUAUGUCAAUUUGUGUAAUUUGAUUGUAUUCCAAGACAUCAAAUUAAUUAAUUAUCUAUAACAUGAAAUCAUACUAAAUACAGUUUCUCCUUUUGCUACUUCUUUUUUUUUUUUUUUUUGGAUUUUGAAAAUUGAUCUCUCCUAAUAUCUGACAGAUUUUGAAGUAUGAUUCUGAUGUAACUAUUUGCCAUUCAACAGGAUAGGUGAUUAAGUACAUCAGAUUUACCUGUUAGCCAUGAAUUGUAAAACAGAACGUAUGAAAUAAAUUUUAAGAGAGAGAGAGAGAGCUUGUAACGAUGAUAACUAUAAUUAUUCGUCUCACAGAAAUAUCAAAUAAUAUUGGAAGUUGACUUGACUAUGCUAAUGGGUAAUGUACCUAUCUAAUUUGUUUUGCUGCAAGUUUUUUUUUUAUUUUAUUUUGGGUGGGUGGGAGGGGAGGGGAGUUCUUCUUGGGUUUAAUCAACAAGUAAAGAAAAGCUGGCAGUGUUGCUUAAGACAAUUGAAGUUGCGGGGGAGGUUGUUAAGACAAUUUGAUUUUUAAACCAACCUUCCACACAAACUAAAACCAGAAGCUCCAUACGAAGUUAAUUUAAAGAUCUUCUUGCCUUCGAUCUAAGGGAUGGGAAUGGAACUUGUGGUAGACAGAACAUAUUAGUUGCCGCACAUCAUGCCAUCUACUAUGAUAUUCCACAUCGAAACUCUCGAAAGAGGAAAGUAAAGAUAUAUAACGGUUGGCCCGUUGAAUAAUUAAUAACAUUGGGUUAAUUUAGUGACAGGUUGUCAGCCUGUGCAAUAAUAAAAACCUGCUCAAACUAAAAGUAAUUUCUGUAGAUAGUGGUGAACAUGGUCGAAUCCACAGGGGGACUGGGAGUAAUUGUUUCUUUUCAAAUUCACAGUAACCAGGGGGUGUUUUUGUGCAGAGAGUGACAAUCAAAUAAAUGCAAAUAAAAUCCAAGGAACUACUAAAAAUUAAAUAAUAAUUUACUAAACUCAAAUGAAUGAUAACUAAGGUUCUAGCCAAGAAAUAACUUCAACAAUGGUUCACCUAAUUGAUCAUCGAUGCAAAGCCAAUUCCAAUUAGUUACUAAUAAAUAUGUUAUAACUGCCUAACAAGCGAUGACAGUCAAUCCCUCCUUACUGUGUCGGUGAUUAAGAUACGCCCGUUAAUCACUGCCCUAAUUGGAGAAUAAUUCUAGGUACGCCCGUAAGAUAUAAUUCCCCAAUUGCUUUACGUAUUAGAGGAGCCCUAUUCUAACCAAAUAAUACACUACCAGGGUUAUUUUAGGUUAGCCCGCAUAUUUCCCUGACACAAAUCCAAUCAUACCAGUUGUCACUAUUUUGAGACAAUUAAACAAUUACGGAUUUAACGUCCCAAUUGACAAUAGAUUAUCAAAUUAACUAAUUAUCCGGAUCCAAGACAAUCAAUUAAUUAAACAAUCAUAAGCACUGCAACUAACGAAUAUGCGAAUACCAAUAAAUAAAGGAAAAGAUAAAAUUAAAUCGAUCUCACAAUUUUUUAGGCGAACCAGAGCCUCCGUUGUCUCUUGACUAGAGUGGAAAAAAUUAGCUCAUGAUUGAUGAACAAAACCCACAGGAAAUUGGAGAGAAAAAUGCAACCAUCAAUUGGAAAAUGGGUAAACUUGAUUCGAUGGAGUGCUGACUAGAAAGAAAAGCUACAGGAAGUACUUAAUUGUUUUGCCUCUCCUAACAUACGAGGAAGAGACACUACUCAAAGCUAAAGAAAAAGACAAGUCCCCCAAAAAGCUAAGCUAAAAGAUGAAAACCACUAAGAAGAAAUAUAAGUCCAGUUCUCUGCUCUCCUUGUGCGGCGGCCCAGCACCAAGAAGAAGCCCUCAAGCCGUCCUUCCUUCGCAGAAUUUACCAAAAUGGGCGUUACAUCUUCUUUUUCAAAAAUGCCCCUCGGACAAGCUUUAUCAUUUGGAUUCCUUUUCUGCCAAAGUGGCACCUGUUAUCAUAUUUUCGUUCUAUUCACUGAAAUAAAUGCAAAAUACUAAAAGUGAGUAGAAUCCAACAAUUAAUCCAUAUCGGGUCAAGUAAUAGGGGAAAUUAAUAAUAAAAUAAAGGAGAAAAUUGCAACCUAUCAUUUAGCUUUUAUUGGGCCAGUCCAGCAGGCACGGACCAUUACAAAUGGUAUUAGAGCGAAUCUCGUAUGGUCUCUAUGUAAGGUGAGCCUAGGUCAAGUGGUGUGGUUCCAACUAACAACUAAGAGUUUUAGUUUGAAAUCUAAAGUUUGAAUCCAUUAAACUAUUGAAUUGUUAAGUAUUAAAUAUAAUACAUUUGAGUACAUAUCAUAUGAGAACCCAAAAAUUUUCACAUUUUCUCAACAUUAUUUUAUUUCUUUGCCUACAUUUUAUACUUUCCUUGGAAAUAUUAAAAUUUCUAUGCAUUUUUACAAGCAAGUGCAAUUUUAAAAUUAUUUUCCUAAUAUGAAUUAGUGUACGUUAAUUUGAAGUGCGUUAUAGAUGUGGGACCCGCUAGUGUGAUAUAAUUUUGGUGACUAAGUGAUUUUUGUGCUAAGUGUUAUUAUUAUACAAGGUGCUAGAGGAUAAUUAGAGAUUUGUUAUAUGAUGUAACCAUUGGAAGCCAAAGGAUUAGAGAAAACAAUAGAAGGGCCAAGUGGUGCAAACCCAUUGGAGGUUGGAUUUUGACCUCAUUUUCAUCUUUACUAAAAACCAAAUUUUGACCCAAAAUAUCUUCACUUUUCUUGCUUCUUGGCCGACUCUCUUGAGGGGAGAAACAAGAGAGAGCUCUUCAAUUUCUUGCUUCCAAACUUGUUCAAAUCUUGUGUUUUAGCCAAUCAAAUUUGAAACUACACCAUACAAGUGCUCAACUAGGAAGUUUGAUGGUUUUGGUGGAGUUGUUUUGGAGGAGGAAAGACUAAACCACUAUCUUCUUGUGGUUUUAAUGUAUCUUGCCAAGAAAUCUCUCUUUACUUUUAAUACUAGAUUUGUUGCUAGCUUAUUUGUGGUUCAAGGGUGCUCGUAAUGCUUAUAUCAAGAGAUUUUGGAUGAUUGGAGUGAUGCAUUUGAGUUAGGGUUUGAAUUAUUCCCCUCUCAUACUUGUUGUAUGGAUGGUUUAUGAUGUAUGUAAGCUUGUAUAAGAGGUUGUGGUAGUAAUUUAAGCAAGAAAUGAAGAGAUUUCCCUUUUAAACCCCAAAUUCCAGAUUUCAGGAAAUCUUGUUUUCAGUUCUGUCCGUUUCUGUUUGCCUAUGAUAGAGGCCGAAUUAGGCUUACCAUAAAACAUAAAAGUUGUAGUAUUAUGUCUUAGCUUUCCAACGCCACUGAAAACGCCUCAAUCGCACUUCGGUAGCCUGAGUUACUGUCAUUUACGCAUAGUGUGGUUAACUGACCUGUUUGUGAGAUUCUGGUUCUGUAAUUCAAAAUUUUGACCUAGAUACACUACGAACUGGACUAAGUGGUCUUCAUCAAAGUUGUAGCUCUCUGUCUUAACUUAAAAACGGUAUAAAUUGCACCUCAAUCCGAUAAGCGUAGCCUCGGUUGUGUCCGUUACGCAAAAUAACGUCAAAUCUGUCUUUUGUUUCUUGACUCAACCUUCAUUUCCGCACAUGUUCCUAGCUUGAUUUUGUACUUGUAUGACUUGGAGCCUAUGGAAUGGCUAUUGAAAUGAAAUGAUUUUGUGUGUGAAUUUGGGAUUGAUUGAGGACAAUAAUGAAGCCAUAAAUGGCUGGAAAACAGGUAAAUACAAAGGGCGUGCUGCCCAAAUUUACGCUCGAGAACUAGGUCGAUGUACUUGCGACUUGAGUAAGGCUUGAAAGCAAAUACCACGUGAACCAUCUAGGGUAUUUACGUCUUCUUUUAUUGAGAUAUAUAAGUUCGAAUUUAGCCGAAACUUGUACCCUUGGAAAAAAUGAAAUUUACGACUAAUAGAAAUACGUUUGCUUUGUCACUUCGACUCAAUUGGAGAUUUUAAAGUUUUACGAGUGAGCAUAAGUUUUACAAAUAUUUUACUUAUGUUCUUUGGUUUCAAUGUACUCUUUUCACUAUCAAAACCAUAUUUAUAUUUCAUACUAGUACGUAUUCGAAUUUUCUUUGAAUCACUUAAAUCUUUGAUGGUUGAAACAUAAUGUGUUCUUUUGAUUAUAUUAGGGUUCAUCGGUGACUGACGGUAUUAUCCGGCAGGAUAUUUUGGAUAUUAUUUUGCGUAAAUAGGUGAGUGUUCCUUGUUUGUUUUAUUUUCAUUGACUAUGUGGCUUGUUCUUGAUUAUAUGACUUGUUAUGAAUGAAUGAUAACAUGUUAAAUGUUUUCAAUGAUUACUUAAAAUGAGUUUUCUAGGCGAGUGUGUAUUUUAUCGCACUUGACCUAAAUGAAUGUGAAAUUUUCAAUGAUUGAAUGAUUAUAUGUGCAUGAAUGUAAGCCUCUCGGCUGAACUGAGCCCUGCCCUUCGUUACUGAUUGACUCGAGCCAGAAGCGGACUCGGUCGGGCGAUUUAGUGACCCUGGGUGAACGUUUGGUAUACUCGAGUAUUACCUUGUAAUCUGGUGGAGCCUGGCCAACGUCCAGGAGGGGGUGAAAUGAAAUGAAUGAACGAAUAUCAAUGUAAAUGAAGGGUUUUACUUAUCAAAAUGCAUUUUCAAACGAUAGGAGGAAUAAGGAAAUGAAAGGAGAAUGAAUGAAUGGCUCCAUGUGAGCAUUUAUCCUUUUAAUGAAUGUUAUUAUUGAUUUAUAUUGUCAUGUUUCUUGAAUUACUUGCUAUCUAUGGUUAAUGUAUUGAACUCAUUGUUUGUUUAUGUGUUUGGAACUUCACUGAGCUUUUAGCUCAUUCCGUUAGUUUUGUUUUCCUUAACAGGGGAUGUGAGCAAGGACGAGAACUCUGUAUAGACUAGCUUAGUCUAGUUCUUUGGAUUCUUUUGUAACGGUUCUCGCCCUAGCACUUGGCAAGGGUGGAUGUAUGAGGAAUUGGGAACCUUUGUAUAUUUGAAGUUUGUAAUUCCUUUGGAGAUAGGAAUGUAUAUAAGUUUAUGUUUUAAGUUUGGGAUUGUUAUUCGCUUGUUUUGUAAAUUUUAUCUUCAAUUCCUUGAGGUGAAUGAUUGAGUCCCGGCGAGAGUUGGGCAGACGGUCCGCUGAACCCUUUGGUUCGCCUUAGGGUAAGGUAGGGCUGUCACAUAUCACAUCUAGUGAUAAGUGAAUAGUUUAUCAUUUAGUUUUGAGAGCAAAUUUUACCUAAAAAAUUCAAUGCUACUUAAUUUAUUCAGAUGUUUAAUAUUUUGUUAUCAAACGAUCUAAAUAUGUUAACAUCUGAUUACAUUAAAUUUAAGUGCUAAAUGAAAUUAUCAAACAGGAUCUAAAUAAGAAAGUAUAAGGAACUAAGUACUAUAUGGGACUAAACCCCACAUUAGACGGUCGCCUUUAGAAUUCGUACGAGUUACCACUAGAAUCUGCAUAUGACUAAAUAAUCAGUGGGAUUGCAACGGAUUUUUCUUAACAAUCUAGAAUCCGCUCACGAUUAAAUGAUCAGUUGAAUUGCAACGGGGUUUCUUAACAAUAAGUCAAGUCAUUUGUGGAAAAUAAAUGGGACGCCAUAAACUGCACUAACCACAAACUGCACUAUCCACAAAUUAGAAAUAUGAAAGAGAUGGAGUCAGCCAAAGUGAGGCUCAUGAAGCUUAGGAUUCUGAUGCUUAUGGGAUGAUGUAAGCUGCUUGCCCAUUGGGCUGUCACACUCUUUGCAAGAUUUCGUAGUUGGUCAACAUUGUGACCUCCUUGAACCGUUAGAUGAUAGGCCUAUAACCGCAGGGAUAGAGCAGGAAAACAUUACGGUACGUGAAGUGUCAGCUUUGGAAACAAGGGUCUAGCGUAACCCUUCCCAAAACACUUACAGACACGGCUAAAAUAAUGUCAACACAAAAAAACACAUGGAAGUAAUAUUAAAAUAUUACACAAGAUCGACGAAAGCACGGGGAUUAUUCAAUCAAUCUAUUAAUUUUCCUCUCUCACAACUCAACUCACUCAACAAAUUCUUUGACUCAACUUAACAAGGCUCAACUCAACUCUCUAAUUGAAUAUGAAACAGGCAUCACAUAUAUGUAGGCAAUAGCUUACCAUAUAACUAAAGACUCGAGUGACUUCCACCGACUUGGACUAAGAAACCAAUUACACUUAGAAAACCAACUAAUCAAGGAUUCGGACUUGACUAUUCACCGACCAAAAUUUAAGGAAACUAACAAGUUGACAGCAGAUUAAAACGUUACCAUGUAAUUGGUUAUAGUAACAACUUUAAUCUAAUAAUCUAAACAAAUAAAUGACGUCAGCUUGAUUUAAUUUCCUUCAAAUAACACACGGGAAACACCUAGAACACCCAAAACAAUCCAUCAACCACUAACCCUCUCCUUCCUCCCCCACCCAAGCCCCCUGCGCCAACCCUCUGCCGCCUCCUCCACCUCCCCUGCCUGCCACCAGCUCCCCAAUCACUUCUCCUACUCUCAUGCUCGCCAAAAAUUGGGGUCUUUUUAUGUGGUUACGAGUAAUAUAUAAUGGUAUGCUCAUUGAAGUAGUACACCAUCACUCAGUUAAAGCAAACCAUUACAACUAAUAAUUCAUUGGCACCAAUUAAAGGGCAGUCAGCUUGGACACUCAUCAAGACACAUCCAAGUGCACAUAGUUAGACAUUUUCACAAACUAGUAAUAAAGCACGUGCUUGCACGUGAACAUGAUGCUUUUAGAUUUUUUUUCCUUUAAAAUUUUUAGAAAAUCAAUUAUUUUAAAGGAAUAAAUGUAAUUGAGACAAAAAAUAUGAUAUUUCAUAUUUAUAUUAUUUUAUAUUUUUCUGAACUUAGUUUUCCCUAACCAAACAUAAAUGCACAAGUAAUAAACCACUCUUUGUUUUAAGAGCACUUUUAUUUUGUAACAGUAUCAAUAUUUUUGUCUUUUGGUUAAAUUUAGAUGACCUAAAUGUUUUUUUUAUGCCAUUUGAGUUUAAAUUUUCAAUUUUUCGAAUAAUUUGUUGCUCCCUUUAAGUUAUUCUAUGAAUUGUUUAUUUGUUUUAGUGAGAUUUUCUAAUUAUUAUUAUUUCUUGCUAAUUGUGGAUUGUAAAAUGAUCUAUAUUGCUACUGUAAUUAUAAUAGUAUCAAAAUAUAUUGAAAUUCCAUUGUUCGAAUUUAAAUAGCUUAACUUUAGAGAGAAAUGUUUUGAUUUGGUAAAACUUAUUUGUAUUUCUCACUGAUGACAUGCUUUAUGAAUAUAGAGUUUCUAUGAUUAAAUAUUGUAAGAUGUUAAGAUUAUUUAUUAGAUAAUAGUUAAACUAAACUUGGAUAUAUUUUUAUUCACCUUUGAAAUACUCCUUGAAAUUGAUAUUUUAUAAAAAAUAUAUUUUUUUUCUUAAUUCACCAUAACUCAAAGGGAUGUUUUGACUUUGUAAUUAUUAUUAUGAUUAGCAUUGAUGAAUAUAAUAUUCAUUAAUUGCAGUUUAAUACUAUUAGUUGUUACAAGAAUAUGAUUAAUAAAGUCCAUUAAAUUUAAUCUUUAUUGCAAUUUAAAUAAAUAAAUUCCUAACACAAAACUCUUUGCCUACCUUGGUACUCCAUUUCCUAUUUUAUUUUUUAUUAAAUUUUUUUUACUCAAUAGUAAUAUAUGCAUAUUAAAAAGAUGCUCUUAAGACUUAAUUUAUUUGUAUCCAAAAAAUAAAAAAACUCGUGGUACUUUUUAAGAGACUCAUAUUACCAAUUUAUGUUUUAAGAGACUUAGAUUUUGUAAAUAAAAUUCGUUCUUCUUUCUUUUAGUAAAUAAAAAGUAAGGAAUCUUUCAUAUUCGUAACUACUAGCCUAUUUGAUAUUAUUUAUUAAUGAUGAAAUAAAAUGAAAUUUAUCCAUUUAUUAGAGAGGAAUGUAAUUUUGGUAUCAAAAAAAUUAAUAUCAUUUUUGUUACAUUAUUAACCACUAAGAUUCACCAUAUUUUUUAAAUUUAUAAAUAAAAUUUAUUCUUCUUUUUUAUUUAAUUCACUAUAACUCAAAUUCUAAUUGUUCAAAUUAUUUGCUAAUGCUUCAGUUUUUAUUCUAAUUACUCAUAUUAUUGAAGCAAUUGGUAACAUCUUAUUCAUUUCAUUAAUAUCAUAACCGAAAUAAAAUGACUGUAAUUAUUAGACCAAAGGGUACUUUGGUCAUAGCAAAAACUAAGGCCCAAAAAAAAAUGCUUACACUUCAAAUUGUUUACACUCUAUUUGCCUAAACUAUCCGUUCUUUUAUUGGGAUCAUAGAUACAGAUAGAUAGAUUAGUUUGCUCGUUUGUCAUGGUAUUAGAAGGCAUCAAUAGCACCUAUAGCAACAGAUUUAUGUCAUAUAUUGGACAAGGUAUUGAGCUUUGCACGCCAUUAAUGGUUUGACCAAGUGUAUCUCCAUGUUUCAAAUAUUAUUUGGUUAGUUAUUAGAAUGAUGCAUCCCAAACUUCUUUUGCAACUAAUGUUGAUAGCCAAAACCAAAAUGGGGCCUUUGGUGUCUGCCAAACUAUCAAAAAUAAAAUUUAUAUUAAUACCUACUCUCUAAACUAAAUGAGUAUAGUGGUGAGUAGGGUUGUCUUCUCAGGGAAGUGGUAAAUUUAUCACACACAGAGAAUUUGGGGGAUUUUAGAAUGGAAGACAAAAAGGACAAAUUAAAGAUGUAAAGGUACUGAAUUUUCAAUCGCAAGAAAGCACAGUAGCUAAAGAAUAUAAAAAACAAUUAAUUGACACAACCUAGUCAAGGAGAUAAUCUCGGUACCGGUUCACACAAUUGAUCAUAGAUACCUGAAUUAAUUCACAUGUUCGCAAAUAAAUUGGUUAAAGCAAUUCAACAACACCACCAAUCUCUCCUUAAUUAUAUGGUAGUCCAGAGACGCUCUUAAACUACCCUCUUGUAAAUUAGAUAACCCCAAAGACGCUCGAAAGAUUUGAUCUAUUCACAGCUUUAGAAAUUAGAGAAACCCAAUUCUAGUUAACAAACACACAUGCGGGUUCAUUUAAACUAGAUUAAUUAUUCCUACGGCACCGAUUAGACUGCUUGCAAGGCAAUGAAAUUGUCCCGUUCGCCACUAAUUUAAGACAAUCAAGUGAUACGCACCCCUGUCCUAAUUGGCAGUAUACUAUUCAGACAAUUGAAUAACUGACCACAUUAAUCCAAUAGAUCUAAACAAUAAUAGGCUAUUCAAAUAAGGAAUAAUUAAAUACUCACAAACGCUGAAUUUAGAACAAUCAAAAUGAUCUUACAAUUAUUCGUGCACCGGACCUUGAUUAUUCCUCAACUAGAUAAAAGAACCUAGCCUGAUCUCAUGCCGUUGAUGCAAUUCCACGUUUUUAUGGAGUUUAGUGAUUGAAAAAGUAGUAAAAAGGAUGCAGCCGCUAACUUGCGUUUAGGAGAAAAAAACCAAAGAUAAAUGUCAACAAGAUCCAAAGAUCCCCUCCUAGUCUAUUGCAGUCUUGCUUUUAAAGUCUUUCUGUCGCCUCCUUGCUUGCCACAUCAGAGUUUGUUUCUGAAAAAGAUUGGUUCCUUAUUUUCCACCUUGAAUUGCUGUCAAAAGUCUUCUCUGACUCUAUUUCCUAAUCCCACACAGGUUCAAAAUGUGUCUCCAAAGAAUAGCAAUAGCUCUAGGGAUAGGACCCGCGAUCCAUCUUUUUAACGCAGCUCUGCAGUCUCUGGCGUGGGCACGCUCUGAAAGGACUGGUCUUCUGGAAAUUUACUUCUUUUUGCCACUUUUGACCUUAGUUGCCUGUGGGUAACACAAAUACCCAAUAUGAGUAUAAACCCAUUACUCUGCAUAAUAAUUGGCCAAAUUUAGGACUAAACAUCAAUGUAAUAAACACUCAACUAUCGCCCUAUCAGCCUUAUCGGGGGCUGCAGUGGCUAAAGAAAAUAAUUUGUUGAUAAGUACUUUUUCCAUCCUAAUGUUGCUGCAGACAUUGCGAACGCAAUAGUACUGUCCUCUAAACCUUUAUCAACAAUUAAAAUCCACACAAUUUGUCUGAUCAAAAUUGUAUAUUUGUAAAAAUCAUAGCACUCCAAGAAACGAUAUUCUCGUUGGACAUAUCCCCGAACAAUCAGAUUGCUUAAAGAGUCAAUAUGAGAAACAAUCAGAAUUGACCUAAAUUCUGCAAUAAUUAUAAAUUGAAAUACCUUAGCUUCAACAACAAUUUUUAAGUAAACUCAUGGUACAAGUAUUUUUUUUUUUUUUAUGAUGAUGAAACGGGGUCUAAUUGAUAAAAUGCUUUACUGUAUCCAACAGGUCAUGAGUACAAUGCAUUUCUUUUUUCUAUUUUUUUUUAAGUUGAUUGGAUUGUCAAUGGCGAAAUCAAAUGAGCAAUUAUUGGACUGCGAAGAUUGAAAAGCUCAGCCCAUCUUGACCAUUGUUUUAUCGCUACAAUGCUAUAAAUGGGCUGACUAAUUAGGUCUCAAACUUUCUAUACUUGGUCAGUUAUUGGAAUGAUACAUCCCAAAUUCUUCAGAACUAUUUUGAAAAGCCAAAACCAAAGUUUGGCCUUAUUUAGGAUUGUAGUGACUUUAGAAAUUAAUUUGUUAUUGGAGCUUGCUGUAUAGGAACUUAAUUAUUGAAAGAAAGUGUUCAAACAUGUAGUAAAGAUAUAAUUUAGUGAACUGGAUAGUGAAUGGAUAGUUGGAUUAGAUAUUAUUCAUAUGUGCAACUAGAGGUUAGUGUUCAGCUUACUAUUUGUGAUUAUUAGUCGCAAUUUUAGCAUUGUGCCUUAAUUACAUUUUGCCCACUUGUAGCUAGCGGCCAAUAGCAGUUUACUCUCUAUAUACAUGAAAUACACAAAAUGCUUACUAAUGACUAAUGCCAAACAUUUUAACAACUAGACUAAAAAAAAAAAAGACUAAUGCCAAACAUUUUAACAACUAGAAAGUGCAGGUGCACUGCACGUGUUUGAUCAUGCCAAAACUUGCCUUACUUUUAUCUAAUAUUGUGAGAGACUCAACUCAGAAGAUUAAUAUUUUUGCUAGAAAAGCCUCUGAUCCAUUGCAUGCCAAACAUGGUAGUUUGGAGAAGCAAGCAAGGCUCAUUAACCAACAAGCAAUGCAAAACCUGUAAUCAUGCUGUAUAAGUGGCUGUAAUUCAGUAGAACAAGGAGAAGUUACUUGAUAUAUCUUAGACAGGAGCUAAAUGCUUCUCCAUUAAUCUUAGAGUUUCAGCCUUUAUUGUUAUUGCAAUUGUAGAAUCUUGAGAGCCCAGGAAGGGUGAAUUCCAAUAUUCCUUUCCAGUUUUUCAUUGGGUUAAUUAAGAUGCAUUCGAAAGAAUGAUGACAAGUCAACCUUUUGAGUGCCCUUGGAAACGAUAAAUAUAUGACAUGCUCCUUGUAAUAUUAUAAAUCAGAAUACCCGUCCCUUUUCUUUUGGUAUCAUCCCUUUCUUAGAGGCCCUUGAUUUGGUUUUUGAGCAUCACUGCUUGUAGGAUUAAAUGUGAAGCUGUAAGUGAGAAGCAGAGUUAGUGUUAGAAAGGCUAUUUUCAUCUAGGCAUUCUAGCUGUAGAAAUAGCAAGCAACACAAACAACCUUCUUAUUACCUAAUGAAUCUCAAUUGGAAGAAAUAUAUUUUGGCCUUAGAUAAGCAUGGCUGGCUUACUAACCAUUUUCUUGCGUGAUUUUACACCUUUAUGUCUCUACCGUGAAAUAAGAAGCAUGGCUUAAAGUAGUAAUUCUUUCAUUUGGUAGAAUUGACUCCAAAACUAUCAAAGACAUUCUUGACUUUCUUUGUAUUUCAUCGAUACGAUGUUGGUUGUAGGGACAAUGUGAAGAUUUGCGCCGAAGAUUUAAUGAUGGUUUACAUAAGAGGCCUAUGACCAUAAGAUUGUUUCUGCACUUUCUUUGUAAUGGUACUGCUAUCCUUCCAUACUGCUGAUGUUUAUAUUCACUAGAAAAAAAAAUUAUCACGUGCACUGCAUGUGUAUAAUUUAUAAAAUAAUUUUAAAAACUGAAUUAAGAAUUUUUGUAAUAUUUAAAGGAGUGUUCUUGUAGGACGAGAAAAUGUUAUAGGACAGAAGUCAUUUGAGUUGGGUAGCUUUUGAUAUGUCUUCUAUUUCUUUCUUUUAGAUAAAAUAGCACAAACAUCCUACACAUUUUGCCAAAGAAUUUUUUUAUCCUCAAAUUUAAAAUGCUAAUAUUAAAUUCCUAACAAAAAUAAACCAGUCCAAUUUGGACCAAACCUCUAACUCCAACCAUCUUUUGUCAUGAAACCAUAUUUCUGUUAGCAAUAAGUUAUCCAGAAGUCCUUUGAAGCCAUUUUGAAAACAUCCAAUUUUACUUUAUUCUCCUUCUGGCUUUAGAAUGAGCAUCUAUUCACUCUCAAACACAAAUGUUCAAAGUUCUUCACCAAAACAUGCUUCAUUAUGUCGGAUUUUGCCAAAAUAAUCAAAUAACCAAUGUCUUCAGAUUACCUUAUUCUUUAUAGGCAAACUGAAAGAGCUUUAAUUAGAGAGGAAUAAGUUUCAGAUUAUUUGGUUGUCAACUCAUGUUCACAUGACAAAUCCUAUAACUUGCAUAAGAAACAAAAAAUCAAGAGGAGUAUUUUGAUUCUUUGGAACAUGAUGAUUUUAAGUUAAUAUAAUUAUUUAUGUGAAUCGACAACUAUCUUAUUAUAAGUUUAGUUGAUACCCCAAUAGAGGUUCUGGAUUUGAAUUCCUCCCGGUCCUUCCUAUUUCUUAAAUCUCAGUUCUCUCCUAAUAAAAAAUUUUAAAAAAAUGUCUCACAGUUAAUUCUGUAGACAAAUCAAAGUCACCACCUUUAAUAUCAAUCCAAAAUAUUCCAAAUUCAUAAAAUGGUAUUUAACUUUUAAUGACCUUCAAUUGAUUGGUUAUGGUUUGGAUAGGUUAAGUAAACUUGCUCAGAUAUAGGGUUAAGGCUAAAUUGUAAAACAAACACAGUUCUUCAAUUUUUUUUUUCUUUUCUAAACAAGGCGCUAAUAUUAUUGAAAGAAAUUAAAAGAGAGUGUGAAAUAAACAAAAAGUAAAAAAAUUGUACCAAUAUAAUUAAAAUCUAAGAUUUGUCUAGCAAUAGCUCAAAGUGUGAUAACAUGUGUACAUCAUUCGAAAACUACUUUUUUUUUGUGAAAGAUGGAUCCUGAAAUAAUAAUAGAAAUUUAUAUUAGAAAAUGAAUGAUAUAUGGAUAGAAAUGAAUGUAAUCGUGAUCUUUAGUUUUUGUGAAUGAUUAUGAGAGUAAGAUACAUUAUAAGAGUAAGAUAUGUAGAAUUGUGGGAGUUGUGGAAAUUAUAAUGCAAACGGGCUCCUAAAUUUUGGAUAUGUAUUUUCCAUAGUACUGAGUUCCUUAAAUUAUGAGUUGCUUAUAACUAUGAGUCGUGUGCUAAGUGUUAGACGUGGUUUACAAUUUGCAGAUGCAAUUUUGCAGGGGUGGUUAAUAAAUGUUAGUUAAAAUUAUGGAGUUAUGAUUUUAUAGGUUAGUGAGUCACGUAAAUGGGAAAAAUGAAAAGAGAUGCGGAGAAGGAAUAAUGAAUUAAAAUAAAUCUAAAAUUGUAGAGGGUUCUCGUUAAAAACCUGCCCUCUAAUACAUAUAGAUAUAGAUAUGGAUUUUCGGCUAAAAAUUCUAUGGAUUGAGCUAAUUCUAAUAUGGGCAGGUUUAUGAUUAUCAUAUAGUUAACUUAGCAUUGUGGAGAUAAAACCGACCAUAUAAAGACGGAUAACAAAGCAAAUAAGAGACACAGAAGAUUUACGUGGUUCGGUCAAAUUGACCUACGUCCACGGGCGAGGGAGGAGCAAUAUUUCUACUAUGAAGAAGAAAUACAAAAGCCGUAGGAAAGUGGUUCCUAGGCCAAUAAGGCACUUACAAAAGAGUUUAGAAAAUAUUCCUAAACUCAAAAUAAGAGAGCCUAAAAUAUUUGACUGAAUGGGCUAAAUGACUUAAGAAGCUAAUAGCCCAUAUAACUCUCUUAAGUGGUGCAAUCAAUUCCUUCAUAAGGCUCCCUUAUUUAUAGGAAACCAAAGGAAGAAUUCCUUUGGCUUCUACCGAUGUGGGACGAAGCACCAAAAGCAUUUGUUCAACAAAUGUGGCUUCACAAAAAUAUCAAUUUUUAAAAAAGGUAUGUGUAAUAUUGGUAUCAAUAACACUUCUUUUGCACUUCUUCUAUUCCCUUUCGUUCUUUUUCUGUACCUAAGACCAUUGGAAGUAUGGUCAGGAAGUUGGUAAAAAUCUGAUAUUUUUAUAGAUGCGGUAUGUAAAGAGCCUUCGUGUAUCCAUUGCCUUUUGCUUAUGUGACGUUCUCUUUUAUGUUGUAUAUGAAUUAGAUUUUCAGUUUUUUGAUUAAUUCGUGGUUUACCUUCAUGUGAUUUUAAGAUUGUAUUUUUCAGUUUUAGUGGGUUUUUUCAGUUUUUACUCUUUGGGUGUUAAUGAUUGGUCGAAAUGAUUUUUGGUUGUUAAUGUUUGGUGUAAAUGAUUGAUAGAUAGUGCUCUUCCAAUUGGUGUCAAUGCUAAAUAAUGGUAUUUCAAUUUAAAACUUUUUUGGUAAUGUGGGCCUUAAGUUUUGUACUAGCUUUAUGAUUUUAGAGCUUGUGUGAUUAAUAGUGAAAGUAAUAACGAAAUUGGCUACAUUUUUAUUGAUGUUUGAUAUAUUCUUUAAACUUGGAUAUUGUAUAAAUGUAGAUGUCAUCAUGGAGAUGGACAUCAUCAUCUUCAAAUUUUUGUUCUUGUUGUUUCUGGAAGAACACCGUGAAAAGCUUUAAGGGUCAAAAGAAGUUGUUGAGUCUAGAGUAUUAUAAUUCUCAUAGACAUCAAUUGUUAGUUGUCAGUUUUGCUUGGCUUCCUCUCAUUAGUUGCCUGUGUAAUGAGUGAUUGGAAUAUUAGAAAAUGUAUUUCUAAAGCUUAGGAGAAAAAAAAGAAAAUAUUCUUUAUUGACUACAUGAAAGAAGACAUUUGAAAUUAUUUUAUAAGAAGUUCCGUGUAAUAAAAAAAAAUGACUACCAUGUUCUUAAUUAUCAAACAAUGAAUGCCCACUUAUACUUUUGCACCGACUGCAAAAGUAUGCUUCUAAUUACUCAAAUCAUUUGGUAGUGUUUUAUUCUAAUUACUCAUAUUAUUGAAUCAAUUGGUAACAUUUUAUUCAUAUCAUUACUGUCAUAACCGAAAUAAAAUGACUCUAAUUAUUAGAAAAAAGAGUACUUUGAUCACAGCAAAAACUAAGACAAAAAAAAAAUACUUACACUUCAAAAUUGCUUACAUUCCACUUGUCUAAACUAUCAAUUGUACAGACAGAUAGAUAGAUAGAUUAGGCAUCAACAGAACCUAUAGCAACAGAUUUAUCUCAUAUAUUGGACAAGGUAUUAAUGAUUUGACUAAUUGUAUCUCACAUAUUAUUUGGUUGGUUAUUCUUAUUAGAAUGAUAGAUCCCAAACUUCCUUUGCAGCUAAUGCUGAUAGCCAAAACCAAAAUGGGGCCUGCAGUCAUUAAAGAAUAUAAUUUGUCGAUAACUACUUUUUCAUCCUAAUGUCGUUGCGGACACAAUAAAUUCAAAUGACCAAUUAUUGGUCUGCGAAGAUUGAAAAGCUCAGCCCAUCAAAUGAGCAAUUAUUGGUUUCUAAUUUCCAAGCCACGUAUAUGCAACGACUUGCAAGUCUUCAGCAAAGAGCAAGAAAAGAGUUAUAACACAGGACCAAACUGGCUAUGAUUAUAUUCAUAUUUUUUUUUUGAGCAAUUUAUUGAUACUUCUAGCGCCAUGGCAAUUCGUGAAAUCUCUCUAUCACAAUGUCGAUUUCAUGUUUGUGAACUGGUACAAGUUCGAGACUUCAUUGCAUGUCCCGAUGUCUUUGGCACCUUCUGAAAGUUUUCAAUAGCGGAUUUAAACUUAACUCAAUCGUUAAAGUGUUAACGAACCAAUUAGAGGCUAGUCAGUUUGACUGAUACAAAUUAGUUUGCCACACAAUUAGACAUUUUCAACCAAUUUGUCAGUUGACAAAAGAGCAUGAGUAGUACUUCUAGCAGUAGGUCUAACUCAUAUACAUUCAACAAAUUAUUGAGCUUUGCAAGCUAUAAAUGGGCUGACUAAUUAGGUGUCAAACUUUCUAUGCUAGGUCAGUUGUUGGAAUGAUACAUCCAAAUUCUUCACAACUAUUUUGAAAAGCCAAAACCAAAAUUUGGCCUUAUUUAGAAUUGUAGUGACUUUAGAAAUUAAUUUGUUAUUGGAGCUUUUUUUUUUGGGGUUCAUUGGAGCUUGAUGUAUAGGAACUUAAUUAUUGAAAGAAAGUGUUCAAACAUGCAGGUAAUGAUAUAAUUUAGUGAACUGGAUAGUGAAUUGAUAGUUGGAUUAGAUAUUAUUCAUAUGUGCAACUAGAUGUUAGUGUUCAGCUUACUAUUUGUGAUUAUUAGUUGCAAUUUUAGCGAAUCAUAAUGCCUCAAUUACAUAUUGCCCACUUGUAGUUAGCAGUCAAUAGCAGUUUACUCUCCAUAUACAUGAAAUACACAAAAUGCUUACUAAUGACCAAACAUUUUAACAACUAGGAAAAUGCAGCUCCAUUGCACGUGUUUGAUCAUAUCAAAACUCGCCUUUACUUUUUAUCUAUAUUGUGAGAAACUCAACUCAGAAGAUUAAUGUUUUUACUAGAAAAGCCUUUGAUCCAUCGCAUGCCGAAGCAGCAAGCAAGGCUCAUUAACCAACAAGCAAUGCAAAACCUUUAAUCAUGCUGUAUGAGUGGCUGUAAUUCAGUAGAACAAGGAGAAGUUACUUGAUAUAUCUUAGACAGGAGCUAAAUGCUUCUCCAUUAAUCUUAGAGUUUCAGCCUUUAUUGUUAUUGCUAUUGUAGAAUCUUGAGAGCCCAGGAGGGGUGAGUUCCAAUAUUCCUAACCAUUUUUUCAUUGGGUUAAUUAAGAUGCAUUCGAAAGAAUGAUGACAAGUCAACCUUUCGAGUGCCUUUGAAAACGAUAAAUAUAUGACAUGCUCCUUGUAAUAUUAUAAAUCAGCAAUACCUGUCCCUUUUCUUUUGGUAUCAUCCCUUUCUUAGAGGCCCUUGAUUUGGUUUUUGAGCAUCACUGCUUGUAGGGUUAAAUGUGAAGCUGUAAGUGAGAAGCAGAGUUAGUGUUAGAAAGGCUAUUUUCAUCUAGGCAUUCCAGCUGUAGAAAUGGCAAGCAAUACAAAUAACCUUCUUAUUACCCAAUGAAUCUCAAUUGGAAGAAAUAUAUUUUGGCCUUAGAUAAGCAUGGCUGGCUUACUAACCAUUUUCUUGCGUGAUUUUACACCUUUAUGUCUCUACCGUGAAAUAAGAAGCAUGGCUUAAAGUACUGAACUGUGUCCAAUAGUAAUUCUUUCAUUUGGUAGAACUGACUCCAAAACUAUCAGAGGCAUUCUUGACUUUCUUUGUAUUUCAUCGAUACGAUGUUGGUUGUAGGGACAAUGUGAAGAUUUGCGCCGAAGAUUUAAUGAUGGUUUACAUAAGAGGCCUAUGACCAUAAGAUUGUUUCUGCACUUUCUUUGUAAUGGUACUGCUAUCCUUCCAUACUACUGAUGUUUAUAUUCACUAGAAAAAAAAAAUAAAAAUCACGUGCACUGCAUGUGUAUAAUUUAUAAAAUAAUUUUAAAAACUGAAUUAAGAAUUUUUGUAGUAUUUAAAGAAGUGUUCUUGUAGGACGAGAAAAUGUUAUAGGACAGAAGUUAUUUGAGUUGGGUAGCUUUUGAUAUGUCUUCUAUUUCUUUCUUUUAGAUAAAAUAGCACAAACAUCCUACACAUUUUGCCAAAGAAUUUUUUGUCCUCAAAUUUAAAAUGCUAAUAUUAAAUUCCUAACAAAAAUAAAUCCAAUUUGGACCAAACCUCUAACUCCAACCAUCUUUUGUCAUAAAACCACACUUCUGUUAGCAAUAAGUUAUCCAGAAGUCCUUUGAAACCAUUUUGAAAACAUCCAAUUUUACUUUAUUCUCCUUCUGGCUUUAGAAUGAGUAUCUAUUCACUCUAAAACACAAAGGUUCAAAGUUCUUCACCAAAACAUGCUUCAUUUAUGCCGGAUUUUGCCAAAAUAAUCAAAUAACCAAUGUCCUCAGAUUACCUUAUUCCUUAUAGGCAAACUGAAAGAGCUUUAAUUAGAGAGGAAUAAGUUUCGGAUUAUUUGGUUAACUCAUGUUCACAUGACAAAUCCUAUAACUUGCAUAAGAAACAAAAAAUCAAGAGGAGUAUUUUGACUCUUUGGAACAUGAUGAUUUUAAGUUAAUAUAAUUAUUUAUGUGAAUCGACAACUAUCUUAUUAUAAGUUUAGUUGAUACCCCAAUAGAGGUUCUGGAUUUGAAUUCCUCCUCCUCCUUCCUAUUUCUUAAAUCUCAGUUCUCUCCUAAUAAAAAAUUUUUAAAAAAUGUCUCACAGUUAAUUCUGUAGACAAAUCAAAGUCACCACCUUUAAUAUCAAUCCAAAAUAUUCCAAAUUCAUAAAAUGGUAUUUAACUUUUAAUGACCUUCAAUUGAUUGGUUAUGAUUUGGAUAGGUUAAGUAAACUUGCUCAGAUAUAGGGUUAAGGCUAAAUUGUAAAACAAACACACUUCUUCAAUUUUUUUUUUCUUUUCUAAGCAAGGCACUAAUAUUAUUGAAAGAAAUUAAAAGAGAGUGUGAAUUAAACAAAAAGUAAAAAAAUUGUACCGAUAUAAUUAAAAUCUAAGAUUUGUCUAGCAAUAGCUCAAAGUGUGAUAAAAUGUGUACAUCAUUCGAAAACUACUUUUUUUUUGUGAAAGAUGGAUCCUGAAAUAAUAAUAGAAAUUUAUAUUAAAAAAUGAAUGAUAUAUGGAUAGAAAUGAAUGUAAUCGUGAUCUUUAGUUUUUGUGAAUGAUUAUGAGAGUAAGAUUCGUUAUAAGAGUAAGAUAUGUAGAAUUGUGGGAGUUGUAUGGAAAUUAUAAUGCAAACGGGCUCCUAAAUUUUGGAUAUGUAUUUUCCAUAGUACUGAGUUCCUUAAAUUAUGAGUUGGUUAUAACUAUGAGUCGUGUGCUAAGUGUUAGACGUGGUUUACAAUUUGCAGAUGCAAUUUUGCAGGGGUGGUUAAUAAAUGUUAGUUAAAAUUAUGGAGUUAUGAUUUUGUAGGUUAGUGAGUCACGUAAAUGGGAAAAAUGAAAAGAGAUGCGGAGAAGGAAUAAUGAAUUAAAAUAAAUCUAAAAUUGUAGAGGGUUCUCGUUAAAAACCUGCCCUCUAAUACAUAUAGAUAUAGAUAUGGAUUUUCGGCUAAAAAUUCUCAGGAUUGAGCUAAUUCUAAUGUGGGCUGGUUUAUGAUUAUCAUAUCGUUAACUUAGCAUUGUAGAGAUAAAAAUCAUCUACCUUAAACAAUCCCCGUAGAAAUCAUAAAUUUUCGAAAUCAAAAUAAAUUCUUUUUCUAGGUAUACCUUUUAAGUGUCAGGCUUUGUAUAAUCUCAUUAUUAUGUCAAAGCAAGUGUAUGAAGAAGGAAGAAAAACAGAGUCCAAUUCUCAAAUCAAAAGGUUCAAAAUUCAUAAACAAGUAAUACGCAUUUAACCAAGGUGCCAAUCAAACUAUUCAGUCAUGAAUAUAAUCAAUAGAUUAAAAUACAACAUUAAAGUAUUCAAGGAACAACAGUAGAGAGGUUUUGAAUCAUACAAGUUUUCACUCUAGAUAUAAUUGUGGUAUUCUGACCAAUCCAUCAGUGAUGAGUCUUCAUCCAGCAUUGCAGCCAGAUUUUUUUUUUUUAAGUUCUCUAUUUCAAUGAUGUUUGCUCGGAUCUUAAUAGACUCCAAACUCUCUAAGUAAUUUGACUUCUAGUUUAAAUAAUCUAUGUUAUAAAAUGAUUCCUUGUCUGACUUAAUAGAGUCAAAGUUUAGUUCACUAUUUGAUAUAUUGACAUUUUUAAAGUUCCCUUUUUCAAUACUGGGAUCGUAAUGGACUUCAAACUGCCUAUGUAAUUUGACUUCUAGUUUCAAUCACCUAUGUUUUAAAACAAUAGCUUGUCUUCCAAAUUUAGUUCAACUCCUUCUCAUGAUGCAAUUAGUGAGUGGAAAGAUUCGGCCAUUAUUUGAUACGUUAACAUUUAUAAUUAAAAAUUUUUGGUUUGACAGGAGACGGGAACUAAAAGUGUAGGAGUCCUUUAAUUCACCCAUGUUUAUUGAAUAUAAUUUAUAUAGACUGUUAUAGAUAUUGAGUAAGGACUAAAAGGUAAAUCACCCAAGAGACUGUUAUGUGUGUGUACUCUAUAACUUAUAGAGUACACACACAUAUAUAUAUAGAUUGGUCAAUGGUCACAAAUCUGCCGCUGCAAUCGUAUGAGCUUGUGUUUGGAAUGGAGAGGAGAUCAACGAAAGAGGCAUAAAAGGGGACAAGAAUUCAACAUCCUUUCGGCUAUAACCACGUAAGACUAUGAACUUUUGUUAAGAAUAUUUCUACGAUAUUAGCUUUUCAGGUUUUAAUUUUUUCCUUAGAAGCCCUAUGUCUAGAUCUGGCGCAUGGGUGUAGAUUUUGUAUCUCUAAAUAUUCGUUUCGACUUAAUUGAUAAUUUCCUUUAGGACUUUAUAAUUUCUAGAAUUAUUUGUCUGGAGAAAUGGAAUUUCAUGGCACGCAAUUUCACUUGGAGCCAGGCCAUUUGUACAAAAUUAAAAGACAAAUAUUUAACAGUUGUGUUUAGUCAUCCGACUUAUGAGUUGGGAAAUAAGUUGAAGCUGCGCCACUGCUGGUGAAUCAAAAUUUGGGUAAAUCCGAUUUCAAAAAAAUUCAGUGAUUUAAAUUGUGUCAUACCUAGGGGUGUGCAACGAAUUCGAAUUCGGUAAUUUGGAAGUUUGAAUUCGGCAUUUUUCGAAAUUUUGGCAUAGGAAUUACCGACCGAUUUUGAUUUCAAAUUAACUAGUUCCAAUUUCGAUUUCGAUUCCGAAUUAAAUUCGGAAUUCAGAAACCUUUUUUCCCUUUUUUUUCUUUUUUGUUAGAUGUAUUGCUAUAUAAUAUAAAUUUUAUAUUACAUAUAUUAUAAAAAUAUUAUUAUAUAGAAAAAUAUUAUUAUAUAUAUAAAUAUGUAUUAAUAUACAUAUUAUAAAACGGAAUUGAAAUAAAAAUAUAUAGUAUUAUAUAAAUAAAUAAAUAAAUAUUAAUAUAUAUAUUAUAAAAUGAAAUUGAAAUAAAAAAUUCUGAUUUUGAUUUCCGAUUUCAAAAGCUCCAUUACCAAAUUUGAACCAAAUUCGCAUAAUUCGAAAUCGAAAAUUCAGAUUUCAAUGCCGAAUUUCGAAUUACCGAUUUCAAAAAUUCUGAAUUCAAUUCGAAUUCAGUAGGUAAAUCGAAAUUUUUCGAUUUUGCACACCCCUAGCCAUACCACUUGAUGAGAUGGUAUGAUACAAUUUUAAGCAUUAAAUUUUUAAAAACCAAAUCUAUCCAGUAUAACCUUCGGGGUAAUGAUGAUAAUGACCUGAUCAAGACCAAAUUCAGUUGUUGUCUUGUUGAUGCUGCUGUGGCCCUUGUGGUUUCAAUUAAUUGGAUCAUUUAAUUAGUUAAUUGGGCUGAGGGACUCUAGCAAACUCUUGGGUUGUUUUUGUUGGACUGGUCCAAGUUCUAGUGGCCUUUUAGAAUUGUUUUUUGUUUUUGGGAUCCAAUAUCAUUUGGGCCAUCUGAAAAGGGCCAUCUGAAAUUCUUUUGGGAUUAUUAUUUUGGGGCUAAUGUAACUAGUGGGGCGAAUGGGGUGGUUAAUGGAAAAAAGAAACUUUCUGGGCCCAUGCAUGUAGGCUUAUGUUCAAACAGUGGACAUUUUGUUUCUUCUGUAAUUGAACUUAUGGAUCAGAAAGCCCAAUUUAAAAAUUCCCAACUCGUCAAAUAAGUUUAGAAGCCAACAUAUAUAGCAAAUAUUUAAAAGCUCAAUUUUAUUAUAAUAACCCAAAUUUUAAUAACAAAGAGGAAAAGAAAGAAAGAAACCUGUUGUUAAUUAAUGAUUGUAUAUAUACAUAUACAUACAUAUGUGUGUACAUGUAUAUAUAUGUAUAUAUAUACACACACAUAUGUAAACCUGUUGCAAAAACUAAAAAGAAAAAUAUAUACAUAGACACGUAUAUACCCGCUGUAGAUCACUGCCUAUUCCCACACAGGGAAUGUCUUCAAUCACGCGCCAGUAGUCUCUAUCCAUCAAACACCUUUUCUCGAGAAGUGGGCAUGUAUCAAUUCUGAGAAGUUUAAGCUGAUUACGCAGCGAUUCCUUUGGUAGGGAUCCAAGCUUGGGGCAGCCAAAGAUACGCAGACCUUUAAGAGCUGUAAGACCUCGCAAGAGCGUGGAGAGCGAUUUCAGAUUUGGUAAGUCACCAAUGUCGACGGACCUGAGAGUUGGAGGAAGCAAAGCGAAUCCAUCAUCACCGCUACCAGAAAAUGAUUCCAGCUCUGGAUAUCCACCGCGGAUGCGGAACCUUUCAAGAGACGUGAGUCUGUUGAGUCCCCAUUCUGACAGUGGCUUCAGCUGUAAGUUUUCUCCUCCCUCUAUGUAAAGACCCUCCAGACUGGGAGGAAAAUCUCCCUGUGGAAAUAACAAAGGACUUGAACAAAAAGACAACUGCAGAGAUCUUAGUCUUCCCAACCCACUGGGCAAGUAACUAACAUUUUUGCAUCUGCACAAGUAAAGACGUUCCAAAUUUGGAGUGGGCAAUUGAUCCAGAUGAUAAUCACAAUCCCUAAUAUCCAAAGACCGGAGACUUGCAAAACUGUAGACUGAACCAAGCAUUGUUCUCAAAUUCAGACAUGGGCAGCCAAAGAUUUGCAGUCCCUCAAUCGAUGUGCUGGUGUCCUCUAUGACAAUCUCCGGAGUAAGGUUCAGUUUAUGGCAAUCAAAGAUCUCAAGAUGCCUAAGCUGAGGGAGGAGCAACUUGUCCAUUGGCAAGCAACUGAGGGCAGAGCAAAAGCUUAUUCGCAAUCUGUUAAGACCAGAUAAUGUAGGCAAAGACUGGAGAGCACUGCAACUUUCUAUCGUAAGAUAUUUAAGCAUAGGUAAGACACGUGUAGUACUUGAGCCCCACAAAUUCUUCAGUUGAUGGCAGCUGCGUAAUGCGAUAUCUUCAAGGCCUGAUGGAAACUGCAUGAACACAUCCUCGAGGGAUGCAAGGCCUAUAAUCUGCCAAAACUCCAAUUUGUUUAAUGAGGUCAAAUUGUAAAAACAUUUUGCAAUUCCCACCGAGCACUCAUCUAACUUUAGUUCAGAAAGUGAAGGAAGAUGCAAAACAGGAAUGCUUUUCAACUUUGGGCAUCUACUUAUACAGAGCUUUCGGAGCAGAGGGAAGUGGCAUUCGUUCUCUCCUGCUGAACUUAAGCAAGUCCAUUCCUCCCAUUCUGGCAUGUCAUCAAAUGUUAGACUUUCGAGCGAUGGAAAGGAAAAUUCCCAAGAGCAAUCUUUGCCACAUAACUCGGUACCUACUGCCUUCACCUCAAGCAUGCUUUGAAUGCUCAAAUCCUUGAGCGCAGGCAAUUGCCCGAGUGAUGGUAAACACUUGCAGUGUGUACAACCUCUAAGGCUUACUUUUACUAAUUUAGUAAAUGAAUAAUCCCCCACCCAGGAGGAGAAUUUGUCUCCCUUAUAGAACUCAAUUUCAAGACUCGUUAGGUUUGUGUGUGGUCGUAGCGCCUCAAGCAAAUCUUGUUGAAGAACUUUACUCAGAGAAUCAUCAUAUUCACUAUUCCAUGCCAAUACUAUUUUAUCAAGGUCCCUCUUGUCCUUCAAAUUGGCAUCCCGUGCUUCUUGAACAUUCGUAACAUUUUGCAACUCCAAAAUGGCGAGUGACCCUGCCAGUAAGGACAAGUUCCCCAAGUCUUUCAGCCUGAACGCACCAUGUUUGCUCACAACCACUUUGGAUAGUGUCUGCAAGCUCGUCAACUGAUCAAUCCCUGAAGGCAUCUCAUGCAAUUGACUAGUAUUGGAAUUUUCAAGAUGGCGCAGGUUAAUUAAUUUUCUAAUACCUACUGGUAAGUUAAUCAGCUCCCUGCAGUUGCCCAAACGUAGUGUUUGUAAAUUGCAAAGAUUACUCAUUGAUUCAGGCAACAAUUUCAACCGAGUACCAGACAAAUUCAGGUACCUUAGAUGUAUUAAUUCACUGAUGGAAUCUGGAAGUUCAGAGAUAGCAUAGCCACCGAAUGAUAGCACCCUUGAGUAUCGCAAUUCCGGCAAAAGUUCUGCUAUGACCUUUUUAGCGAUGUAAAACUCGUCGCUGCCAUCCUCGGCAAAAAUGGGCAAUGGUAGGAAACUCCGCAAAUGUUUUGCUUUCUGAAGAGUUUUAAACUUUUGUGAAGCUUCAUACCAUGAACUUGUGAAUGAUGCGUACCUAACCUUGUCAAGGAUCGUGCAUUUGAUGUUCUCUUCCAAGUCGUCUGUCAGUCUUGAACAAAAAUCUCCGGCAACAUAUCUGGCUAGAUCGUUAAUAAGGUCAUGCAUCACAAAACGUGAACUAUUGGAACUUGACUGCUGGAAGAAGGACCUCAUUAGUAGCUCCUUAAAAUAAUUGUCCCCUAUGUCCUCCAUAAGAUCACUUGCUUUUGAUUCCUCGAGAAAACCCUCUGCCAUCCAGAGCAAUACUAGCUCAUAUUUGUCAAACUCAUAGUCCUUGGGAAAUAUGGAGCAGUAAGCAAAGCACGGUUUUAGAUGGGCAGGAAGAUGAUAAUAGCUUAAUCUCAGUGCUGGAAGAAUAUCACUUUGAUCCUCUUUUAUUUCCCAUAUCUCACUGUUCAGUAUAUCCGUCCAUUCAUCUGGGGUCGAUCUAGCACGCAACAGCCCUCCAAGAGUCUUCACGGCCAGGGGCAAGUUCUUACAUUUCCUUACAAUACUCCUACCAAUGCCUUCUAGAUUGGGGUACCUGUCAAAAUUUGUCCUUCCCAGUGCAUGUCUUGCCAGUAAGCAUAAGCUUUCAUCAUCUGUCAACUCCUUCAGACUAUAUCCAGCAGUGGAAGACAUUACUGAUGCCACCCUAUGAUGCCGAGUGGUGACAAUUAUCUUGCUCCCAGAUGAACCAACUAGAAAUGGGCGGCGCAGGAUGUCCCAGUCCUCAUAUUUUUCAUUCCAAACAUCAUCUAAAACAAUUAGAAACCUCUUCCUGGUCAAGGCCUCACUCAGUUUCACUUGAACCAUAUUCAGAUCCUCAUAAUCACAGCCACCUGAUGUGAUUGCUCUGAGGAUUGUCUUUGUUACCCCAAAAAUGUCAAAAUCAUCUGAAACACAAGCCCAAGCCUUGGAAUCGAAAAAUUCGUUGACUCUGUCAUCAUUGUACACCAUUUGAGCAAGAGUUGUUUUACCAACCCCUCCCAUGCCAACAAUUGGUAUCACAACCACUUGAUCAUCGCUCGAUUCAUUUGAAAGGAGCAAUUUCAGCAGCUCUUCUUUGUCAUUCUCUCGACCAUAAACAUAAGACUCCACUAAGGAAGUUGAUGGCAAUCUAUCCCUAGUUUUGUUCGGCCUCUUUGCUACAGUCUCUACCAAAUGGAGGAUUUUGAUUUGUUCUUUCAGGCUCUCCAAUCUUCUAGUUAUUUCAUCCACCUUGGGAGUCAUUUUUCUGUUGAACUUAUAAUCUUUAACAGAAAAACUUGUACAACAGGAAGGGAUUUUAACCUUUCUUACCUUGCUAGUAGAGCCUUGAGCUUCCAUCAACUUUCUUCGACAAGCUUCUGUGGAGAAUUCGUCGAUCACAUCAUCCAUAUCAUAUGCCAAAUCCUGAUGAUCAUCUAGCCAGUGCUUCACAGCAAUCCUCAUAUUCUGCUUGUCCUCUGCAUCAUCAAGCACUGCCUGAAUCAGGGAUAGCACUUGGAUCCAUCGUUUCAGCUGAGUAUCUAAGCCUUCUGAGCGUGCAAAUUUCUUCAAAUCGACAGAAGCAAGCUUGUCAAAUACCACCUUGAUGAUUGCACCAAGAAAGACUUCUAUCAGUGCCAUUUUUCACUCUUCUUUUUUUUUUUUUCUCCGGAUUAUAUUGUGUAGGUAAGCAACGAGCAAAAAGUCUGAAAACUUGAAAGGGGAGAUAAGACUGAAAGAUGGGAAACUACAGAUUCUUCACGGGAAAAUUGAUCAGCACCAAAAUAUUUCAACUGGCAAGAAAAAAGUUUCCAAAGCACGCGUCUUCAUUUCUUAUGUAGUACUAGUAGAUUUAUUUUUCUUUUCUGUAGCACUAUAUUAUAUCAUCAAUCAUUAAAGUUUACGGGAGGGAGGUACUUUUGACAUAGAAUGAUUGGUGCUCUUACGUGUAGUUGUUGUACUUCAUUUACAACAUAGUGUACAUUUACAAAUGCACUUGUAUUUAUGCAUAACACGAAUAAAAUUUUAAGUACCACAAAAUUGUAUAAGAGUACACUAUAUUAUGUAAAAAGUAUAAUAACUAGACAAUUGCAACAAAAUUCAAUUGUACCUGGUCUAAAUUUGACCAUUUUCCUUAGUUGUUUAACGUUAAUUAGUGUAAUUUGGUUGUAUUUUAUGGCACAAAAUCAAUUAAAUAACUAUAACAUCAAACCACAUAAGUAGCUGGUAUAUGUUGUUUCCAUAAUUAUAAUUUUUUAAAAAAAAAUUAUUCAAAACGCCGUUCACAUUUUGUACAAUACUUUUUUUCGCCCUUCACUUUCAAAAUAUUAACUUUAUGUACCUUAUAAAUUCAGGUCAGCAAAAUUUGGUCCCAACCAAAGUUUCUAACUACUUUUUAGUCUAAAAUCACUACGUGGCUCAUAUAUAGUUAUUUUUUAUGUAUAAAAAAAAUUAGAUUUCAUUUUUUUAUUGAUAAUAUAUAUUAUGUCACAUCUCACUUUUUUGAAAAAAUUGAAUAUAUUUUAGAUCAAAUCCUAUUUUUAAAGAAAAACUGAAUAUAGAUCUGGUCAUUUGUUUAACUAUAAAUGGGAUUUAACAUUUUUGCCCUUAAAAAAAUGAACCCAAAUCUCUUAAUUACAUUCCCUCUUCUCAAACCACUCAACCCAUCCCUCUUCCUUCUUUCUCCCCUCUCCCCAACCAUAUGUGGGCUAUGCGAGGAAUGAAAAAAUUCAUUUAGCGAGAUGUGAAAAACGUUUUAAACGAUUUCCUCCUUGUUAUUUUAUAUGCCAAAGGGCAAUAUCCUACAAUUACUCCAAUAGUAUACGUCCAAUGGGGCCAUUAUUUGAGCUGUCGAAAUUCAGAGGAGACUAUCACCUCUGAAGUCUGAACUAAACGGGUGCAAUUGCACCCGUUAGAAGAAGUUUCCUAGAAAUCCUGGACUUCAAGAGCAGGCGAGGGUUUCAAAUCUCCCACCUAUACAAAAGGACGGAUAUAUUUAUAAAGUUUGUGAUAUAUUUAUAAAGAAAGAAAUUUAGAAACAUUGUGAAAGUCCCAUCUGAAUUAGCAAAAUUAAUAUUCUCUCCAUCUCAUUUUAUUAGUUACAGUUUCUCCUUUUGCUACUUCCAAAAUGUUUUUUUCAUCAAUUUGGACAAAAAUAUAUCUUAACGUCUUAAAAUUUUUUGAAGUAAGGAUGUGAAGUAACCAUUGAUUAGUAAACAGGAAAGGUGAUUAAUUAAGGAUGUGAAGUUUGCAUUUUCUUUAAUUGAAUGCAUUUGUCUAUUCCUUUUACCAAUGAAUUGUAAAAUAAGAUAAAUUAAAUAAAAGGAUAAAGCUUCUAACCAAAACCCUUCUUUUGGACCCAAACAAAAAAAGGAUAACUAUUCUUCUCAGAGAAAUAUCAAAUUAUAUACCUAUUCUUCUCAAAAAAAAAAAAAAAAAAAAACCAAAGUGUAUAGGAAGUUGACUUGACUUGACUAAGAGCUUAAAUCUUAAUCCUAAAAGGUAAGCAAGGGUCAUAAUAUUAUCAAUCGAAAUUAGCGUGUUAAUUUGUUUGAAUACAUCUUUUGGUUGGGUCUUCUGAGACUUGUUGAACAAAUGAAGAAACAGCCUUAAGAAAUGGGUAAAUUACUAAUAACUUCUAUGAUAAUUACUAAUAACUACUCAUGUAUAUAACUCUUGAAUGAUUAUGUGGAUAAAUGUAAAAUAUUACAAGGAGAAAAUCACAAUUAGGUUAUAAGUAAUUUAUGCUAAGAAAAUUGAAGUUACCUGCAGAGUUGGGGUGGGUUUUGGUGUGUGUGUGGUUGUGUGUGUGUGUUUCCGGGGGGGCGGUUGGGGGUGGGGAGGCAGAGGAAAACUAAUCAAACCACGCUUCUGAACAUUGACAAUAUAUGCCAUGUACAAAAUAUGGAUUUAAAAUGAAAGGAUGUAGAUUUAACUUGAGGAAUACAUAAUUUUGGGUUUUUAGGAGCCUUAUGCAUACAAAUGAGACUUCUAACACAGCAGCCCCUCAAAGAACCCAUUGGAUAAUCUUUGCAGUCCCAAUCGGCCAAUUCUUGCCCAGCCAAACCGCGCUUCCAAUAUCAAAUUAUAUUGGAAGUUGACUUGACUUUGCUGAGAGCCAAACCCUAUAAGUCAAGCAAGGGCCAUACAUUAACGCGUUAAUUUGUUUUGGUACAUGGAGUGGGUAGGGAUGGCAACGGGGACCCCUCCCCCGCCCCCGCCCCGUUGCCUAUUAAUUCCCCCCGUCCCCCGCCCCGCCGCCCACUCCCCCGUCCCGCCGCCCCCCCGCCUCCCACUCCCCCCGCCCCGCCCCGCUUCCCCCGCGGGUGCCCCCGUGGGGUUAAUAAAAUUUUUCCUGCGGGAUUAAUAAAAUUUUAUUAUAGUUAAAUUUUAAUAAAUAAUCAAGUACUAAAAUAUCAACACUUCAUCAAGUUAUUAUUCAUUGUAAUUUUACAAUUGAAACUCAUAAAAACAAUCAAACAAAAGUUAUUUGAAUACAAUCCAAUAUGAUGAAAUAAAUACAACUAAAAUAGUCAAGUUUUCACUUUUGGUACAAAUACAAUCACUAAUUCAUUAUUGUGUUUGUGCUUUUUUUUUGAGAAAAAAGUGUUAUUCUAUUAAGUGUAAUUAGAAAUUUAGUAUAAAUGUAUUAGUAAAUUUAGUAUAACUAAUUAAUAAAUUCUAUUAGUAGACAUUAGAGGUGGCAAUUUGUCCCAAGUCCCAAUUGGUUACCCAUGCCCAUUGAGACUUUGGGCGGGAUGGGUAUUGGAAUUUGAUAUUGGGUUUAAAAUGGGACAAAUCCCAAUUGUACCCAUUAAUUGAUGGGAAAUUUUGGAAAAUGCUUGGGUACCCAUUGGGCUCAAAUAGCAAGGGCUCCGUUUGGAUUAACUAUUUUUGGGGGGUGUUUUUGAAAUAUUUUAUUGUAGUAGUGUAUAUGAAAAAUUUUACUAUAAACUUUUUUUGAAAUAUUUGAUAUACUAAUAUGGAUGGGAUGUUUUUUUAGUUAUUGUAUAUUACUGUAACAUUGUAUUUGAAAAACUUAUUUUUUGAAAAAAUAACCAAUCCAAACGGAGUUUUAGAUUCAAAAAUUAUCUUUAACAAUUUUUAUAGUCAUGAUUGUAUAUCUAUCUUUUCCUUUAUUUGUUAAUCCAAUUUUUGGUGAUAAUCCUGAGUAUAAAGCACUUGCAUGUUUAUUUAAUAAAACUAAAAGAAAUUUAAUAAAUCAAAAAUAUUAAAAUUAUAUAAAAAAUAAAAAUAAAUUAAAGGAAAAAAAUAUGUAUAAAAUAGAUUUGGGUAUUGGGCGAGAUCAAUCUAAACCCAUCCCAAAGUGAUCCCGCCCAAGUUAGUCCCAAAACAUAUAUGGGUAAGGUUGGGCCCAAACCCAUAUGACUCGGUUCCAUCUUAAACCCAAGCAAAUCCCGCCCAUCCCGCCCAUUUUGCCACCUCUAGUAGACAUGUCUAAUUAUUCGUAUCAUUGAUAAUAUCAAUUAUAUUACAUACACUAAUAUACAUUAUAUAAUACAUCUAACUAAUAGUAUUAUUAUCAUAAGUUUAUAACUAAUUAAAUUAUAUAUUAUAUAUAUUUAUAUAUAUACACUUUUUCUUUUGCGGGGGGCGGGGCGGGGGAUGGGGCGGGGGUAUACUCCCCCGUCCCCCGCCCCGUUACUAAACGGGGGGAAAAAAUUCCCCCCCGCCCCCGCCCCAACCCCCGCCCCAAGAGUCCCCCGCGGGGCGGGCACCCGCGGGCACCCGCCCCCAUUGCCAUCCCUAGGAGUGGGGCUUCUUCUGAAGUUUUUGCAUAUAAUCCCCUGUAAAUUAUGUAGAUAAAUGUAAAAACUACGAAAGAGUAAAAUAUAUAUUUCACUAAAUCAUAUGAAAGGUAAACAAAUAUUAUGAUUUUAUCACACGUAUUUUUACAGCAUGUCUAACAUUAUUCGAUAGCAUUUUCAUUUAUUUUUUACUCUACAUAAAAUUACAGAGGAAUAUUAUGAAAUUAUGAAUAUGUUAAAACCUUAGGAGAGUCAUGUAACAAUAUAUUGAACCACAAUAGGCUUAUUAGUAAUUUACACUAAGAAAGAUGAAGUUGCGGGGAAGAGAGGGACUAAAUGAAACCCCCCCCCUUUUGAACAUUGAUAAAAUAUGCCAUAUAUAAAGUAUGGAUUUAAAAUGAAAGGAUGUAGAUUUAACUUUAGGGAUACAUAAUUUUGGCUUUUUUAACUUUAAAAAUACUAAAUUUUGGCUUUUUGGGAAGCUUCUCUUGCAGAAGAUGCUAGUAAGAGUCUUUUGAACUACUUAAAACAAAUUAUAAAUAUCUUUGUGAAAGUAAAACUAUUAUUUUUUAUUGUUUCUCAAAACAGCUUUUAACUUCUCAAAACAUUGAAAACAAGGAUGAUUUUUCAUUGUUUCAAACAAAGUUUUGAAAUUAUUUCAUAUUUGAAUUCCAAAACUACUCAAACGUAGUUGAGAAUAAGCUCCAAGUAAAUGUUAAAGUUGCAAAUAAGGAAAAAUGGCAAUUGUACGUAGUAUAUUUAGAAGGUUGGCUAUACCAGUUGGGGAAUAUCUUGAUCUAGUGAUUAAGAUCAAGAUCCCAAAAUUAGAGGUCAUGAGCUCCAAUCCUCUUACGCCCUCCCUCCUAUUAAGUCCCACUCUCAUAUUUAUUAGAGGUGGCAAUUUAUCCCAAAUCCCAUUGGGUUACCCAUGUCCAUGGGGACUUUGGACGGGAUGGGUACUGGAAUUUGAUAUUGGGUUUAAAAUGGAACAAAUUUCAAUUGUACCCAUUAAUUGAUGGAAAAUUUUGGGAAAUACUUGGGUACCCAUUGGGCUUAAAUAGCAAGGGCUCCAUUUGGAUUAGCUGUUUUUGGAGGUAUUUUCGAAAUAUUUUAUUGUAGCAGUGUAUAUGAAAAAAUUUUACUAUAAAAUUUUUUUGAAAUAUUUGAUAUACUAAUAUGGAUGGGAUGUUUUUUAAGUUAUUGUAUAUUACUGUAACAUUGUAUUUGAAAAACUUAUUUUUUGAAAAAAUAGCCAAUCCAAAUAGAGUCUUAGAUUCAAAAAUUAUCUUUAACAAUUUUUAUAGUCAUACCAGCGAAUAUAAUCUAGCAGUCUUCCUAGUCAUUAUCCACAAGAAUUUCCAGCAUUUCAGUCAGUUUAGACCAGUCAUCCUUGGACAAUGAUGAGGAUAAAUAUUCAACACCCUAAGUGCCUUGGCCAUCUUGAUAUAUGUUGGAAUAUGGUUGUAUAUCUAUCUGUUCCUUUAUUUGUUAAUCCAAUUUUUGGUGGGAAUCCUGAGUAUAAAGCACUUGCAUGUUUAUUUAAUAAAACUAAAAGAAAUUUAAUAAAUCAAAAAUAUUAAAGUUAUAUAAAAAAUAAAAAAUGAAUUAAAGGAAAAAAAUAUAUGUAGAAAAUAGAUUUGGGUAUUGAGCGGGAUCAAUCUAAAUCCAUCCCAAAGUAAUCUCGCCCAAGUUAGUUCCAAAACACAUAUGGGUAAGUUAGUCUAAAUAAUAUUUAUCAUAAAUGAUUGAUCAACUAUUUUACUUUUACCUCCGUAGAGUUAUCAGCUAUUUUUACUUUUCUCCUUUGAGUCAUGAUUUUUAAUUUUUUGCAUCCUGAAGUUACACAUCUAUUAAACAUUGUAUUACGUACACAGAUAUGGACAGAAAACGACAGAAUUUUCCUUGUGAAAGGUGACAUUCGAUCUUGUAGGUUUUCCGUAAUUGUGUAAGUAUUUGAGGUAAGUAUUUUAGCAAGUUUUGAUAACCAAAUGAUCGAAACAGAGAAUUUAUGAACUAAUUAACCAUACUAAGGAAGAAGACAAGAUUCACUUGUUCUAAACCUUAUAUCUUAAUGCAACAAGUCGGUUAGGCGCUUGACUAAACCUUCAAUCUUUUAAAUAAACGCCCUCCUCAUGUAAUUUCUCAAAUGUUGAGUCAUGACAAGGUGAAGAUAGAAAUUAAAUUAAAGAUUCUAAAAAUUUUUAAAGAUUCUUCUAAAUUAGAAUAGUUUACAACAUAUAGAACUUUGAACUCCAAAUUUCAAAUGAUUCUGACUACGUCUAUUCUAAAAAGAGUAACAACCUUUUGUAAAGUGGCAAAUAUUAAAGAUGUUAGUCACAAUUCAAUUAUGUUAAUCAAAUCCGUCCAAACCCAUCUCUACAAAUCAGAAUAAGGCCCAACAAAGAGACUUACAAUAUCAUCAAGGCAGGAACGGUAGGGACUUAGCAAAAUACAAUCUGCAUUCUAGGCGCAUAGGCUUGCCGAGCGAGUUGAGCCUACGUCAACGUGCCAACAAAUAUUUUACCUGAACAAGAAAAAUAAACCCAAGUUCAGGUACAGGUACAGGAUUCGAACUAUAAACUAAGUGCCCUCCCAAUAAACUAAUGCAAUAAAAAAAAAUAAACUAAUGCAAUAAAAAUAUCAACUUGAUAAGCUAAUGCAAAGAAAUCAUGGAACACGAAUAUAUUACCUUACCAUCUUAAGUGAAAAGAGUGCACACAGCUUAAUCAGAAUGAUAAGAAAAAAAGUGCAUCGAACCCGAUCUGCAUAAAAAGACACAGGCUGAAAGGUCAAAGAAUCAAUUUAACAUGGUAAGCAAAGCACGAUUGACAUCUGAGUUUCUUCUCAAGCUAGUUAAAAGUGAGAAAAAUUAUUUACUGGGCUUUAAAGGAGGAAAUUACUAAUAUAAAUUUCACAUGACACAUAAAAGUAAUAUGAUUCCUCUAUUUGAAUUUCGACACUUCUUUUCCAUUCAAGAAAUUUGUUGGAGUCAACAAAAAAAAUUUUGGACAAUAAUUUUAAGUGAAAAUCAGUAAGAAAUCUAAAUCUCUGCUUACUUGAUGCCAUCACUGCGUAUUUCCACACAGGGAAUGUCUUCAAUCAUGGGCCAGUAGUCUCCUCUAUCCAUCAAACACCUUUUCUCAAGAAGUGGGCAUUUAUUAAUUACUAGAGUUUGAAGCGGAUUACGCAGCGAUUCCUUUGGUAGGGAUCCAAGCUCGGGGCAGUUAAAGAUAUGCAGAUAUCGAAGAGCUGUAAGACCUCGCAAGAACGUGGAGAGCGAUUUCAGAUUUCGCAAGUCACCAAUGGCGACGGACCUAAGAGUCGGAGGAAGCAAAGCCAAUCCAUCAUCACCACUACCAGAAAAUGAUUCCAGCCCUGGAUAUCCACCACGGAUGUAGAACCUUUCAAGAAACGUGAGUCUGUUGAGUCCCCAUUCUGACAGGGGCUUCAGCUGUAAGUUUUCUCCUGCCUCUAUGUCAAGAAACUUCAGAGUGGGAGGAAAAUCUCCUUGUGGAAAUAACAAAGGACUUGAACAAGAAUACAACAACAGAGAUCUUAGUCGUCCCAAACCACUGGGCAAGUAACUAACAUUUUUGCAUCUGCACAAGGAAAGACGUUCCAAACUUGGAGUGGGCAAUUGAUCCAGAUCAUAAUCACAAUCCCUAAUAUCCAAAAACCGGAGACUUGCAAAACUGUAGACUGAACCAAGCAUUGUUCUCAAAUUCAGACAUGGGCAGCCAACGAUUUCCAGACUCUCAAUCGAUGUGCUAGUGUCCUCUAUGACAAUCUCCGGAGUAAGGUUCAGUUUCUGGCAAUGUCUGAUCCCAAGAUUCCUAAGCUGAGGGAGGAGCAACUUGUCCAUUGGCAAGCAACUGAGGGCUGAGCAACUGCUUAUUUCCAAUGUGUUAAGACCAGAUAAUGUAGGCAAAGACAGGAGAGCACUGCAACUUUCUAUCUUAAGAUAUUUAAGCAUGGGUAAAACAGCAAGCUCCUCCAAGGAUGAAAGCUGUGAACAUUCUGAAACAACUAAAGAUUUUAGCUGCACAAGGUUUACAGUAUUACUUGAGCCCCACAAAUUCUUCAGUUGAUGGCACUCACGUAAUGUGAUAUCUUCAAGGCCUGAUGGGAACUGCAUGAACGCAUCCUCGAGGGAUGCAAGCCCUAUAAUCUGCCGAAAAUCCAAAUUGUUUAAUGAGGUCAAAUUGUAUAAACAUUUUGCAAUUCCCACCGAGCACUUUUGCAACUUUAGUUCAGAGAGUGAAGGAAGCUGCAAAACAGGAAUGCUUUUCAACUUUGGGCAUCUACUUAUACAGAGCUUUUGGAGCAGAGGGAAGUGGCAUUCGUUCUCUCCUGCUGAACUUAAGCAAGUCCAUUCCUCCCAUUCUGGCAUGUCAUCAAAUGUUAGACUUUCAAGCAAUGGAAAGGAAAAUUCCCGAGAGCAAUCUUUGCCACAUAGCUCCGUACCUACUGCCUUCACCUCAAGCAUGGUUUGAAUGCUCAAAUCCUUGAGCGCAGGCAAUUGCCCGAGUGAUGGUAAACACUUGCAGUGUGUACAACCUCUAAGGCUUACUUCUUCUAAUUUAGUAAAUGAAGAAUCCCCCACCCAGGAAGAGAAUUUGUCUCCCUUAUAGAACUCAAUUUCAAGACUCGUUAGGUUUGUGUGUGGUCGUAGUGCCUCGAGCAAAUCUUGUUGAAGAACUUUACUCAGAGAACCAUCAUAUUCACUAUUCCAUGCCAAUACUAUGUUAUCAAGGUCCCUCUUGUUCUUCAAAUUGGCAUCCCGUGCUUCUUGAACAUUCGUAACAUUUUGCAACUCCAAAAUGGCGAGUGACCCUGCCAGUAAGGACAAGUUCCCCAAGUCAUUCAGCCUGAACCCACCAUUUUUGCUCACAACCACUUUGGAUAGUGUCUGCAAGCUCGUCAACUGAUCAAUCCCUGAAGGCAUCUCAUGCAAUUGACUAGUAUUGAAAUUUUCAAGAUGGCGCAGGUUAAUUAAUUUUCUAAUACCCACCGGUAAGUUAAUCAGCCCCCAGCAGUCGCGCAAACGUAGUGUUUGUAAAUUGCAAAGGUUACUCAAUGAUUCAGGCAACACUUUCAACGAAGUACCAGACAAAUUCAGGUACCUUAGAUGUAUUAAUUCACCAAUGGAAUUUGGUAGAUCAGAGAUAGAAUAUCCACUGAAUGAUAGCACCCUUGGGUAUCGCAAUUCCAGCAAAAGUUCUGUUAUGACCUUUUUAGCGAUGUAAAAGUCGCCGUCAUACUUGCCAGAAACGGGUAGGAAACUCCGCAAAUGUUUUGCUUUCUGAAGUGUUUUAAACUUUUGUGAAGCUCCAUACAUUGAACUUGUGAAUGAUGUGUACCUAACCUUGUCAAGAAUCGUGCAUUUGAUGUUCUCUUCCAAGUCGUCUGUCAGUCUGGAACAAAAAUCUCCACCAACAUAUCUAGCUAGAUCGUUAAUAAGGUCAUGCAUCACAAAACGUGAACUAGCGGAACUUGACUGCUGGAAGAAGGACCUCAUUAGUAGCUCCUUAAAAUAAUUGUCCCCUGUGUCCUCCAUAAGAUCACUUGCUUUUGAUUCCUCG
rnacentral:lncRNA from 1 species